UUGAAGGUGAAGGAGUUGAAGAACGGAAGACUAGCCAUGUUCUCCAUGUUCGGAUUCUAUGUUCAGGCCAUCGUUACCGGAAAGGGUCCAUUGGAGAACCUUGCAGACCAUCUGGCCGAUCCCGUCAGCAACAAUGCGUGGAAUUACGCAACAAACUUCGUUCCCGGAAAUUAAUUUCUUGUUCGUGCAAAUCAAUGUUCAUAUUUUAAUUGUUUUCUUCUGGUAAUUGAUAAUAUAAUUAAGGCAUUUAAGGAUGGAUGGCUUAAAGCAGCGAAAUUUUAAACCAGAAAUUUUUAAAAUAUUAAAAAUACUAUUAUAAAAAAAAAUUUAAUUGCACUGCAGACUAUUUUUUAACAUUCACGAUUAAUUGCACCGCAGAUUAAAUAAAAUUUAUCCAUCCAUUAAUCAUCCACGACUUGUUGACUUAGUGAUGGGCCAUAUAUUGUUAGGAGAGAUUAUAAAUAUGAUGAUAGUGAGAGAAUAAAAGGAUACUUGAUUUUAUAUUAUUAUUAUUGUCGUUUUCAAAACUUGUUGAGUGUUCGUUCAUUCUCCGGUGAAUUCCAAUCUCACCCCAUCUUCUUCCUCUCAGGUUAUGAUAAUACCUUCAACCCACUGGGAGCAACCCAAGGACAAUUAUUAGAGAUAUAGCCUCACAAGAAUUAUAAAUAUUAGACAUUGACAGGGCUCGCGCAAAGGGGCUCACACACACAACUCUCUAAUAUUCUUCUUAGUAAUUAUCAACCCCUUCUCCUUUUAGACCAGAGAAGGUAUUUAUAAGGAUGCUCCAUAGGCCUCCGCCGGCCCAGGCCUGUUGCUCGGACGAGGGGGCUUGCGGCGUGUUUCGCUUGGACGGACCUCGAUAACAACAAACAUAUAUCCUUAUUGUAAAUAUUAAUCUCAGAUUCUGAGAUUCAUAGAUAUUAGACAUAUAUCAUUACUGUAAAUAUUAAUCUCAAAUCCAUGAGAUUCAUAGAUAUUAAACAUAUAUUCUUAUUGUAAAUAUUAAACAUAUAUCCAUGGGAUUCUCAUAAGAGUUUAAUUCCAUGUCCAACCAUAUUUAAUUCCAUAAAUAUAAUCAAUAUUAAACACCAACAUAGUCGUUGUGUGUUUACUAUAUAAGCUUACCUAAACUUAAAUAAUCCCCACGUUCUUACAUUCUAUAAUUCACUACACAUUCAAACUCCGAUCAUCUUCAACACAACUGAUUUGCUCAACACUUCCGCAUUACAACUCAACUGGAUUAUCAUCCAUCAUCAAAUCUACAACAUCGUCUUUGCGUUUACUGCAUCAAUACAUUGGAUUAUCGAGCUAUAUCUCCCAACCAAUCGAUCAUCCAACAAUAUCAUUAUUAUUAUAUACUUAAGCAUUAUUAUCUAUUACUCAUACAGUCAUAAUAUUGCUUAAGUACUAACCAAAGAUAUUCAUAAUCUCCCAAGGAUAUAUAAUUGCAUAUUUUGUAUAUCUCUAUCAAUAAUAGCAGUGAUCCGGUCCAGACCACGACCAGAACCUGACCAGGAUUCGUCUCGGGUCUCGACCCGAAUCCGCCCGGCCCAGGCUCGGCCCACAACUCCAACCCAACCUCGGCCCGGCCCACAACGUGAGUCCAGGAGCACCUAAGCCCGACCCGAUGGUAGGGCGGCGACGCUAUUAAUACUGCCUACCUUGAGGUAGGUAGUAGGUUAAUUUAGUCUACAAUCUAUACUAGAGAGAAGGAGCGAGAAAGUGAGAGUGUGUGAGAGAGAGAGAUUGUGCAAUGAUUCGAUCCCAUCUUGUCGCUUUGGCCUUGAUGCGGAUCACCUUGCUUGGGGGGGGAUAUUGGCGAUACACGCAUGUUUCUUGUGCUCUCUUCAGGGGGGAGUGCUAGUGAGACAUGCAUGAUUACGUCAGUCACUCCCAGCAACGCCCCGCAACAAGGACUAGGGUUCUGUCGCUUUACGCCGGACCCCCGGAAGGCAUCCACGAUGCGGAGCAAGUGUCUACGUCAAGUACUCAAGGCAACACCUGAGAAUCGCCGACUGGGACUACCAAGUCGCCGAUUCCAGGGGUGCAUCACCGACUCCAGACAGGGCACUCGGACCUGACCACAAGGGAGUCGGCGACUCCACCUCUGAAUCGGUGACUCCCAUACCUGAGUCGUCGAUUCCCAGCCGUUACUUGGGAGGGCCCACGUCAUUGUAGCACCCUUAAUUGGGCACCAUAAUGGAGUGCACCACACGCUAAUGAAUGGGGAAACGCCCCCAGGACCCUAUAAAAGGGAUCCUUGGGGGUCCUCCACUCCCAAGUCAUUCACCCUUGACUCACACUCUACACUAGAGCAACCAAGGAAUCCGAGUCACCGAUUCCCCUCCACUACUGCGGGUAUUUGACGUAGAGCGCGCGUCGUGGACUCCAAAGCCUCCGGUCCUCCUCGCAACUCCGCGAGCCUAUUGGUAGCAGAUUUCAUGCUUCAUUAGUAGCAUUAGUGAAUCUGUAUAUUAGCGAUAAGGAGAUAGAUUUCCUUGGUAAGUCCCAUACUGAGAAAAGUAUACAUUUAGAAGACAUUAACAGAGCUUCUCUACCUAUGAUCAUUCUCUUAUCGUGAAAAUCGAGGUCGAUGUCAGUUUGUAUGACAAGGGGGUCGUCGUGAGGUUGCAUGACAUGGUUUAUGUUCACGUCAGAGAAGUUUAUUAACUUCCCCUUUCGGGCUCGUUUUCCGUGGAUUUGAGGUUCAUAUCUAGAUAACAUCACUUUUCGUGUGUAUCCUUUAUUUUGACCCAUUGAAUCACCGCCAAAUAUGACAUUGAUGGUUUUUCUGGGAUUGUUCUCGCUUUCAGUUCUAUCAACUAGGCUAGGGGAGCAAUUGUCGUUUUUGUCAAUCUGUCACUUGUUGUGAUUUCUAGAUCCCUUGGCGUAAUUGCCAAGUUCUCCAUCGCGGAUCAGGCGCUCGAUGUAGGCGUAGAACGCCCUGCAGUGUUCCGUUAUGUGACCAUGAUCAUUAUGGAAUUUGCAGUAUUUUUCACCUUUGACACGAUCGCUUUUGAGUUCUUGGUCUAAGUAACAAACGGUGCCAACUGAUGAGGAUAGAAAAAUCACAUGAUAGAGUCCUGUUGGAGGAAGAGCCGAUUCUAAGAGAUAUCUAGCAGCAAUUGGAGCAGAGCGCGAAUGUGGAUGCUGAGGAGGAGAACGACGAUGAUCGGAUUUCAACUGCUGGCCGGCCAGUGAGGAGCAAGACCCUAUGUACGUGACUAAAGGGAUUUAUAUUACAAUAGUUAUAACUUAAAUUAAUAAUGGUUAAUUCAAUUUGUUAAAAUACUCUGCAGGAACUAUUUAGUUAUUUAAAUCUUUAAACGUGUAACCCUAUAAAGGGAAAAGUCUUUUAUUUUUAUUGGCAAUCAAUAUUAUUACAAGUUCCUAAAACAGAUCUGGGUUGAAACAACCCUAGUCUCGGUCACUGUUCCAUUAAUUCCAGUCGCUAAUCCACUCUUCCUUCUUAAUUUUUCCAAGUUCACUCCAUCAUUGGUGCUUUCAAGCCCUCUGCCGACUGGUUUUAGUUCACAGUCCGGGGAUCAUCUGAAGAUCUUCAGAAGAAGGAGACCACCUCCUGGAAAAAAAAAAACAAAGAAAAAAAAGCAAUCCAAAAGUAUGUUCUCUGCUUAAGAGAUCCCAAUUAGGAAUAUAUAAAUCUUAUUACAUUCAGUAGUAAUUCUAUUAUUGAAUACAAUAGCUAAAUAUUUUCAGAUCACUAAAUACCAUUGGAGAAGAACUGAAGAAGGUUUUGUAAGCAAAUAAAUCCUACAAACAAACUCUUCAAAAGCUUGUUUUCUCCUUAAGAGAUCCAGAUCAGGGACGUGAUUAAUUACCCUUAUUUUUACUUGUUCUUCUAUUCAAUGAUAAAAUUUUCAUUUCAGAGUGACAACUUGGAGGAAUGGCUGAAUCUAUGGAUGUCCAACUCAAGAGACUACAAAUAAAACAGGACAUUGAGGCUGAAAGACUAAGAAACACGGAACAAACAUUAUCAAAGAUGAGUGAAACACUAUUGCUCAUAAGUCAUAAGCAAUCCAGAAAGCCAAGAACAACAAAAACAAGAGAUGAAAUACAAGUCAAUUAGGACAAAGAUGCCUAAGUUCGAUGGGGAGAACGUUCAAGGCUGGAUUUACAAAGCAAACAAAUAUCUGAGGUAUCAUAAUAUACCUGAUGAGGAGAGGAUUACAGUGGCUACAUUUAAUAUGGAAGGGGAAGUUUUAGAAUGGCUUCUAUAGGCUGAUAAUAAUAACACACUUAAGUCUUGGUCAGAUUUUCUUGAUGACCUGGUGAAAAGAUUUGGGACUUCAGCAUAUGAAAUACCUGCGGGCAGACUGAGUAAGCUGAUACAAACUGGUUCUGUGAAGGAGUACCAACAUCAAUUCGAAGCAUUAUCUGGCAAGGUGACUGAUGUCAACCCCAGGGUUAUGAAGGAAAUGUUUAUGUCUGGGUUGAAGAAUGAAAUUCAGAAAGAUGUUAUUAAGGCUAGGCCUGAAAAUUUAGUGGAGGCAUUUGCUCUGGCCCAACUGUAUGAAAGAAAUGACAUGACCACUAAUAUUGUGAGAUAUUGCCCACCUUCAAGGUCUGUAGUUGGAGAGAUUAAUUCUAAACCAUCUAGUUCAUUACAGCCUUACAUACCACCACACAGGAAAACACUAGCACUACCACCAACUGAAUCCCAAAAAGGACCUAUGCUGAGACAGAAACUCACCCCUGCUGAGAUGAGAAUAAAAAGAUCAAAAACUGAGUGCUUUAAUUGCACUGAAAAAUGGGAAAAAGGUCACAAAUGCAAAGAAAGAUUAUUCCUUCUAUCAGUUGAUGGAGUGUAUUUUGCUGAGUAUACAGAGCCUAAUAAAGAUGAAAAACAGUUUGUUCAUGCUGUGGAGGAAAUCAGGGCUGAGCACACUCACAUAAGUUACCACUCCUUAUAAGGCCAACUGAGCCCAAGAACUCUGAAAUUAUCAGCUAGUAUUAAUAAUUUAAGAGUGCAUGUUCUGCUAGAUUAUGGUUCUACUCACAAUUUCCUUCAGGAAGGCUAAGCACUUGAAACUGCCAAUCACUCCUAUUCCUUCAUUCUUAGUUUCAACAGGAAGUGGGGUUUCCUUAAGGUGUGAUAAAAUGUGUAAACAGGUUAAAAUGACUGUCCAAGGUGUGUAACAAUGACAAUUGAUAUAUUUGUUCUGAAUAUGGAAGGAGCCAACCUUGUAUUAGAGAUUCAAUGGUUUAAAAUUGUAGGAUCAGUUCUGUCUAAUUAUAUCGAUAUGAACAUUGAGUUUAAUUGGAAAGGAGAAAGGAUUAAAUGGGUGGGGGAACCAAUACUAUCAGAUUACCUACUAUCAAAAGAAUGAGAUGAAUUCCUUAGCAGCUACUACUAUGUGAGCAUUUUUUGCAGAUUUGAGUAUAUUGGGGAGGCCAACUCUAAUGAAAAGAAUGAGAAGUUAGACACUGAAAACAAAGAGGAGGUACUUACCUCUAUAAAAACUGAAUUUUCUGAUGUGUUUGAUGAAUCUAGUGGGCUACCACUUCCUAGAUCCCAGUCACUGGAAAAUCUGGUAGACCCUGUCAGUGUAAGGGCAUACAGACAGGCCCAAUUUCAAAAAGAUGAAAUUGAGAGAAUUGUGCAAGAAAUGUUGAAACAACAAAUAGUUAGAGAAAGCAGCAGUCUCUAUUCUUCUCCAGUAUUGUUAGUUAAGAAGAAAGAUGGAAGCUGGAGAUUGUGUGUUGAUUACAGGGCAUUAAAUAAAAUCACAAUUAAGGAUAAAUUUUCUAUACCAACAGUGGAUGAAAUUCUUACAUAACUAAAGGGGGCUAAAAUAUUUUCAAAAUUGGAUUUAAGGUCUGGCUAUCAUCAGAUCUUAAUAAAUCCUAAUGAUGUGGAAAAGACAGCCUUUAGAACUUAUCAGAGACAUUAUGAAUUCCUAGUGAUGCCCUUUGGCCUCACCAAUGCACCAGGCACUUCAGGCCACUAUGAACAGGAUAUUUUUGCCAUUUCUAAGAAAAUUUGUUCUUAUUUUUUUUGAUGAUAUCUUAAUUUUCAGUUCUUCCAAGGAGGAUCACAUAGACAAUCUCAAAACUGUACUGAGAACACUCAAGGAUCAUCAUCUCUAUGCUAAGAAAUCGAAAUGCUUUUUUUUUCCAAACUGAGUUACAAUUUCAUGGGCAUAUUAUAUCAAGAGAAGGGAUCAACCCUGACCCAGAAAAGGUAUCAGCUAUUGUGAAUUGGCCAACACCAAAGAAUGUUAAAGCACUAAGGGGAUUCUUAAGACUAUCAGGUUAUUAUAGAAAGUUUGUUAAAAACUAUUCUUAUCUAGCAGCAUCAAUGACUGACUUAUUAAAAAAAGACCAGUUCACAUGGAAUGAGCUAGCAGAGAAGAGUUUUAUGGCAGUUAAAAAAGCUAUCACUUCAGCCCCAGUUCUACACCACCCUGAUUUCUCUAAACCCUUUUCUAUUGAAACUGAUGCUUGUCUUAAUGAAGUUGGGGCAGUUCUGAGUGAUCAGGAGGGCCACCCCAUUGCUUUUUUUAGUUCAAAAAUAACUGGGAGAAUGCUCUUAGCUUCAACAUAUGCAAAGGAGAUGCUAGUUAUAACACAAAUUGUUUCUAAAUGGAGGCACUAUCUAUUAGGCCAUCAUUUUGUGAUCCAUACAGACUAUCAAAGCAUUAAAAAUAUGAUAAGUCAGAUUAUCCAAACUCUAGAUCAACAAAAAUUCUUAUGCCAACUAUUGGGAUUUGAUUAUUCAAUUAAAUACAAGCCCGGGAAAGAGAACAAGACAGUUGAUGCUCUUUCAAGGCAAUUUGAGAGUGUGGAGCAAGAAAAAGAAGCUCAAGGGGGAUCAAUUCUGAGCUUGUAUAUUGUGAUAAGUUAAUUGGCAAAGUAAAGGAAGAACAAAACUCAAAGGCAGAUUUAUUAGCAAUGAAGGAAGCAAUUCUUAAGGGGACUGAAAAGAACAAUUUUAUGGCUAUAAUCAGAUAAGGGUUACUACUCAUGGAAGACAAAUAUGUAGUAUCACACACUUUAAACCUCAUUAGUGAUAUUCUGAGAGAAUACCAUGACAGCAUAAUUGGGGGCGCCCACUCGGGGGUGGAAAGGACUAUUAAGAGAAUUAAACUAGUUUUUUGGUGGAAAGAGAUGUCCAAAGAAAUCAGAAAAUAUGUUGAUGAGUGUGUGGUAUGCCAAAGGAUGAAAACACCUAAAAAAAGCCUCAAGGUCUUUUAAGACCUCUCCCUACACCUGAGGCAGUAUGGCAUGAUCUUUCAACUGAUUUUAUAACCAACCUUCCAUUGGUAAAAGGGAAAUCAGUAAUUAUAGUAGUAGUAGUAGACAGAUUAUCCAAGUUCUGCCAUUUAAGGGCUCUAUCAGCAGAAUUCAGUUCUAUGAUGGUGGCAGCCUAUUUUGUGCAAGAGAUCAUCAUACUUCAUGGAAUUCCAGCAUCUAUUAUGUCUGACAGAGAUAAAGUCUUUACUAGCAUCUUUUGGAAGGAAAUUAAUAGGCUAAGUGGAACCACUCUAAAGAUGCCUUCAGCCUAUCACCUAGAGAUAGAUGGCCAAACUGAAGUGGUGAAUAGGGGUAUUGAAAUGUUCCUGAUAUAUUUAGUUCAUGAUCAACUAAAGAAAUGGUUACAACUACUUCCUUGGGCAGAGUUGUGGCAUAAUUCCACUUUUAAUGUGUCUAUAGGAAUGACACCCUUCAUGGCUCUAUAUGGAAGGGAAGCUAAUUCUUUUGUUGAAUAGGCUAGAGGGAGUUCAUCUAACCUAGAGGCGGAAGAGGAGUUACUAAGAAGGCAAGAAAUAAUUGAAGUUGUUAAAAUUAAUCUAGACAGAGCAAAGGAAAGAAUGAAGAGUCAAGCAGACCUCCAUAGAAGUGAUAUCGAAUUUACAGUGGGAGAUUGGGUGUUCAUCAAAUUGAAGCCCUAUAGGCCAAUAUCUAUAGCAUAGAGACCCCAUCACAAACUCUCUACAAGAUUCUACGGGCCAUACAAGAUUUCAAAAAAAAAAGUGAAGUGGCUUAUAAGGUUAAUUUACCACUUAACUGGUCAAUUCAUGGUGUUUUUCAUAUUAGCUUGCUAAAGAAAUACAAAGGAAAAUUACCUCCAGAGGAAAUUGAAGUCUUGUCCAAAAUUUCGGUGGGAAGCGAGCUAGUGAUUUAUCCGGAGGAAGUUCUGGAUAGAAGGUCCCUGUUGGGAAAGGGGAGGAUGAAAGAACAAGUACUGAUCAGCUGGGCAAGCCGUGACCAGAAGGAGACAUCCUGGGAAGAGGUGGAGCACCUGCAGAGGGAAUUUCCAUCCCUCAACCUUGAGGACAAGGUCGAUCCCAUGGAGAAUGGAGAUGAUAGAGUCCUGUUGGAGGAGGAUCCGAUUCUAAGAAAUUUUCAGCAGCAGAGCGCGGAUGUGAAUGCUGAGGAGGAGAGCGACGAUGACCGGAUUUCAACUGUUGGCCGGCCAGUGAGGAGCAAGAUCCUGUGUACGCGACUAAAGGAAUUUCUAUUAAAAUAGUUAUAACUUAAAUUAGUAAUGGUUAAUAUAUUCAGUUUGUUAAAAUACUCUGCAUGAACUAUUUAGUUAUUUAGAUCUUUAAACGUGUAACCCUAUAAAGGGAAAACUCUUUUAUUUUUAUUGGCAAUCAAUAUUAUUACAAGUUCCUAAAAUAGAUCUAGGUUGAAGCAACCCUAGUCUUGGUCACUGUUCCAUUAAUUCCAGCCGCCAAUUCACUCUCCCUUCUUAAUUUUUCAAAGUUCACUCCAUCAUUGGUACUUUCAAGCCCUCUCGCCGACUGGUUUUAGUUCACAGUCCGGGGAUCAUCUGAAGAUCUUCAGAAUAUUAUUGCUUCGUAUCCAGUGGAAGAUUGUUGCUUCUCGUGCUCCGUGGGAGCUUCCGGGGGUUCUGGCGUAAAGAGAGCAAAAUCCUAGCCUCAGUUGAUAGAAAGAGUGAGUGUACGAUACCGUAUCAUCAAAAAUAUUUCAGGAUAGAUUCUCAUUGUCGCAGGUUCAGAAAUGGUCGACCAUAGAUGUCUAUUCAUUAAACUUUUGAAGUUGAAAUCCGUCAUCACAUUGACUCCAGAGAUGGAGAGAAAAGGCUUUUACAAACCUUGUUCGAUCACUUCUGGCAAAACAUGGGGAAGAUCGUCAUUGACAACGCAUUGCACGAUGGAAUCUGUGGGCGUUGGGAGGGCUCCCACAACUUCAAGAUGUCAGACUAAUUUUGAACCUUUUAUAUCGAGGACGUCCUAUUAAGGUUGAUGUGGAUAUGGAUCCUCAAUAAGUAAGUUCCCCAAUUAAUAUUGUGUUACCUUUUCAAUUACAUAAUACUUAGUUGAUCUUAGAUCCUAAACUUAUCUUAUUGUAACUUUCGAAAUUUAGUGAUAUGAUCAGGCAAAUUAUCGAGGACGUGAUGAGAAGAGAAGGGGAAUUGUGUGAUUACACUACGCAAGAAGAUAACAACGUGGUUCGUCUGAAUGUAUGUUUUUUAUUCAGCAUCUUCCUUUUCCCCAAUACCAAGAACGUCGUUCGCACGGUUCGCACCAGACUCAUCCAGCAAAAUAUUUGCAUAUAUUCCGGAAAAUCUUUUAAUAUCUUCAUAGAUAUCCUCCAUCAAUGGAGAAAUCGGCGAUUUCUUCAAAAAAUCGUCGAUUCCAUGAGAGCAUCGCAAACACUUCAAACUGGCCGAUCGCUUCGAUUGGGAACUUCCCGCUAUGAGGGAAGAUAGCAUUAUUGGAGAAGAGGCUCGAUCCGAGAAAUAAACAAAGGGAUGUUAGUAAUGUUAGUUAGUAAUAUCUAGUUACGAAUGUUAGUUAGUAAAUAGUAGUUAAUUACAAAUGUAAUCAAACCCUAUAUAAGGACACUCAAUAUUAGAAUAAAAUCAAUCAAGCAAUUAACCAAAUCAUCUGGGGUUAAUUCGUAAAAUGGUAUCAGAGCAAGGUUGUUAACUUGUUGCGACGAUCAUCUGCAACCGCCUGGCCCCGACGUCCAUGGCGUUCAACGGCGACGUCACACACGACAGCGCAACAGUGCAUACGAGGAUUGUGAAACUCAAGCACCAGUGUGCUGAGCGGCUCUCCGGUCAAAUUUCUUCGUCUGGCAAGCUCAGGUAAUAAUAUUCUUGCGCGGAUAUGGGUUACUACCCUACGUCACCGGCGAAAUCUCCAUCGAAGGCGAUGAGGGAAAAAUCCAGCAAGAUCAAUUGAUCCUUGGCUGGAUUUUUUCAACGCUUCAAGUGGAUGUUCUGGCCCAGGUAGCGAGCGUGUUAUCUUCGGCGAAGGCGUGGAAGCGAUUGAGGCAGAUACAUGCGUCCACAUCAGGAGCGUGCAUCUUGCAGUUACGAUAUCAGCUACAGAAUUUAAACAAAGGGGAUCUGGCGAUGGAGGCGUUCGUGUCAAAAGUAAUGGGGAUUGUGGAAAGCUUGCGCACGACGGGAGUAACGGUGGCUGACUCAGAGAUCAUACUGUAUGUAUUGGGCGGCUUAGACACAGAUUAUGAGGCGAUUCUCGCCGUGAUUUCAUCCCAGCUCGAGAGCAUGACACUCCCAACUAUGCGAAUGCUGCUUACCAAUCAAGAAAUAAGGAAUACAAAUAACAGAUCAGUAAUCGCGGAAAUGGGGGAGGUGAACUUGGUCAAGCAUCGGGGAGAUAAGGUAAAUCGUCCGGUCUGCCAGAUUUGCGCCAAGAGAGGACAUGUGGCGUUGGCAUGCCACAAUCGUCACAAUGAGGAUAACUACCCAACACCACCGGAACACAGGACCCGGUAAUUACAAAAUCUGAAGAAGAAGAAGAAGGCGGUGAACGCGGUAUGGACGCCGGCAGUAGCAUCUUCAGCCCAAGUCAGUGCACUUUGGAACCCUGAUACGACAGCCACAGGGCAUGUAUCAGGUACUUUAAAUAUGUUGCAUCACCCUAAAUCGUCUAAAAAUCAUCCAGGUAUAGUGGUUGCGAACGGCGCGAUCGUAUCUGUAGCUGCCACCGGUGAUUCAAAAUUUCUAAAACAAGGGAAGGAGAUCUCGGUGAAAGACAUUUCUAUUGUACUAUCAAUUACAAGAAAUUUACUCUCUGUCCACUGUUUAUGUAAUGACAAUGAUAUUGGGUGUUGGUUUGAUCGAUCUUCUGUGGCUACGUCAAGUACUCAAGUCAACACUGGGAAUCGACGAUUGGGACUACCAAGUCGCCGAUUUCAGAGGUGAGUCGACGAUUCCGGACCAGGGUAUGUAGUGAGUUCUGGUAGACUCCCGACCUGGCUCCUAAGGACUCUCCGACUCCACCCUGAAUCGACGACUCCCAUACCUGAGUCGCCGAUUCCCAGGCGUUACUUGACUUUGCCCGCGUCAUUAUGACACCAUCAAUGGGGCACCAUAAUGACGUGGGCCCCAGGGAGAUUAAAUGAGAAACGCCCCAAGGACCCUAUAAAAGGGUCCCUUGGGGGGUCCUCAUUCUCAAGUCAUUUCCACUUGACACACUCCACACCAGAGCAAACUAAGGAGCCCGAGUCGCCGACUCCCACAUCUGAGUCGUCGAUUCCCCUCCUCUUCUACAGGUAUUUAACGUAGAGCGCGCGUCGUGGACUCCAAAGCCUCUGGCCCUCCUCGCAACCCCGCGAGCCUUCUGGUAGCAGAUUACGUGCUUCAUCACCUCGAUUGAGGGACACUAUUAUUUUUUAAAUUUUGUCGAUGGUUAUUACCGAUAUAACUGGUUAUUUCCGUUAGUGUGCAAAUCUGAUGCUCUGAAAGUAUUCAAAUUGUUUAAAAUAUUUGUUGAAAAACAAAUAGGGAGAACACUGGAAGCCCUUCAAACUGACAACGGAGGUGAAUUUCGGAUAUUCAAACCAUUUCUUCAGGAGUGCGGUAUUGCACAUCGUCUGUCCUGCCCAUAUACACAUACACAGAUGGACAUGGUCGAGAGGCGUCAUCGUCAUAUAGUCAAUAUCUGAUUAGCAUUCUUGCAUGACGGCCAGAUUCCACUCCGUUUUUGGGAGUUUACCUUUGCAAUAACCGCAUUUUUAUACAAUAGAACACCAACGCCGCUACUCAAUGGGGAUUCACCAUUCCAGAUACUAUUUCAAGUAUCUACGUCAUACAAUGGACUCUGAGUAUUUGGGUGCCGAGUAUACCCGAAUCAAAGACCCAUGAGAAGAAACAAGUUAUCUUACAGAUCUGACCCACACAUAUUUCUGGGUUACCCGACUAAUCAUCGAGGGUAUCUAUGUUAUAAUCUAGCUACUGGGAAAUUUAUGAUUUCACGUGAUUGUAUAUUUCAUGAAAUAGAUUUUAGUCUAAACUCAAUUUUAAUAGAAACAACUGAUAACAGGCCCACAAGUAACCAAGGGUUUGGCCCUCCAGGAAUUGUUAACCCAAGCAAUAUCCAGCCUCAACAAUUGUUGACUUCAGAAAUUGAUGAAACAACCUCCGAGUCAGUGAGCGAACCAGCUCCACGUGAAGAUGAAAUAGGUCAGCCAGAUACUAUCUCACGGCUACAUAAUCAACAACAACAAGGAAUCAUUACAAGGGGACAACGAGGGAUUCACAAACCAAAUCCAAAAUACGUUUGUAUGAUCUCAGCUCCGUUAUCAGUUCCGACAGGUGCAUCAGACGGUACCCUAGAGCGUCGGAAAGCAAGAUUAGUUGCAACGGACUUCGCCAACGUGAUGGUGUCGAUUAUGAUCAGACAUUUGCCCCGGUAGUAAAACAAGUAACAAUUCGACUAAUUCUAUCUCUAGCUGUGACAAACAAAUAGUAAGUCUCCCAACUAGACGUAUCAAACGCGUUUCUGCAUGGUACGCUAGAGGAAGAAGUAUUCAUGCGGCAAGCCCCGGGCUUCUCAAAUAAAGAAUUCCCGAAUCACGUUUGCAAACUUAAGCGAUCCUUAUACGGAUUAAAACAAUCACCACGAGCAUGGUUCUUUCGACUCAGGACUGCAUUACUUCAGCUUGGCUUCUCCGAAAGUACAUGUGACCAUUCUCUAUUCAUGUUUCGACAAGGAAAUAUACAAACAUGGCUGAUCGUAUAUGUGGAUGACAUAAUUUCACAAGCUCCUCAACAAAAUUUAUAGAUGAUACGAUUAAGUCCCUUCAAAAACAAUUUCCGGUAAAGAAUUUUGGAUGACUGCAUCAAUUUCUGGGAAUUCUGUGUGAUUGGGAGGAAGACGGCUCUCUCUAUUUAUGCCAACAUCAGUAUGCAAGGACUAUUCGAGAGAAAUGCGGCCUAGACACCUUAAAACCAGCUCACACACCCAUGGAUUGCAGGGUAGGGUUGUAUGAUGAAGCUACCCCAUUCGAGUCACCAUGCAACAUUAUUUCACCAAAUGAUAGGAAGCCUGUAGUACUUGACUAUUACACGCCCAGAUCUAUCCUUUUACGUAAACAAUGUUGCACAAUUUAUGCAAACACCAACAACUAUUCACUGGGCGGCACUGAAAAGAAUCCUUAGCUACGUUGCGGGGACACCAAUAUUAUUUCGCCAAAUGGUAGGAAGCCUGCAGUACUUGACUAUUACACGCCCAGAUCUAUCCAUUUUCGUAAACAAGGUUGCACAAUUUAUGCAAAUACCAACAACUAUUCACUGGAUGACACUAAAAAGAAUCCUUCGCUACGUUGCGGGGACACUAUUCCAUGGAGUGCACAUCAGAGGUUCAGAAACAUCCAAACUAGUGGCAUUCUUAGAUGUCGAUUGGGCAAGAGACAAGCAUGAUAGUCGAAGCCAGGGGCGUAUGUGGUAUUUUUGGGGUCGAAUUUAAUCUCAUGGGGAUCGAGAAAGCAAAGCAUGGUAGCUCGCUCCACAACCGAAGCAGAGUAUCGAAGUGUCGCAGAUACGGCAACAGAAAUGGAUUGGAUCAGCGGGCUAUUAAAGGAUUUGGAUAUACAAGUAAUUACAAUGCCAGCAAAAAUUUAGUGUGACAAUUCCGGAGCAAUAGCCAUCUCCAAGAAUCCAGCACACCACAUGAAGUCCAAACACUUCGCGAUGAACUAUCACUUCGUUCGAGAACGAGUAUUCACCAAAGUGCUUGAAGUUCGGUUUAUCGGCUCAAAGGAUCAGAUAGCAGAUCUGCUCACCAAGCCACUUCCACGACCGGUAUUCGAAACACUACGUAUCAAGCUCACCAAAGAACUUUCGUUACGCUUGAGGGGGCGUAUUGGAGAAGAGGCCCGAUCCGAGAAAUAAACAAAGGGAUGUUAGUAAUGUUAGUUAGUAAUAUCUAGUUAUGAAUAUUAGUUAGUUAGUAAGAAGUAGUUAAUUACCAAUGUAAUCAAACACUAUAUAAGGGCACUCAAUAUUAAAAUAAAAUUAAUCAAGCAAUUAACCAAAUCAUCUGGGGCUAAUUCGUAAAAAGCACAAAGCUUUCCCAUCGAUGCGGCUAGGAUCAUUACCUGUGAUUGGGGCGACAUCGCGAAAAAAAUUCAUCGCUUCAUUCGGAAACAUAUCGCACACAAUCAAGGCGGAGUAGCACGAAAAGGUAAAUCGUACGGUAAGAAAAGGUGAGUUUCAAUUAUUUCAAUAUAUGUUAGUCUUGUUUAGUUUUUCUUUGUUGUAAGUAUUGUUUUAUCGCUUCGGCUAAAAUGAAACCAUCUUUUCAGAUGGAGAAAAAAAAUAGUUUUUUUAUCUUUUUUAAAGGUAUCGUUCUAUUGCUACGGUUAGAACGAAUCCAUCGUUUCGAAUAAAUAAAUAAAAUUAGUUUUUACCUUUUCUGGAAGUAUCGUUUUAUCACUACGGAAGUAUCGUUUUUGGAUUUACAACGGAAUUUUUUAAAUUUAAAUUCCGUUACAAAUACCUAAAAAUAGUAAACCAAAUCUAACGGAUAUUUAUAAUGGAUUUGAGUAUUUGUAACGAAAUUUUGAUAAAAACCAAAGUUAACGGAAUUUUCGUUGCAAAUGACAGUUAACAAAAUUUCCGGUAAGUUUUAUCCUUCAAACUGCUUACUUUUUUUGCAGUAAAUGGAAAUUCCGUUACAAAUGAUUUAAAAAUCAAUUUUUUUUGCAUUUGUAUCGAAAUUUUUAACGAAAAUUCGGUUAUUUGAAAAACCAAAUGUGACGGAUUUGAACAUUUGUAACGAAAUUUUGGCGACCAAAAUUUCCGUUACAAAUAACAUAGUUAAUGAAUUUUCCUUUAACUUUGGUAGUCUAAAUUGUCUAUUUCUUUUAUAGUGAAUUAAUAUCUCAACCAAUUCAUUCAACACAUACGGACAAUGACAAUUUGAAAUCAAUUCAACACAUGUUUGUGAUUUUAAAAAUCAAAGCAUCAUAAAAUAAAGUUUAAGUUAUUUGAUUUCGACACACGUUUGGGUUUUGAUCGACGUUUAAAGUCAACAUAGAUAAUUUUAGAUCUUAAACUUAUGGGGUUAGUUUUUUUUGAUGUCGUAAAUAAGUUAGUUUUAAGUGUAUAAUAUAAUUGGGAUCGUUGGAUGUCAAUCGUGUGUUGUAGAUGUUUUUGGCACACAACAGUGUAAAUAAGGAUGACACACUUGAAUAUUUCCUUAUAUAUAUAAAUAUACACACACACAUAAAUUGGAUGUACAGACCAUAUAUACAUACACACACAUUAGGUAUAGCUAAUUAUGUUAGGCAACUUUUGGGGUUGACAUUUCCAUAAGAUUUUCCACGUGCGUAUUUGCAUGAAGAUUUAGCAAGACCACCAUGAUACGUGAGCUUGAUAUUUUUCAACGAAAUGCCUUUGCAUGGAUUCGCCGGACUGCAAUCAAAUUUCACAGCUACUGAAGAUUUAGAAGAACCUUGAAUGUUGUUGUAGCUUAUGUCGCUUAUCGUCACUCCAGAAUGCUGCGCACGUAUAAUUGACGAUUAAUUAAUGCUAUAAAUCUACAAAUUAAUUUCUUAAUUUAUAUGAAUUUUUAAUCAUCAAUAAUAUAUAUUGUACCUUGUUUGGGCAAUUUUUACUAUGAGGGCAAUAGUUUUGGUUGAUGAUAAUUGGAUUCUUCACAUUUUUCAUGAUAGAAUUUUCGAAAACGACUCCUCUGACAUAUGCGGUGGUCGGUCUCCCCCAUGCUUUGAUCCUCAACCCAUUAUCACUUCCGGUGAACACCGUGUCCUUCACCGUUAUGUUCUGCACACCUUUCUCAUUGUAUGAUUUCCCUAUACUUCCAAUACUGAUGCCAUGUCCAGGACCGCAAGAGAUGCGUUCUGCCCACACGUUUCUCGUUCCACCGCUCAUUGAGAUACAAUCAUCGCCCGUCUUGAUAUUUGCAUCUAGGACGGUGACAUCAGAUGAUUUUUGUAUGCUGAUUCCAUCAGUGUUUGGGCUUUCAUCUGGUGCGAUAAUCGUGACUUUUCGCAACAUCACCCUUUGAGUUGAAUGGAUCACAAUGUGGAAUUGCUUGCUGUUCACAGAAGUGAGAUCUUCGAUCUUGAUGUUCUUCGAAUGGUCGAACAACAUAGACUGCAAGAUAUAUAUAUAGAAUUAAUUGAAUAUAUACAUAAUAUCUCUAGGGUUAAUUUGUGUGUUACUUACUCUCCAACCAUGGGGACAGUUUUUUCCAGAUUCCUUGCAUUUCCAGAGUGCUUGUCCCCGUCCGUCUACAGUGCCGCCCUGAAUAGCCAAUCCAUCGAUAUUUUUGAAAACAAUCCACUCAUUUCCAGAACCUUUGUAAUCAGAAGGAGCCAAUAACGUCCCCUUCAUCUUUAUUAGCACUCUACUCUUGCACGGUCCUUUGAACUGGACGUGACCGACCAAAAACUUUCCACUGGGAACAUAUAUCGUAGCUUCAUUAGAGGAGCUACAGGCAGAGGACCAAGCUUUGAGGAAUGCCUUUGUGGAGUCAGUAUGGCCAUUGGACUUGGCCCCAAAACUCAUGAUGUUGUACUCAGCUUUGGAUAAUGGAAGGUAGAAGACGACAAGUAUGGAGAAGAGGAGGAAGGAGAGGAAUGAUUUGGCCAUUGAAGAUCUAGAAAAAGAGUUGGUAAUUGGUAUGAUUGGUUGAAUGAAGUAUAUGUGUUGGGGUUAUUUAUAGGUAAUAAUGUUUUGAAAUAUUGCUGAUGACACGUAUGUUAAUUUAAAAAUAUAGUAAAUGUAAAAUAUUGAUAGAUCAAAUUGAUAUCUUCAUCUAUUAAUUUGCAAAGCGGAAGCCACCCGAUGGAGGUGGAGACGCCAAACCUUGAAGCCAUGAAGCCGUCGAGGUAGAUUUUAGCUUCUCAACAUGCCGAAAUUGAAAAAUAUUAUCUAAUUAUUAAAUUUUAAUUCUAAUUAACAACUGAACAAGUAUGAUUAACUAAUUAAUUGAUAAUCAACAGUAAAUAUGGAAUAUAUAUAUAAUGGAUUCGUUUCCAGAACGGUAUGUCCGAUUGUACGCCCGAUGCCAUCGGAUAGAUGCACAUGCAUACGCACAGUGAUGACAAUGCGACGUUCUAAAAACUAGGUGUAUAUAUAAUAUUAACAAGGGCUUAUAAGUAAUGACGCGAUUCAGCAUAGUGAUGACGCGAUUUUCUCUUCAAACUCAAUUUUUAAAGACCCUCUUCAACUGAUACCAUCUGAACUGUUGGUACCGAGACCCGUCUAGACAGACCACGGGCCGAGCAGACCUCAGGCCCAUCGCCUGACAAGCGGGCCUGAACCGACGAAGGCCCAAGGAGGUCUUUGAAGGACUUCUAUAAAUACUUCCUUUGUUCCAACAGGAGAGGGGGUUGAGUAUUAUUGAGAGAAACACUAGAGUGUUUUGUGUGAGCCCCCUAGCACGAACCCACACAUCAUCAAGAGUUAUAUCUAUGAAUGGGGUUAUUUCUCAAUAAAUGAAUUAUCAAAAGUAUUAUGUACUUAUAUACGUACUACAACUCAAAACUAAUAUAUUCAGUUAACACACCUAACUCAACUACUAACUGUUUUAAACUACUACUAACAGCAACUAAAUUUUCUUUAACUUUAUCCUUCUCAUAACUAUUAUUCAGAUUAUGUCCGGAUAAUCCGAAUCUGACCGAAUAAAAUCCGGAUAGGAAAAUCCGAAUCCGGAUAAAUUUUUGGAUAUCCAAAUACUUUGAAUCCGGAUAACUUUUUAUAAAAAUCUUAAAAUAAAAUUAUAAAAAUAUAAAAUCAUCAUUAAUAAAGUUAAUUAAUAAUCAAUUAAUUAAUCACCCUAAAAUCCGGAUAUUCGGAUAAUCCGGAAGUCAAUUUAUAUUUAUUCGGUUAUCCGAAUCCGAAAUUCUUAAACGAAUUUGGAUUUUAACGGUGGCUUUUUUGUAUAUCCGAAUCCGUUCAGAUAAAAUCUGGAUAUCACACUACAAGAUUCCUGCGUUUCAACGACGAUCAAAAAUCGUCGCUGAAAGUCAAAAAAUCGUCGCUAAAUUGGUUUCAGCGACGAUUAUUGAUCGUCGCUAAAGCUUCGCUGUAGGUCGCCUCGCUAAAAAUUUAGCGACGAUGUUGGAUAUCGUCGCUAAUUAUCAGCGACGAUGUGUCAUCGUCGCUGAUGUAAUCCCACACGCGCGCUAUUUUUUGGCGCCAAAAAAUAGCAUCGUCGCUGAAUCGUCGCUAAUAUUUGAAAAAGAUCAUCGCCAUAUCGUCGCUAAAUCGUAGCUCUCAAUAAAUUUUAAUAUUCCUUGUCUCAACUUAUCGUCGCUAAAUCGUCGCUUUUGUUAAAUUUUAAUUUUUCCUGUUUCAACUUAUCGUCGCUAAAUCGUCGCUAAAAUAUAAUACAAUAAAAAAAAUGUUUUAUUUAUAUGGGUGCUCAUUUAGAGCCUUACUAUUCAAUCACACCUGUAAAUACAUGCAAAUACAAUUCAACCCUAAAUACAAUUCAAUACCUGCAAAUACAAUUCAAUUCACACCAAUCUCAUACAUUCAAUUGAUCACACCAAUCACAUACAUUCAAUCAUACAAAUUUCACAUAUUAAAUCACAAAUGAAUCACAAAUUAGAUUAAGUGUUUAUUAGAGAUAAUAGAGUUAUAAUAGAGAUUACAAUUACAAUAGAGUUAAGUGUUUCAAUUACAAUAGAGGUAAGUGUUUUACAAUUUUUUUUGUUGAACAAUAUUGGAAAUAUCUAAAGUCUUACCUUUUGGUCGAGGUGUCGAAUUCAAAUUAGUAUCUUCUUCCCAAUAAUUUCUCGAUAAUGGAAUAAGUUGGUUCAACUGAGAAGAAACAGGAUACUCGAUGAUGGACGAUUCGGGUCGUUGCUUGUCGCAUUAGCCUGAAAAUAAAUGAAGAUAUUCAAAAAUUAAUAAAUUUAAAAACUAAUUUAAAAACAUUUAUUAAACUCACAUGUAUAUUGUCAAUUAACCGUUGUUCCAUCAUUUUAAAUCGUUUUUCGUUUUCUAUUUCGAACGCUUCCAUUCGUUUUUCAACGGCUUUGGAAACUGACAAUUCAAAUUCUUCAGUGUUGUGCUUCUCAGUUUCCUCAUUGCUCAUUUUCUUUCUCCUCUUAUUUGAUAACAUAGAGUCAUUGCCAACUCUAAAUCCCAGAAUGCGCCCAUUUUUCUUUCCCUUUGAUGCUUUCAGCCAAGGUCCAAUAUGAUCGUUUUUAAACAGAGGCUUCGUAUGAAAUGUAGUUGAACCUUGAGAAGAUAAAUUUUCAUCUUCGCUAUCAUCAUCAGAAUCAGAAUCACUGUCUUCUUGUCUUCGAAGUUCUUCAUUCAAAUUUUCAUAUUCGGCCUUUACGAAAAUCAAAUAUGAAAGAAUUAAGAAAAAAUAAAUAUAUUAUGAAUAAUUAAUAAAUGAUCACUCACCAUCUUAGUUUUUCCUCUAUCAUUUAACGGCGUAUGAGUUGACAAGAAUGCCUCUUGAAAUGACGGUUUUCGACCUAAUUUGAGACUCUAUACGAAAAAAUCUAGUUAAAAUAAUUCAUAAAAUAUUUAAAUUGAAAUGAAUUUAAAAUAUAAACUUACUAAUGCAUGAGAGUUGGCUUCAAAAGAAGCCGAUCCACCCUUGUACACCAAAUAAUUGUCGUUUUUAGUUCGAUUUGCUGAAUUCUUUUUUGAUUUUUCUACGAACUCUGGUGCCAAAAACUUGUCCAUCAUUAGUCUCCAUUUUUCUUUUGUAAUGUAUGUUGGAGGGAAAUCUUUGCAAGUCUCGUCAAGUUCUGAGACACCAGCAUUUCUCUUUGCAUCCAGUCUUGCUUUGCUAAGCCAUUUUGGAUAAUUAAUAGUCAGGUACUGAUUGAAUGCAUUCCGAGCACGGUCUUGGUCAUCAAAUUUAAAGAAUUUCUACGCAGAAAAAAUUAUUGAGUUAUUUCUCAAAUAAUCAAAUAAAUUGAACACAUAUAUAGAAGACAUACAAUCACAUAACAUACCAAAAAUUUGUCCCAAAUUAUAUCUUUAUCCUCAUCGCUCCAUUGAGCCCAUGUAAUUUCUGCUCCUGGAAUAAAUCCUUUAACCAAACAACCAAUUUGCUUUCGUAUAUCAUUUGGAAAUGUUCUGUAAGUUAAAUUUUAAGUUCAAUUAAUAUAAUGAAAAGAAAGUUAUUUGAUUAUUUGAUUUUGAAAUGAAUUACAUACCCAGAUUGAAAAACAACUCCAGGAAAUGGUGUUGAAGGUUGUGGAAUUCCUUUUGUAAAUUUUCUAGUACAUCGACGAGCUGAUUCCACCUCAUUGUCGACAGAUUGUCGUUGUCGACGUAUUUGACCACGCUUACGUCCUUGUCCACNNNNNNNNNNNNNNNNNNNNNNNNNNNNNNNNNNNNNNNNNNNNNNNNNNNNNNNNNNNNNNNNNNNNNNNNNNNNNNNNNNNNNNNNNNNNNNNNNNNNNNNNNNNNNNNNNNNNNNNNNNNNNNNNNNNNNNNNNNNNNNNNNNNNNNNNNNNNNNNNNNNNNNNNNNNNNNNNNNNNNNNNNNNNNNNNNNNNNNNNNNNNNNNNNNNNNNNNNNNNNNNNNNNNNNNNNNNNNNNNNNNNNNNNNNNNNNNNNNNNNNNNNNNNNNNNNNNNNNNNNNNNNNNNNNNNNNNNNNNNNNNNNNNNNNNNNNNNNNNNNNNNNNNNNNNNNNNNNNNNNNNNNNNNNNNNNNNNNNNNNNNNNNNNNNNNNNNNNNNNNNNNNNNNNNNNNNNNNNNNNNNNNNNNNNNNNNNNNNNNNNNNNNNNNNNNNNNNNNNNNNNNNNNNNNNNNNNNNNNNNNNNNNNNNNNNNNNNNNNNNNNNNNNNNNNNNNNNNNNNNNNNNNNNNNNNNNNNNNNNNNNNNNNNNNNNNNNNNNNNNNNNNNNNNNNNNNNNNNNNNNNNNNNNNNNNNNNNNNNNNNNNNNNNNNNNNNNNNNNNNNNNNNNNNNNNNNNNNNNNNNNNNNNNNNNNNNNNNNNNNNNNNNNNNNNNNNNNNNNNNNNNNNNNNNNNNNNNNNNNNNNNNNNNNNNNNNNNNNNNNNNNNNNNNNNNNNNNNNNNNNNNNNNNNNNNNNNNNNNNNNNNNNNNNNNNNNNNNNNNNNNNNNNNNNNNNNNNNNNNNNNNNNNNNNNNNNNNNNNNNNNNNNNNNNNNNNNNNNNNNNNNNNNNNNNNNNNNNNNNNNNNNNNNNNNNNNNNNNNNNNNNNNNNNNNNNNNNNNNNNNNNNNNNNNNNNNNNNNNNNNNNNNNNNNNNNNNNNNNNNNNNNNNNNNNNNNNNNNNNNNNNNNNNNNNNNNNNNNNNNNNNNNNNNNNNNNNNNNNNNNNNNNNNNNNNNNNNNNNNNNNNNNNNNNNNNNNNNNNNNNNNNNNNNNNNNNNNNNNNNNNNNNNNNNNNNNNNNNNNNNNNNNNNNNNNNNNNNNNNNNNNNNNNNNNNNNNNNNNNNNNNNNNNNNNNNNNNNNNNNNNNNNNNNNNNNNNNNNNNNNNNNNNNNNNNNNNNNNNNNNNNNNNNNNNNNNNNNNNNNNNNNNNNNNNNNNNNNNNNNNNNNNNNNNNNNNNNNNNNNNNNNNNNNNNNNNNNNNNNNNNNNNNNNNNNNNNNNNNNNNNNNNNNNNNNNNNNNNNNNNNNNNNNNNNNNNNNNNNNNNNNNNNNNNNNNNNNNNNNNNNNNNNNNNNNNNNNNNNNNNNNNNNNNNNNNNNNNNNNNNNNNNNNNNNNNNNNNNNNNNNNNNNNNNNNNNNNNNNNNNGUGCAUGGUCUUAUGAAAAAUCCCAAGCUCAUCUUCACUUGUUCUUGAUAUAAUCGAAAGGCUUCAGAAAGUGUCUUUCAAUUGGAAGAUUAGUGAUGAGAUGCGGUGGUCCGAAAGUGUCUACAUGAUCCCUUUGAAGUUCUUUGUCUCUCAUAGACAUCAAUACAAUCACCAAAGACCCAAUGAAUUCAUAUAAAGUGAAAGAUGGUUUAACUCUCAUUUUCACGAGAUGAUUCAUGAACUCACUCCUCUGUGUGCUUGACAUACCGGCAAAAAAAUAGUCUGUCAUAUACAGAGGGCACCACUAAUGUCUUAUCUUAAAGAUGUCUUCCAACUAUUUAUUAUGGCACAAAUUAUGGCGUGAAAUCCAGCCAUUCCACUUCGCAUCAAAUUCGUCAGUCGAUUCAGAAUUAUUUAGAAAAUCGUGAAAACCUGCCAUUGCAUUUUUAUCUCUAUACACAUUUCCAAUUUUAUUGGCAAAUUUGUGCGUGAUAUGUCAUUUACAAAAAUGUUGGAAUGUAUUUGGAAACACAAUAGGUAGGGAAAGCUCCAUUGCUCUGUCCUGAUCAAUAAUAAUAGUAACUAGGGCAACAGACAUGCAAUCUAGGAAUUGUUGGAAUAACCAAAUAAAUUAUUCUUUACCUCAUUAGACAAGAAUCCAGCACCGAAAAGAAUAGAGUUUAGAUUGGGAUUCACUCCACAGAACAUCCCAUAUAUCAACUUAUAUUUGUUCGUGUUAUAUGUUGUGUCAAAAGUAACGGCAUCUCCAAAUAGUUUGUAAUCUUCAACGCAUUGUGAAUCGGUACAAAAAAGAUGUUUCAAUUUACCUGACAAUGAAAUAUUAUGAAAAUAAAUUUCAUAAUAUUAUGAGAUAGAGAAAGAAAUGAAAAUAAUGAAGUAUGUAUAGCUUCGUCAUCAUUUUCGAACGAAUAGAAGAAUGAGGGAUUUAUAGACUGAAGGUUUUGAAAUUUCUCUAUAACAAGACCCAUGUCUUUAUCACAUGCGUUGAUACGUGCGACGUGCGUCGCUCUGAAAGUUAUAGAAAUCGGAUUUAGUGAAUGAAAGAUUUGAAAAUCCAACUGAAUUCAUAGCCACAUAUGAGUAUUGUUGAAAUGGAUGGAAGUGUAAGGAAUUGAGAGAAUCUUUUAACCCCCGGGAUGCAGAAGACAUGUGUCGAUUAACACGGAGCAAACAACGUUUCCUAGGAGUUACUAGGGGUGCGUAUGAUCUUCGACGAAAAUAUAAACUCUCCAAUUCGCGGUUUUUGUAUCAAUCUUGAAGGUGAUUUGAUCCUUGCAAGACUCCCGCAAAUUGUGCGAUUUGCCGGUCAUCUUGUGACAUUGAACAAGAUCAGUGUCAGUCUUCUUGGAUGACUCUCCCUGUUUCGAACAAACAAAUUUCUUCGUCUGAAGAACAGAAUCAGAAAUUUUCGACGACCCCCGACGAACGUCAAAACUAAGAGACCAAGCGUAAGAGUAAUAAAAUUGACGACCUGAUUCCAAAUCCAAAAAAAAUUGACCAACAAAGGGGGUAGGUGAGUGUGGCGAAACGUCAGACGACUUGACAAUAGAUAGAGUAUUGGUGUUACGGGAAGGGCUAUCGAUAGAAAUUAAUGUAUGAACAUCGUCAUCCAUUCUGAAGCUGUGAAAAAAAAAUAUUAGGGGUUAAGGAGAUUGCAAAUAAGAACACAAACUAAGCAACAGUAUCAAACAUGUCAGGAGCAUGGCUUGAAACCAUUUUAGAAACAACGGUGACAUAUGAUUCAGCAACAAUAGUAUCAAUCAAUUUCGAAACAACGAUAUCAAACAUUUGAGGACAUGGGUUGAAACUAUUUUAGGAACAACGGUAACAUAUAUUUCAGGGACAACGGUAUCAACGAAUUCAGAAACAAACGAUUGAAGGCAUUUCAGGAACAUGGGUGUAACUAAUUAAGGAAUUAUCGACCAAUUAACGAUCAACGGUUUCAACAUUUCGGGAAGAUUGGUCUAAGGCAUUUCAGGGACAAAGAUGUCAACCAAUUAAGGAACUAUCGAUCAAUUAACGAACAACGGUCCCAACAUUUCAGGAACAUUGAUGUAAGGCAUUUUAGAAACAAGGGUUUCAACCAAUUAAGGAACUAUCGACCAAUUGAGGAACUAUCAACCAAUUAAGGACUCGGUAAUAGAUUGACGGAUGUAAAUAUAGAUAGUCGAAAGAGAGUCAAAUACCGACGGAGAGGUAAAAGUUGAAGAAAAAAUGUCAAAGACGCAAUGGCUUGCAGCAACUCCGGUGACCGGUAAUGAGUGGUAUUCUAAGUGUAUGGAGAUCUGAUCAGUGUCGUGGGUUCGAGUCCCACAGACGGCGCCAGCUGAUGAAGCACAGAAUCUGCUACCAGUAGGCUCGCGGGGUUGCGAGAUGGUUCGGAGGCUGUGGAGUCCACGACGCGCGCUCUACGUCAAACACCUGCAGAAGAGGAGGGGAAUCGACGACUCUCUUGAAGCGAUUCGGGCUCCUGGAAGCUCUAGUGUGGAGUGUGUUGGUCAAAUGAGAAUGUUAUGAAUGGAGGACACCCCUAGGACCCCUUUUAUAGGGUCCUAGAGGCGUUUCCAUUCAAUUGAGUGGGGUCCACCCCGUUAUGGUACCCUAUUGAAGGGCGCCAUAAUGGAGUGGGCCCGCCCAAGUAACGGCUGGGAGUCGGCGACUCAGGUGUGGGAGUCGCCGACCCAGAGGUGGAGUCGCCGACUCCUUUGAGGCCAAGUCCUGGGUCUACCAGACCCGAGUUCCCUGGCCGGAGUCGGCGAUGCACCACUGGAGUCGGCGACUUGGUAGUCCCAGUCGGCGACUCCCAAGUGUUGCUUUGGGCUCUUGACGUAGACACGUGCCCCGCACCGUGGAAGCCUUCCGGGGGUCCGGCAUAUAGCGACGGAACCCUAUUCCUUGUUUGAAGGGCGUUGCUGGGAGUGACUGACGUAAUCAGGCAUGUCUCACCAGUACUCCCACCUGAAGAGAGCAUAGGAGACAUGUGUGUACCGUCAGAGAUGUGUGCCAAUAACUGAUUAAAAAACAAUAUAAUAAAGUGACGAUUAAGAUUAACUGCAACAACAUCCAACAGUUCAGAUAGGGUGAGCGUUUUUGAGUUCACUGGAAAAAAGCCGAAAUAUUUUCAUACACUAAGUCAAUUUAUGAAAAAAACCGACACAAGCAUACUUGGAUCUUAUUUUUAAACUGUUAAGAUAUUUUAAAAAUUCCCCAGGGCAGGGGAUAAUUAUGGUCUUAAGAAACAAUCCAUUAGAACUAGUACCCUCUGUGAUGCGGAUUAGGCGUCGUGCACAAUCACAAUUCAAGGAGAUAAGUAACAUGGUAUUGUGUGAUGUUAGGAGCUAGAAACCCUAAUUUCUUGGAAAUCUGAAAAGUAAAACACUGUCUGCAAAUUUUCAGCAGAGGCUGAAUAUAGAGCUCUUGCUUCAAUUACAAGUGAAAAGCUUAAUUAGCUGACUCAACUUUUAAAGGAUAUUAAAAUUCCUUUUACAAAACCAUAUAUAGUCCAUGGAGAUAACAAAAAAACUAGUGCAAGGCAUAAUUACACUGGACUUAUUAUUUUCAGAAGAGCAACUAGCAUAUAUUCUUGCAAAACUAGUGAGUCAAACAAUAAUUUCGCAUAUACUAGUCAAGCUAUGUAUUAAAAAUAUUUACUUCCCAGCUUGAAUAAGUACCAAAUAACAAAUAAGGUUUAAAUAGAUUUGAAAUAAAAACAAUUUAAAACCAAUAACAGUUAAUUAAGUAAUAAGUCAACUAGGCUAAUACAAGUAAAUAAGCCCAUUAAGGUCAUGUACUCAUGUUUAUUAUAUUAAAUAGUAAAAGAGUGUAUUCGAUAAGACCAAUUAUUGUUAUUAUCGAGAAUAUUUAGUUAAAAACAGAUUAUUAAUUACAACAGUUAGAGAUUAGUUAAGAUAAAGUAUCUAAAUGAUAUACCGAAAUCCGUAUUCGAAAAAUCCAUCGUUCGUUUAAAAAUUUCAGAUACGAAUAUUCGGUUAUCCGGAUAAUCCGAAUAACUUUAGAGUUAGUGUUAGGGUUAAGGUUAUGAUUUAAUAAUUAUAAUUUAAUAAGUUAUAAAAUUUAAAGUUAUAACUUAGGUAAUUAGGUUUAAAACUUUAAGUGUUUAAUGAUUUAUAAUAUAAAUAUAUAAAUAUAAUAAUAAUUUAUUAUAUAUUCAUUCGAAUAUCCGAAUUCAGAUUUUAACGACGGAUAUUUCGGAUAUUAGAAUUCGACCGAAUAAAAUCCAGAUUUUAAUUUAGGUAUCCGAAUCCGGAAUUCGAAAAUUCGAAUAUAGAUAGUCAUAUUCGAAUCCGAAUGCGGAUUCGAAUACGGAUUCCGUACAGGCUUUCAUCAUGAUUCGGUUGACUCUCUUUAUUCUUUAAUGAAAUAUAUCACUUGUUUUCACUUUUAAGACAGUAGAAAAGUAAAAUAAUACAGGAAUUUUCAGGUAAAUUCAGACUUAGGUAAGCCCAAAUAAGCUCACUUCAUUUCAACCGUCUGAUCUUUGUAUUUUUAAUCUCGUCCGUCCAUCACUUUUAUUAGUGUUUUAUUUUUGUUGUGCACAAAUCUUUAAAAAAAUUGUUACUAACCUAUUUUUAAGAUCCGGAUUUGACUAACAAAAAUGAUAUCCGGAAGUAAUUUUAAAAUUCCAAAUAAAAUGAAAUAGUAUAAAGAGGAUUUAGGGUUACAGAAACUUUAUCAAUUUUAUGAAUGAAACACUAAAGUUCCAUCUUCUCCAUCUCUCAAAUCACCUCCGGGUAAACCAGUCGAAUAAUCCGACCAUCCCAGCUCACCACCCGAUCUUCGAUGCCUUCAUCUCGAUCUCUCAACGAUCUCUCCAAAUGCGAUUUAUCGUCCUGUUCUGCCGAAUUGAGCCCUGCCCCCAAAUCAGCUUCACAGGAGUGACUUGACCAAGCUAAGACUCAAUAUCAGGAGUAUAUCUCCGUUGAGCGCUGCUUCGGACACCCGUGAUUUAUCUCGCGGAUCUGAGGCAACACCAAUUUACAGGUGAACUCCUUUCAUUUGUAACGAUCCGACUUAGCUCGUAUCAUUUGGUGCUUUAUUAAGUUGAACUCUAAAUUUUUUUCAGAUGGCUAAUAACAUAGACCUAUCAUCCAAUCCGGAUUUCCUACGUCUGCAAGCAUUACAAAUGAAUCAGAUCAAGGAUAUGGGCGAACUGAUAAAUUUAGUGAACAAUAAUUUCCUACAAUUGGGGAAACAAGUCUCUGAUUUAUGUACAAAGAUCUCGAGAAUUAAAGAGGGGUCUAUACCUGAAAAACCUCCCGACCAAGUAAAACAUCCACUAAAUUACUACCAAUCAGUGGUAGAUCUGGACAAAUCUAGCUAUGCACUAUCAGUUUUGGGAGAUCCAAGCUACAUACCAGCUAAGCAUAUUAAGGUCAAUAUGCCAAGGUUUGAUGACACUGAAGCAAAGCACUGACUUUAUUCUGUAACAAGAUAUUUUAUAUUUAAUAAAGUACCCGAAGACCAAAAAUUAUUAAUAGUUUCAUUUUAUCUGGAUGGGAUAACAAGAAAAUCGUUUUCUUGGCUAGAAGCAAACAACAUGCUUUCUACAUGGCCCAAUUUUGUAGAUGCAGUGGUGAGAAAAUUCACCACACUACACUAUCAAUUACCUGGAGGCAAGUUAAGUAAACUCAUACAAGAAGGAACAGUUGCAGAAUAUCAAAACUUAUUUCAAGAGAUGUCUACAAGGGUUUUGGGGCUCCCUGAAUACUUUAUACUUGAAAUGUAUAUAUCUUAAUUAAAAGAAGAAAUACAGGAAGAUAUGAUACUGGGGAUGCCUAAUGACAUUCAUGAAGUAUUUGAACUUUUAAUUAUGAUUGAAGCAAGAAGGGGAGAGUACAGUAAAUCACCUACCUAUAAACCCUAUGCUCAUAAACCAUUCACCAAAACUAACUCCUACUCUUGCCAGCAACAAAACACAUCAAUAAUUACUGAAAAACCAAACCCAUGAACAUAUGAGAUACCUACAACAAAGAGGCUAACAGCAUCUGAGAGAGUUGAAAAGAGAAGAAAAGGUCUUUGCUUCAACUGUGAUGAGAAAUUUUCUGUUGGUCAUAACAAUGUAUGUGUGGGCAGAAAGGGCAAGCUGUUUAGAAUGUCUGCAGAUCAGUUUGAGUUGGUAGAAAUUGAAGAACAAGAUGAGAAUGAAAAUAAUGAGCUGGAAUUUAAUAAUGAUACUAUUGACAGAGGCAGGACUGAAAUCUCUCUCCAAGCAUUUGAAGGUAAUGUUAGUUCUAACACACUCAAAGUUUAAGGAUAUAUUAAAUGUCAGUCAGUCAGAUAGAUUCAGGAUCCAACCACAAUUUUAUGCAAACUUAUUUGGCAAUAGCAUUAAAAUUGAUUGUAUUAGUGAUCAUACCAUUCUAUGUGUCAACUGGCAGUGGUGAAAAAUUAAUAUGCAAUAGAAUGUGCAAGGGUGUUGAGAUCAAGAUCCAAGGUAAUUCUAUUAUAAUGGAUAUAUAUCUAAUCCAUAUGGCAGGUUCUAAUAUUGUUAUUGGGGCACAAGGCCUAAAAACAUUUGGCCCUGUCACAUUCAAUUUUGAAAAAUCUACUAUGAAGUUUACUUUAGGUGAUAAGAGAGUCACAUAGGAAGGAUUGCCCUGGGUUUCAGAUGAUCCAUUGACAGUGGGACAGCUAAAAUAUUUAAUUACUUUUACACAAGAAGCUUACCUCUGUUAUCUAGAAAGGGCAGAAAAUAAUGAACCUACUGCUGCAUUGGAAAACAAAAUUCCAGAAAUAGCUAAAGUGGUCCAAGAAUACUGUGAUCUCUUUGAAGACCCAUGUGGGCUACCUCCUAACAGAGAAGAUAAUCAUUCAAAUCACUUGGAUCCAAGUUCAAAAUCAAUGAAUGUAAGACCAUGUAGGUAUCCAAAAUUUCAGAAAUCUGAAAUUGAAAUGCUAAUUUCAGAAAUGCUAAAACAAGGGAUAAUAAAACCAAGUUCUAUCCAUACUUGAUGAAGCACUGAAUCUGCUACCAGGGCUCGCGGUGGUGCGAGGUUGAUGCCGGAGGCUUUGGAGUCCACGACGCACGCUCUACGUCAAAUACCUGCAAGUGGAAACUAGGCGAUUCUAAUGAGACUCGCCGAGUUUCGUAGUGUGGUGCUCCAGUGUGAGAGUGGAACUUGAAUCGUGCCUUUGAGUGUCCCCUUGGGACCCCUUUUAUAGGGUCUCGGAGGGCGCACUCAUCGGCGGAGAUCGCGCCUAUGGUCAUAUAUGGUAACAUUUAUGACGUUGGCUGCCGCCGAGUAACGGUCGUAAGUCGCCGAUUCAGGUGUGGAAGUCGCCUAGUUAAGGGCUAACUCGGCGAGUUUCUAGGGCCAAGAUGUACAGUCUACCAUCCUGACGAUCUUGCCUUAACUCGGCGAGUUAUCCUGUAUGUCGGCGACUUGGUAGUCCAAUCGGGCGACUUUACGGGCUAACUCGGCGAUCUGGACGAUGAACGUGUUCCGCACCGUGGGAGCUCUCCGGGGGUCCUGCCAUAGCGACGGAGCCCUAGUCCUUGUUGAGAGGCGUUGAUGGGUAGUGAUUGGUGUAAUCAGGCAUGUCUCACCAAUACUCCCCCCUGAAGAGAGCACAAGAAACAUGGUGUAUCACCAGUACCCCCCCCGUCAAUCAAGGUUCAAAGUGUUUGAUCCAGCACCAAGGCCAAAGCGACAAGAUGAGAUCGAAUCAUCCACCCACAGUGACGUAAUGAUUCAGAAUCCAUAGGCCAAAGCGACAAGAAUGGAUCGAGUUCCAGGCCACGGUAACUCAUGUUUAUAGUCCUUCCCUGAUCAGGGGCGACUGCACUGUGUUAUCGAGGCCGAAGCGACAAGAUAAAUUCCGGCCAAAGCGACGGAAUCGAUUAAGGCUAUUUAGCGACAGAAUCGGGUUCUUGCCAGAGCGAUAGAACCAAGUUCUAGCCAAAGCGAUAGAACUAAUGUUUAUAGUCCACUCUGAUCAAGAGCGACUUAAAGUCCGCAACGACGGCCCCCUUCAAGGCUUUUUAGCGACAAGAUGGGUUGAGAAUCGUUAAGGCCAAAGCGACAGAACGAUCUCUAGUGUAUCAAGGCAGAAUGCGACAAGAUACUUGGACUCACUAUUAGAAAACAUUCUGGCCAAAGCGACAGAAUAAUAUCUGCAAAAAAGAAAACAUCCUGCAAAACAACUAAAUCAGUCUGAAAACGCAUAUGAUUAUUGACCGAAAAUACCUCUUGCGAUACUCUUUUCCUUACUUUAGCCAAUCCUCGGUGAAUCUGGCCGAAGCGACAGACUGACCGUGUUUAUGUAUGACGACUUCUGGCCAGAGCGACAGAAGUGUCGGGAGAGCUUGUGAUACUCCCCCCUGAAGAUUGACGAUCUCUAGCCAAAGCGAUAGAAAUGUCGGGAGAGCUUGUGAUACUCCCCCCCGAAUUUUGACAAUUUCCGANNNNNNNNNNNNNNNNNNNNNNNNNNNNNNNNNNNNNNNNNNNNNNNNNNNNNNNNNNNNNNNNNNNNNNNNNNNNNNNNNNNNNNNNNNNNNNNNNNNNNNNNNNNNNNNNNNNNNNNNNNNNNNNNNNNNNNNNNNNNNNNNNNNNNNNNNNNNNNNNNNNNNNNNNNNNNNNNNNNNNNNNNNNNNNNNNNNNNNNNNNNNNNNNNNNNNNNNNNNNNNNNNNNNNNNNNNNNNNNNNNNNNNNNNNNNNNNNNNNNNNNNNNNNNNNNNNNNNNNNNNNNNNNNNNNNNNNNNNNNNNNNNNNNNNNNNNNNNNNNNNNNNNNNNNNNNNNNNNNNNNNNNNNNNNNNNNNNNNNNNNNNNNNNNNNNNNNNNNNNNNNNNNNNNNNNNNNNNNNNNNNNNNNNNNNNNNNNNNNNNNNNNNNNNNNNNNNNNNNNNNNNNNNNNNNNNNNNNNNNNNNNNNNNNNNNNNNNNNNNNNNNNNNNNNNNNNNNNNNNNNNNNNNNNNNNNNNNNNNNNNNNNNCAACACUUACCCCGAUUUGCUUAAACCCUAAUCCCUUUCCAAGUCGUCGAGUUUCUUCAUAACUCGCCGACUCUCAUCACAAUCACCAGAACUCUUUCCAAAGUCGCCGAGUCUACCCUUACAUCGCCGAUAUAUGGCAGACCAACCGUCUCUACCUAGACUGACCAUGUCGGAGACCGAAGCUCUGGUCGCUGACAUUCUGAACGAGGACAUUGACGAAGGCCUGACGGGGGUGCUCGACACCGUCGAGUCUCCGAUUCCUUCGCCUUCGCGCGGUGGGUCGGAGAUUCUGGCUGUCGACGCGCCUCAAGACGUCAGGUUCCUUGCUACUGCCCGCGAGUUGCUCGGGCUGACUCCUGAAAACUCGCCGAGUUCUCAAAAGAAAUCGGCGAGUUUGACGGAUUAUUCCCUGGCUCUUGUCGUGGCAGAGCCUUCUGUUGAACCGGGUGAGAUCCCCCCGACUCUUGCAGCUAAGUCGGCGAGUCUCCUUGGGAAGUCGCCAACCAAAGGCAAGGGGGGUAUCCCCAUGUUUAAGAGACCUCGCCGAGUAAUUCAACUCGGAUCGGCGAGUUCAGUACAAGCAUCGGCGAGUUCAACACCUAAAUCGCCGACAUUGCCCCCAAACUCGGGGGUUGAAAUUGAAGAUUUUCCACCUAUCCAAGUGGUGGAUGUUGACAGGCCGGAUGAUGAAUCUGAGAGGCCAAAGAAGAGAAAGAGGAAGCACCCUAAACAUGCUAGGGACUCUUCCGACAAGCCUGACAACACGAGUGCCCCCAUUCCUCAUAUUUAUGGGAUGGGUGGUAGAGGAAAGAUACACUUCCCCUCUGCGGAGGAUGUAAGGGUGCCUGAGCCCUUUGACUACACUCAGGAUAUUCCAGUUGACCGCGGCCAGAGCCGAAGCCGCGAGGACAGAUCGAACACUCCUCCUCCUCCUAUGGAAAUGGACAAGGAUGGAGAUCAUAUAAACCUCCCAUUCUACGAGGGAGUUGAGAACCACACCGGCUACGCACACUGUGAAACUUUGCCGGGUAGUGAAAUCAGACUGUUGCCCCUCUGUGAUACUGACGAGGGGUCUUUUGAAGAGGUUUCUGUCAAUGCGCCUCUCGUGCCUCAGAACGAGACUGCGCAUCCAUUUUCGAUAACCUCAGCACUUGAAGCCCGUGAGAUUCUGCGCGGGAUUCGCAUAUCUGGGCACCUGCGAUNNNNNNNNNNNNNNNNNNNNNNNNNNNNNNNNNNNNNNNNNNNNNNNNNNNNNNNNNNNNNNNNNNNNNNNNNNNNNNNNNNNNNNNNNNNNNNNNNNNNAAUAUCAGCCCGCGAAUCUGCCCCCAGCCGGGUUUCAAGCCAUCCCCCGCCUCUAUUUCAGACACUUCUCGAUGCUGCCGAUUCCAGCACUGAUGAGUGAAGUGCUUCUUCACGGGGGGGUGUCGAUGUCGCAGAUGCAGGCAGCUUUCUUUGUAUAUCUGAGAGGGUUCUCCAACAUCUGUUGGAGUUUGAAUAUCCCCGUGACCGCCGCCUUAUUCUUCUGGUUUUUUAAGUUUGUGAAGGCACCCGCUUCCGAAUCUGGUCGGUUGGGGUUGGCAAAGCGGUUCAACGGAAGAGAGAUGAUCAUAGAACUCCCCACUAACUAUGGGCCUCAGUGGAAGAGCGAGUUCUUUUUUAUUGAAUCUACAUUUGUACGCGGGAGCCGCGAGAGGUGGGCCAACGCUCGCCGCGUACACCUGGAUGUUCCUUGUGCCCUAUGCAAGGCUGAGCUGAAGCGGGUGAAGAAGAUUUCUUCUGCUCUUGCUUCUUUCGAAUGCGGGCAAGGAGUUCCUUUCGCUUUGUGCCAGCGAGAGGAUUUCACUUUUUCUGACGUGGCACACUAUCUGCGGUCAGAGGACCCUUCUGGAAAUCCAAUCAAGAAGAAGAAGGGUGCACAUCUAUACCGCGAGGCGGUCCUUCCACACUUGGCCGUGAGACUUCGCGGCGCUAAGCUGAUACGAGAAAGGAAGGCCCAAGAGACUGGCCCCCGCAGAACCUUCGAGACUGGGUCGAGCUCGAGGUCUGUGCCUGAGUUCGCCCCCUUCCGCACCACAUUUGACUAUCCGGGCUUGUUUGCCGAUGAAGGGGUGCGGACGAAGGCUGCCCAGCUGCUUCUGACUAAGCCUGGGGAUUGGAUACGCGAAGAGCUUGGAAAAGCUAUAUCUGCUGUAAGUGAUUCGCAAUCGCUUCUCACUUAUAUUUGUUUUAUUUUAUUUUACUAAUUGAUUGUUUUGUAGGUCGCGUAUCUAUCAAAUGCAACCAUUGGGAUGCAAUCUGCAAACGACACCCUCCGUUCCCAACAGGAGUACAACAAGCUUGAUGACAAGUAUCAAGCUGUUUGCAAAGAGGUGUGGUCGUUGAGAAAGACCCUCCAACGGAACAAGAAGUUGGAGGAACAAGCUGCUGAGCACGAGAAAGCGAUGGCGGCGAAGACCAAAGAGUGCGCUGCGCACCGAUCUGAGAUUGCUGAUCUUCGCCGAAGCUGUGACUCUCUGAAGGAAAAUGAGUCGCCUCUCGCUGCUGCCCGAAAACAGGUUGAUACACUGAAGACGCAGCUUGAUGUGGAAGUGGGGAAUGCAAUGAUUUCUGAAACACAGAUUCAGAAAUUGAAAGUUGAGCUAUCUGAUUCCACUUCCGCUCUGAUAAAUUUGGAAGAUCGCUUCUCUCGAUCCACGGAGAAGUUGAAGAAGCUGAAGGAAGCUCUGGACGCUUCUUCCGAAAAGGUGAAGGACUUGGAGUUCGAAGUUGAUGGUCAAUCCGAUCAACUCCAAGACGUGAACUUUUUUGGACCUCACGUGUUUGCAAGUCUGCCCGCCAACUACAUUUCAGACAUUAUGGCGUGGCUAGAAGAACAUCCUGAAGUGCAGCUGGAGCACAAGGAGGCUUUAGAUAAGAUCAAAAGCGAUGUUCGUAACGCGAGAAAAGAAGAGGAUUAGAAUAGAACUAUGUAAUAGCUUCUCUUCUUAAAAUUUUGUAGUUAAUGAAAUUACUUUUUGCUAAUGUGUUCUUAGAGUUAAACUAGAUUCAUAAAUCGUAACUUAGUCGCUCUGGACGUAAGUUAGAUUCUUAGGACAUAGGUUUAGUCGUGCGAAUCGUAGUUGGAUCUAAACUAGAAUCAUAAAUCGUAACUUAGUCGCUUUUGGACGUAAGUUAGAUUCUUAGUCACUUAGGACGUGAGUUUGGAAAAACUCGACUUAACUAGAUUCCCAAAUCGUAACUUAGUCGCUUUUGGACGUAAGUUAGAUCCUUAGUCACUUAGGACGUAAGUUUGGAAAAGCUCAACUUAACUAGAUUCCCAAAUCGUAACUUAGUCGCUUUUGGACGUAAGUUAGACUCUUAGUCACUUAGGACGUAAGUUUGGUUGUAUGAAUCGUAGUUAAACUCGAUAGAUGAAAGUGGUUUGAUAUCCACUAGUUCUUAAUUCGCUCGUGCGAAUAAGAGUUGUGGUCACAACGCUUCUCUGAAUUAGACCUAUUUAUUCUAACCCUGGAUUUGAACCCUUGACGAUUUAGUCCGACUCCUAGUGAGGGAGUGACUUGUUGAUCCACAUCAAGUCUUUUUAGCGACGAGAUUGGAUAGGAUCAUUAGGGCCGUAGCGACGGAAUGAUCUUUGUUCUACUGAGGCCAAAGCGACACAAUAGAUUUAGGGUAUCCAUACGGGCUAGAAUGCGCAAAUAUAUUUUAUAACUAGCUAACAUACAUACUAGGAAAACUAAAGAAAAUAAACUUGAUGCUUGUGAGUACUAUGCAUAGUACUGCUGCAUGUUGUCCGCAUGCCAGGUGUUAGGAACCAUUGUUCCAUCCUGUCGUCGCAGGCGAUAAGUUCCUGGCCUUAUCUCCUCCUCAACGAUGUAGUGACCUUCGAAGUUUGAAGAUAGUUUAUUUCUUGGCCUAUUCCUUUCUGUUAUGCUAGCCUUCCGCGUGACGAGAGUUCCUGACAAGAAAACUUUUUUGCGUACUUGGCGAUUGUGGUAUCUUGAUACGCUUGCCUUGUACGAUUCGUUUCGCAGGUCCGCCUCGUCACGUGUUUCAUCCCUUAACUCUAGUUCUGUGGCUAGGUUUUGGUCAUUUACUUGUUGGUCGUACUUCGAGACUCGAUACGUUGGUAUACUCAUCUCGAUUGGUACGACUGCUUCUACUCCAUAGGUCAUGGCAAAAGGGGUGUUGCCCGUGGGGUUCUUACUCGUUGUGCGAUAUGCCCAUAGGAUUUCGCACAACUUGUCCGCCCAGGCACCUUUGGCUGAUUCGAUUUUCUUUUUCAAUCCCUGUACGAUGGCCUUGUUUGUGACCUCCACUUGCCCGUUUGCCUGAGGUCGGUAAACGGAGGCGAAGUGGAGCUUUAUGUUUAGGUCCUCGCACAUUCUUGAAAAUUUCCCCCCCGUGAACUGUGAGCCAUUGUCCGUGACAAUGUCUUGGGGAAUGCCGAAUCGACAGACUAUGGAGCGGUAGAUAAACUUGACUGCCGCAUCCUGAGUGAUUUUCGCCACAGCCUAAGCCUCGACCCACUUUGUAAAGUAGUCUACUGCUACAAAGAUGAAUCGAGCCUGGGAUGUUGAGGGGGGGAAUGGUCCUACGAUGUCCAACCACCACCUUGCGAACGGUAUUGAGCUCAGAAUCGGAGUCAUUUCCGCGGAUGGUUUUUGCUGCAUAGGGCUGUGCAGCUGACAUGCUCGGCACUUGCGGACGUAAGUGCGAGCUUCCAACCUUAAGGUGGGCCAAUAGUACCCGAGCCUUAUGAUUUUGAAGGCCAAUGCUCUUCCCCCUUCAUGGAGUCCGCAUGAGCCUUCAUGUACUUCCCGAAGAACCCUACUAGUAUCGGGUUGGGCCAAACAGCGUAGCAAAGGACUAUCAAAGGACUUUUUGUAAAGUACCCCUCCGACAUCACAGUAUUUUGCUGCACUGUGUUUUAAUUUUUUGGCCUCCCCUUUGUUGCUAGGAAGCACUCCAUUAUGAAUGAAUGCCAGUAUUGGUUGCCUCCAAUCCUCUUGAGGGUCGGAAGUGACAGCCAAUACUUGGCAUGUGGGCUGCAGUAUAGAGUCCACUAAAAUCUCGCGCUGUCCUCCCUCCCAAGCUGACGCUAAACGUGCUAAAGCGUCAGCGGGUAAGUUUUGAAUUCGAGUGAUUUGCUCGAUUUUGAACUCGACGAAUUGUUUGGUGAGAUCUACCAUUGCUUCCACAUACUUUGUUAUUUGUGGUUCCUUACAAGAAAAUUCACCAGUGAUUUGCCGAGCCACGAGCUGGGAGUCAGUGCGGAGCGUGACAUUCUCAGCGCCGAGAGUUCUUAGCAGCUUCAGGCCAUGUAUGGCCGCUUCAUAUUCCGCGACGUUGUUAGAAGCCGGGAAGUGAAGUCGCACCGAGUGUUCGUAGUUUUUUCCAUCCGGGCUAUGGAUUUUUACUCCGAUACCCGAGCCUGUGCUACAACUAGAGCCGUCUACUUCCACAAUCCAAGGUUGUGUCAAACUGGGCUGUGUGAGUUCGACAAUGAAAUCCGCUACAGCUUGCCCCUUGAUGGCAGUGGCUGGUCGGAAGUCCAAGUCGAACUCACUGAGUUCAAUUGCCCAUUUGGUUAACCUUCCCGAGAUGUCGGGUUUGUGAAGUAGACGACGUAGAGGACACGAUGUCAGUACAACAAUCGUGUGCGCUAAGAAGUAGGCUCUAAAACGACGACAAGCAUGGAUUACUACGAAUACGAUCUUCUCGAUGGGAGAAUAUCGCAGUUCAGCACCUUGUAGUCGCCUCGAGUGGUAGUAGAUAGGGACCUGAUCCUUGUCCCUCUGCGCGAUGAGGACUGCACUCACGACCUCUUCUGAGGCCUCUAUGUAUAAGUACAGGUCCUCUCCCUUUUUGGGUGAUGUCAGCAUUGGGAGUGAGGACAUGUGCGCCUUUAACUUCGCAAACGCCUCCUCGCAUUCUGGUGUCCAAGUGAUACUACCCUUAGCCGCAGUUUUUAGUAAUUGGAAGAACGGUUUGCACUUGUCAGCCGUUUGGGAUAUAAAACGACUGAGCGCAUUGAUUCGACCGUUCAACCUUUGCACUUCUCGGAUUGUGCGGGGGGCUUCCAUAUCAAGGAUAGCUUGGAUUUUGUCGGGAUUAGGUUUGAUCCCGUGCUGACCUACAUAGAAACCAAGGAACUUGCCUUCCUUGAUUCCAAAUGCGCACUUGGCUGGGUUGAGCUUCAUUCCAUAUUGCUUCAAUGUCUCAAGGGUUUCUUUCAGAUCCUCAGGGUGCUUUUCCAUGUUUGACGACUUGACUAGGAUGUCAUCGACGUAAGCGGAAACGUUGCGCCCGAUCUGGUUUGCGAAAACCUUGUCCAUUAAGCGUUGAAAUGUAGCCCCAGCAUUCCAUAAGCCGAAUGGCAUUACCCUAUAACAGAAAGUCCCUGAGUCCGUGAUGAAGGAUGUUUUUUCCUCAUCAGGCUCAUGCAUCAGGAUUUGAUUGUAUCCUGAGUGGGCAUCCAUCAUAGAGAGGAGCUCGUUGCCUGUUGCUCCAUCGACUAGUUCGUCGAUGGAUGGCAACGGGUAACUGUCCUUGGGGCAUGCUUUAUUGAGAUCCAUGAAAUCAAUGCACAUGCGCCAUUUUCCAUUGGGCUUCUUGACCAGAACGGGGUUGGCCAACCAAGUCGGGUAUCGAACUUCCCGAAUGUGCCCUGCAUUCAAGAGUUUCGAUAUUUCCUCAUUGGCUGCCUCUCGCCUGUCAGAAGUGAGUACUCGACGUUUUUGGCGUCGCGCUGGAAUGGAUGAGUCGACAUUCAGUUUGUGCGUCACGAUCUGACGCGCAAUCUGUGUCAGUGCCUCACCCUCCCAAACGAACCUGUCCUGGUGCUCCUCCAGGACAGUCACAAGCUUGGCUUUUAGGUCAGGGUGUAACCCCUUCCCUAGUGCCACAUGUCCCCCCACCAGCUGGUAUACCUCGGUCUCGUCCACAGGUUGUAAUUUUUCCCUCUCCUCAGUGUUAGGCGGGGCGUGGACGAGCAUGUUGUCGAGUUUAGUCAGCUGGGUUGCCUUCUUAUACCCUUGUCUAAAAUCUUUUUGUGAUCCUUUGACAGUUGCAACGAACCCGUUUACUGGGUAUCGAAUGCACUGGUGAUAAGAAGACGGGACUGCUUGGAUUCCGUGGAUAAAGGGGCGUCCGAAAAUGCCAUGGAAAGUAGAUUCUACCUCCACUACUAUGAAGUGGCAUGUUCGGCUAACCCUUCCUCGCUUGGAACCGAUGGAUACCUUUAGGUCAAUAACACCGACCACUGGGGCGGCGAUGUUAGUGAAACCGUAGAUGGCUUCCUUACAAGGAGAUAGUUCCUCCCUUUUAAGGCCCAUCUUGGUUAAAGUAUCCAUGUAGAGGAUAUCCGCAGAGCUGCCGCUGUCGACAAUCAUCCUCUCGACUCGGGAAUUAGGACCGAGUUCUGCUUGGAUCACGAGUGGAUCCUCGUGAGGUUGCAAGACAUCGUCCAGGUCCUCUUCGAAGAAGUAUAUUGACUUCUCCUCGCGGACCCGCUUUCCGUUGUCUCGAGGUGUUGAUUGUGACAUCAGCACCUUUCGGGAGUACCCCAUAUUCUGGCCAACGGAUCCACCACCAAAUAUCAUAUUGAUGGUCUNNNNNNNNNNNNNNNNNNNNNNNNNNNNNNNNNNNNNNNNNNNNNNNNNNNNNNNNNNNNNNNNNNNNNNNNNNNNNNNNNNNNNNNNNNNNNNNNNNNNAACCCUUUGACGUGAUCGCUUUUUGUGUUCUUGGUCUAAGUUACGGGCGGCUGGAAAAUCAACACGGUUCCAUAUUUUCUCAAACAGGUCAGUCUUGUGUCGUACUAUCCCUCUUAUGGGAAGGGUUAGGGUCACUUUUCAGAGUGUGGGAGCCAAAAAUUUCCGUUUGUUCUCUGGUACAGUUUAUUAUCGUGUUUCGGCUUCCACUCUCUGCGUGAGCUUUCCGGAGUCGAGGUGUACUUCCUUGAAGUAUCGUGAAAAAGUUCUUUUUCACUAUACCUAUUCUUCUUGAAUCGACGCUUUUUCAAAUUGGGAGGCUCAAGUUCUUCCAAUUUAUUGAUAUCUUCCUUUUCCAUCUUCAUGUAUAAUUGAACUCUCUGUAAGAGUUGAGUGAAGGUUUGAAUUUAUAAAACUUCAAACUCUCAACGAGCAGGGAAUAAGUGAUCAAAUCCUUCAUGUAGCCAUCUAUGGAUAUGUUUGGGUUUAAAUUUUUCACUUUUAUUAUCAUGGUUGUGAACUUCAUUAUAUAAUCCCGUAGAGAACUGUUUCCAAAGAGUUAGCACUAUGUUUGAUACGGAUCAUCCCCACGUGUUAGGUUAUGAAUGUUAGUAAUAGAUCCGCAAAGCUGGUAAUUCAUCUAACUAGUAAGUUGGAGAACCAUCGAUAAGGGUUACCCUUGAGUGUGUCGGGGAAACACCGACACGAUAAGCAAUAUCAGUGUUUUGCGGUCCAAUAUAUUCAGAUAUAGGUUGAUGUGAUCCUUUGGAUCCGUCGUCCGGUCGUAGAAAUCGAUAUUGGGUGGUCGUCAACUACAAGGAAAAAGUUUUUUCAGAAGGUCCUCAUGAAAGAGAGCCUUUUUUGCCCUGAGAAAGUCCUCUGAACUGCCUAUCACGUAUUCGUCGGCUAGUUUGCGACGAACUUCCUCGGUAAUCCGAGCUGUCAAGAUUUGCUUGUAAUUGGAAUUCUUUUGCUCCUUAGAGAUGUUAGUCUUAACAAGAUCAGAUUUGUGCUGUGAGCUAAGCUUAGUUUUUUAAAUUGUUGGACAGUUAAUCAACUAAACUUUUUUUUGUAAGCUCAAAGAUCGAUCCUUCAUGUCUCUCAUAAACCCUAGCAUAAUAGCUCGCAAUUCGUCGAGCUACUCUUGCAAGGUUGGAGGGUGUGGUGGUGAUGAUCACUACAAAAAACCAGCGCAGUUCUGGCGCCCAUCUCCCGGCGGCCUGGCCGCCGGUAGAUACUUUCGUCGGCCUGGCCGCCGGAAUGUUACACUUGUCCGCCUGCAUAAUUUUCCCUCGUAAAUGAGAGAAAUUUUCUGGCGGCCAGGCCGACGACAUAUUUUUUUGUAAAAAAUUCCAGCGGCCUGGCCGCCAGCUAGAAUUUGCCGCCAGAACUGCGCUGGUUUUUUGUAGUGGAUGGAGGUGGGGGAGGGAGGUCACUCUGAACCUCCGCCAAUCAUGUUUCUAGCAUGCAAUCUCACCAAUGGAGUGUUGUUGAUACUACCCUCAGGUAUUACGGGUAGCGUGUUGGAUGCAAUUUGUUUGCCUUUUGGGGCCAUUUUCGAUUCUAGCCAAAGUGAUAAACCAAAAUGGUGAGUCUGUGCUAGAGGUAAAAUUGGUGAUUUCUUAGAGGAUAUCGGUGAUUCAAAAGAACACUAAGGAGUGUGUGUAAUACAAAGGUGAGUGUGUGUUUAAGGGAUGAAAUCGGCGAUUCCUUGUCGGAGAUCGACGAUUAAAGCAAAAUACUGAUAAAAAAGCGUGGCAUAGCACUUGAUGAGUUAGACCAGUGCCACUCAAUAGAAAUGGAGUCUAGAGAGUAAGGGAAUUCCAAGGGAGAUCAGCGAUUUCUCAAGGGAAAUCUGCGAUUUUAACCGAGGUUCCAACAGUCCACAAGAGAGAUAUGAAGUCCGACGGCCUCCGGUGGUAGUAAACUUUGAACAAAAAUCGGCGAUUUCUGGCUGAAAUCGACGAUAAGAGACAAGGGGCCAACGAAUCUGAUUUCCCACAAACGGCGCCAACUGAUGAAGAUAGAAAAAUCCCACCAGUACUAGUGGUAUGAGCGGUCGUCUAUCUGUGCCGGUUUGGAGUGAGCACUCAGCGACUAUAGCGUAGGAUUGAUGAUUGCUCUGCUAGUGUGCUAUGAAGUGGAGAGAGGAAAUGGUGCCUUGGAUAUGUUGCUGGGUCUCUUUUUAUAGGGUUCCCAAGGACACAAUCCACGGCGGAGAUCGCUCCCUGAGCAUUAUGAUGGUCAUAGUGGCCAUAUGUUUUUUUUUGAUAACGGAGAGUACCUCUCUACAGAUGUAGAGCUGUCAACCUUAUUCGGAUGAUAUAACCUUAAUAGUUCAUGAACCUACGACUUUGAACUCGGUGAUUUUCCUGGUGUGGUCACCGAUUUGACAUAGGGAACAUCUAAGUACUCAAGCGAUGAUCCCUAUUUUCGGAGAUAUCCCUGUCAAAUCGGCGAUGUCACAGGGAAGAUCGUCGAAUUUUGUAGAUCGCUUCGUAUCCGGUGGAGAUUGUAGCUUCUUGUGCUCCGUGGGAGCUUCCGGGGGUUCUGACGAAAGAGAGCGGAACCCUAGCCUCAGUUGAUGGUCGAAAGAGUGAGUGUACGAUACUGUAUCAUCAAAAAUAUUUCAGGAUAGAUUCUCACUAUCACAGGUUCAGAAAUGGUCGACCAUAGAUGUCUAUUCAUUAAACUUUUAAAGUUGAAAUCCGCCAUCACAUUGACUCCAGAGAUGGAGAGAAAUUAAAGGCUUUUACAAAUCUUGUUCGAUCACUUCUAGCAGAAAAUGGGGAAGAUCGUCGUUGACAACACAUUACACGAUGGGAUAUGUGGACGUUGGGAGGGCUCCUAUAACUUCAAGAUGUCAGACUGAUUUUGAACCUUUCGUAUCGUGGGCGUCCUAUUAAGGUUGAUGUGGAUAGCCUGAAGACCCCAUUCUUCGAACUUCGACUGAAAUGAAAGGUCCUCAACAAGUAAGUUCCCCAAUUAAUAUUGUGUUACCACUACAAAAAACCAACGUAUUUCUGACGGCCAAUUCUGACGGUUAGGUUGUCGGUAUUGUCUCCUGGCGGUUAGGCCGCCGAUAUGUCAUCGUCAGAACUAAUAUCGCCAGCUUGGUAAUUUCCUGACGGCCAGACCACCGACAAUAUGUUUUGUAAUUCGAUUAUUGAUCGAAAUAGCCAGCGGCUUGGCCGCUAGUGAAAUGCUGGUUUAAAUUUAAAUUUCUGGCGGCCAGGCCGCUGGGACCUAUUAAUUAUUUAUUUGAAUUUUUUUGUUUGUAAUUAAUUAAUUUUUUUAUUUAAUUAAUUAAUUUGUUAUUUAUUAGAAAUUAAAUUAAAUAAAAAUAAAAUAAAAAUAAAAUUGAAAUUGAUUAUAAAAUUUUAAUUGAGAUUGAAAUAGUCGAUAAUAUUUAAAAUAAGUUACGACAAAACAAAAUAAAUUUUUUUUGAUGACUUAAGUCGCUAACUAUCCUAAUCUCUAUUUUGUUGAUUGUCCUUCUUUUUCUUUUUUGAACAAGCGUUUUUAAAUAUUAACUUUGAGUUUGAUAACUCAAUAUUUUUUGAGAAAAUAUUGAUUGAUUGUCCACGAGUCUGCUCCUCUGGUUCAAUCAUUUAUUGAGGAGGAGUCUGCUGCACUGGUGGUCGUGACGUCGACGCUUCAUAUGAUGGAAAAUCCGGUAUGUGCAUGUUCGGAUUUUGAGCUUGAAAAGCGCUAGUAUAUUGUUUGAAAAGUUCCAUUUGACGAGCCAUCGCAUUCUCCACUAUAUCAUCAACCUAUAAAUGAAAAUUUAAAUAUAAUGAAAAUAUCGUUAUUUUAUUUCUAAAUAAAAUAAAACGAAAAUAUAUAAAUUGAUUAAAUGUUUACAUUAUCGGUUACAGACGCUUUUUUAAUUUUUCUGUGGCUUUAUCGUAGACAAUUUCAUCGUCUUCGAAUAUGACGAUUGCUUUAUCGUUUCUAUUGCUUUUUUUCUUUGAAGACUCAGUCGUGUUCAUAUCCACAUCAUGAUGAUCAGAAUGCUGAUCAUCGGAAGGAUCAUCAGAAUGCUGAUCAUCGGAAGGAUCAUCAGAAUGCUGAUCAUCGGAAGGAUCAUCAGAAUGCUGAUCAUCGGAAGGAUCAUAAGAAUGCUGAUCAUCGGAAGGAUCAUCAGAAUGCUGAUCAUCGGAAGGAUCAUCAGGAUGAUCAUUCUGACCUUGAGUCCCGACCACCAUAAAAACCGAAAAAACGAAUACGAACCAAUACAUCUAAAUACAAACAAGCUGGGAAAAGAUCUGGAAUGAUAUUUCAGAUCUCAUUUUAUUUUAAAAUCAGAUCUUAUCUAUCCGCCAAUCUAUCUAUUGGCUACCAUUAACUCCAAAUCAAAGCAAAUUUAAACCAAACUAAACCAAACUAAACCAAAGCAUACUAAUCAACUCUAAAUCAAUUGAAAAAGAUAUUUAAAAGUUUCAAAAAAAAAACUAACCCAAAACAGCCCGAUCGAAAAAUAAAUCAUCAUCGCCAACUUCCUCUAAAAGAGCUAAUUUAAUUAAUGAUGGAGAGUGGACGAUGGCGAGUCGGAAAAAACAUACAUGCAUACAGAUAGACCAAGACGAGUACAUCGACACUAAUUUAAAAUCAUCAUCCAUCUCUAUUAACUAAGGAUCAAAAUCCUCAAAAGUUAUGGUAUGUCAUUUCUGAGAUAGAACCAAACAAAUGCAAAAACAAACAAUCAAAGAAAAAUGACAUCAGAGUUUUUUGAUGUUUAUUAGAUUUCCUCUUUGAAAACAAAUGACAUCAGUGUUUCAUAAAAAUCAUAUCUACCAUAUGGAAAUUUGGAAAAUGGUGAAUAGAAAUAAACUUGUUUUUUUUAAUGGAGGAAAAAAAAAAUGGUUUCCCACUUUCCCCAAAAUUGAAUAUAAAAUGAAAAGAAGAAAAAAUGCUUCCCCAAACAGAUGUGAACAUGCAUAUAACUGGCAUAUAACUUUUAAAGUGUUAGAAUAAUCUAAAGAUUGUUUGAAUCAAAGAUCACUGGUAUGUUGAGCGGAUUCACAUUGAAAUCAGAGUAUAAGGGGUAUUUGCAACUUGGUGGGAUCGUAAAUCUAGCGAGGUAAAUAAGGAAUAUUUUCAGUGUUAAUUUUAAUUCUGGAUGUUGUCUUUUUUAUAAUUUGUUUUCAUUUUUGUUUAAAAAGUGUUUUUGGGUGAGCAUUUGAAGUAGGAAAUCUUUUGGAAAGUUAUCUGAAACUAAGGAUUGUAUGACAACAUAAAAGCAAGACUAGGACCAGAUAUGUGGGGCUGAUUAGAGAAGAAAUGACAUGUAAAAUAGGCAUGACAGUAAGGAAACCGAAGAAGAAAUAGAGGGAGGAAAUCGAGAAAUCUACAGGAAGUAGGAAGUAAGGAAAUAGAAGAAGAAAUCAACCUGAAAUACGGGCUGCUGCUGCUGCUGCCACCGGAGGAACUCCUCGCUGGAGGUUGGGUUGGGAAAUCGCUGGAGUGUUGGAUUGGGAAGAAAAGACGAUGUGGGAUUUGGGGAUUUUGGAUGGGUUUGAUUUAGGGGUGUUAGGUUUAAUAUAGGGUUUGUGUUGGGUUUUUUUUGGGGUUAAAUAUUGAUAUUUUAAAUGGGUAUUUUAUAUUUUGUGUAUAAUUUAAAUGGGAAGAAAACAGGUUGUGGGAUUUGGGAGAUUUUGGGUGGGCUUGAUUUAGGGGUUUUGUGUUGGGUUUAUUUUGGUUAAAUAUUAAUAUUUUAAAUAGGUAUUUUAUAUUUUGUGUAUAAUUUAAAUGGGAAGAAAACAUUGUGUUUAAUUUAAAUGGGAAGAAAACACUUUGUGGGAUUUAAGGGAUUUUGUGUUGGGUAUCAUAUAGGGGUUUUGUGUUGGGUAUCAUAUAGGGGUUUUGUGUUGGGUUUUUUUUUUUUGGUUAAAUAUUAAUAAUUAAAAUUGGUAUUUUAUAUUUUGUGUUUAAUUUAAAUGGGAAGAAAACACGAUGUGAGAUUUUGGGUGGGUUUAAUUUAGGGGUUUUGUGUUGGGUUUAAUAUAGGGGUUUUAUGUUUGGUUUCUUUUUGGGUUAAAUAUUAAUAUUUUAAAUGGCUAUUUUAUAUUUAUAGAGUUUAAAAUCAACUUUUUAUAACAAAAUUUAUGGUUAGGUAAUUUAAACUAAUUUUUUCCCUAACACUAACCCUAAUAUGUAAUUUAAUAGGAUAUAGUAAUAUUAUUAUUAUUUAAUUAAAUUAAAUUAUAAUUUUUAUAAUAUGUAAUAUAGUGAUUUAAUUAUUUCAUUUCAAUAAUAAGAAGCUAAUUAUAUAAAUAUUAAUUCAAACAUUUUCCAUUUAAAUUAUUUUUUAGAAUGGUAAAAUAAGUUAAUUUAUUUAAUUUUUAUUAAUUUUGUUAAUUUUUAUAAUUUAAAAUAAAGUUAUUUUAUAAGUUUUAUUAAAUUGAAUUUUCGAAUUUAAAAGUUAUUUCGUAUAAUUGAGGUAGAGGUUGAACCGUCGUAUGCCUCGAUUCUUGGUACCCGCCAGUUGGGUGGGAAAACUCCCUUUAAAAGGUCCUCGCUAAGAGGAGCACUUUUAACCCUCAGGAUUUCGUGCGGGUUGCCGACAGCUGGGUUGGUGGCCAACUUCCGCCGAAGAUCCUCUACGAACCGAGUAGUAAGAGUCCUUUCAGAGCGACUCUUACUGGGUCCCGUUUUGGGACGGGAACUUUGUUUUUUCUCCGCAGAUGGAGAAUAUAUGGACCCAGAUUCAUCCGCUCUUUCACGGAUGGUAGUGGUCCUAUGACUCCUCGCUUGCUCGAGGUUGGUCAUCCUUCUUUCAAUGUUGUCCAUGAAACUGAACAACCUUUCUUCCAAGGUGGGUGGAGCCUUGGGCACUAUGUGUUCCUCGACGAGAGGAGGAACCGAGUUUGUUUCAACAGGUUGAGCAUUGUCGGGUCCCUUUGGUCGGGAUUGCUCACCCUGUUCCAGCUCAGUUGCUGGCAUUUUUCCCUUACUUCUUAUGGCGUAAGGGUGCUUCUGCUUUUCGAUGAUUGCCAUGAAAGCGAAAGCGAAGAAGUACCAAAGCAGAGAGGUACCUGACUGAGCCUGUUGGAAAAACAAGAGCUAAGUCGGCGAGUUAAGUGUUAACUCGGCGAGUUAGGGGUUUUCCCGAACAAGGUCAUGGACAUCACUCUUAGCUAGCAGACGAUAUUCCGGAUCGGGCGAUUCUCAAGGAUAAGUCGGCGAUUUAAGGCUAAAUCGGACAUUAACCGAGAAUCGGACGAUCUAAGUCGGCGAUUUUUUGACAAACUCGGCGAACUCUUGGGAGAGCUCGAGCCGGAUUUUUAAAAAAUCGCGAUUACGACGGGAUACCGGUGGUUUGGUAGUCCCACAGACGGCGCCAGCUGAUGAAGCACUGAAUCUGCUACCAGGGCUCGCGGUGGUGCGAGGUUGAUGCCGGAGGCUUUGGAGUCCACGACGCACGCUCUACGUCAAAUACCUGCAAGUGGAAACUAGGCAAUUCUAAUGAGACUCGCCGAGUUUCGUAGUGUGGUGCUCCGGUGUGAGAGUGGAACUUGAAUCGUGCCUUUGAGUGUCCCCUUGGGACCCCUUUUAUAGGGUCUCGGAGGGCGCACUCAUCGGCGGAGAUCGCGCCUAUGGUCAUAUAUGGUAACAUUUAUGACGUUGGCUGCCGCCGAGUAACGGUCGUAAGUCGCCGAUUCAGGUAUGGAAGUCGCCUAGUUAAGGGCUAACUCGGCGAGUUUCUAGGGCCAAGAUGUACAGUCUACCAUACUGCCGAUCUUGCCUUAACUCGGCGAGUUAUCCUGUAUGUCGGCGACUUGUUAGUCCAAUCGGGCGACUUUACGGGCUAACUCGGCGAUCUGGACGAUGAACGUGUUCCGCACCGUGGGAGCUCUCCGGGGGUCCUGCCAUAGCGACGGAGCCCUAGUCCUUGUUGAGAGGCGUUGAUGGGUAGUGACUGGUGUAAUCAGGCAUGUCUCACCAAUACUCAUCCCCUGUUUUGUUAGUAAAAAAGAAAGAUGGUGGGUAUCGUUUAUGUGUGGAUUAUAGAGCCUUGAAUGCUCUAACAGUCAAGGAUAAUUCCCUUUCCCUACUGUUGAUGAAUUAUUAGGCGAACUAAAGGGAUCGACAAUUUAUUCUAAACUAGAUUUGAGAUCUGAAUUUCACAAAAUCAGAAUAAAUCCCAACCACACUGAAAGAAUAUAAUUUAAAAUUCACCAAGGGCACAUUGAAUUCUUUGUAAUGCCCUUUGGAUUAACCAAUGCUCCUGCAACAUUCCAGUCUGUUAUGAACAAGGUAUUUUCUAAAUAUUUAAGAAAGUUCCUAAUUAUAUUCUUUGAUGAUAUUCAGAUUUAUAGUGCUACAAUACAAGAGCACAUUGAACAUCUAAAGGCAGUAUUUAAUCUGUUGAGAACAAACAAGUUGAUAGCCAAGCUUUCUAAGUUCUCCUUUGGACCUUCUUGGGGCAUAUUAUUGCUAUAGAUAGAGUUAACCCUGAUCCCGAGAAGAUCAAGGCAAUGGUGGAAUGGCCUGAGGGUUUUUGGGUCUAACUGGAUACUACAAAAGGUUCAUAAAAGGGUAUGCCUCAAUUGCAACCUCUAUGACAAACUUAUUGAAAAAAGAUAAUUUUAAUUGGGAUGAAAAAGCAACAAUCAUCUUUGAGAAAUUGAAAACAGCUAUGGUGUCAACUCCUGUCUUAAUUUUCCUUGAUUUUGAGCUAGAAUUCACAGUCGAGACAGAUGAAUGCAAGUCAGGGGUAGGUGCUGUUCUAAGCCAGAAAUCACAUCCUAUAAGCUUCUUUAUAGCUGCAAACUGUCUGGAAGAAUUAUGGCAGCUUCCAUAUAUAUAAAAGAGAUGUUUGCAAUUACUCAGGCAGUGAGUAAAUGGAAGCAUUACUUGCUAGGUUCACAUUGCAUAAUUAAGACAGACCAUAAAAGCCUUAAAAAUUUGCUAACCCAAGCUAUUCAAACCCCAGAGCAACAAAUCUUUCUAUGCAAAUUACUUGGAUUUGAUUUCUCAAUUGUCUAUAAGCCAGGAAAAGAAAAUAUAAUAGCUGAUGCUUUAUCAAGAAAUUUUGAAGAAGAAGUAUUAUUUACUUCUAGUUCAUUGGGGGUUCCAGGUUCCCUACUAACUUUAUCAUAGCCAAUAUACACUCUAAGGGAGGAGAUAAAAAUAGAAAAUGAGAAUAACCCAAAAACAAAAGAAUUGAUCGAAAAAAAUAGUAUAGCUGAAGAAGAUUCUAUGGGCUAUAUAGUUAGAAAUGGCAAUUUAUAUUUCAAGGACAAACUAUAUCUGAAUGAAGACUCCAAUCUCAUAAAAAAAAUAUUGUUUGAAUUGCAUGACUCACAGUUGGGUGGCCACUCUGGAAUCCAUAGAAUUUGGAAGAGAAUAGCAAAAUAUUUCUUCUGGCCAAAUAUGGGAAGCUGUAUAAAAGAGUAUGUUAAAGCUUGCUUGGUGUGCCAACAAAUUAAACCUACCAACUCUAAAAUGGAAGGAUUAUUAAUGCCUCUCCCAAUCCCUUCACAUAUAUGGCAGGAUGUCAGCAUGGACUUCAUUACAGAUCUUCCUAAAGUAAAAGGGAAAUCAGUCAUCAUGGUUGUGGUGGAUAGACUGUCUAAGUAUGCCCAUUUUAGUCCACUCAUUCCUAACUUCAAUGCUUCUAAAUUGGCAGAAUUAUUUGUCCAAGAUAUAGCAAAACUACAUGGUAUUCCAAGUUCAAUUGUUUCAGAUAGGGACAGAGUGUUCACAUCAAGGUUUUGGAAAGAACUAAACAAACUUAGUGGCACUAAGCUUAAUUUUCUUCAGCAUAUCAUCCCCAAUCAGAUGGGAAGACCAAGGUUGUGAAUAGAAUAUUGGAUAUGUACCUGAGAUCCUAUUGUCAUGAAAAUCCUAAAUUAUGACUGAAUUUGCUACCAUGGACGGAGUUAUGGUACAAUUCAAGCUUCCACUCAUCAUUGGGCUUAACACCAUUUAAAGUAUUAUAUGGGAAGGAGGCAAAUGAAAUACCACAUUAUAAUCAUAGAGAAUCAUCAGUACAAGCUGUGGACACUAUACUACAACGUAGAGAGGAAACUCUACAAAAAAUAAAGAAAAAUCUAGCAAUGGCUCAAACAAGAUUGAAAAAUCAGGCUGAUAGGAAGAAAUCAGAUGUUAAGUAUCAGGAAGGAGAAUGGGUUUUAGUUAAGUUGAAACCCUACAGACAGGGAUCUAUGGCUCAAAGAUUUCAUAAUAAAUUUUGCAAGAAGUAUUUGGAGCCUAUGAAAUCAGUAAAAAAAUCAAUGUUGCAGCAUAACGAUUGAAGCUUCUGGAAGGCAGCAAGAUACAUCCAACCUUUCAUGUAUCCCGUCUGUAGAAAUAUUGUGGAGAAAUUUCAGAAAAUUCAAACAGUGAAAAAACCAUUAAUAUCAGUGGAUAAUAACCCUAUUAUUGAUCCCAUUUCUAUAUUAGGCAAAAGAAAAAUUCACAAGGGAGGCAGAGAACGGAAGCAGGUGCUUAUCUUGUGGAAUGGGGUCAUCCCUGAAGAUUCAACAUGGGAAUUUGAAAAAGACGUAAAGAAUCUAUACCCUUCUAUCAGUGGACAAUGUCGAUUCUGGAGAAGGCGAUGAUGAUACGAGUAUCAUUAAUACAGAGACCAUCCAAGUGGAUGUAGAGAAGAUUAGACUCGUCGCGAGUGCCGACAACCUAGUGGAGCAGUUGGGGGAGAACGACGAGCCAACACCGUUGAUAGCACGAACCGGGUCCAAGCCGGAAGUCAUUAAGGGUGAGCCGCGUCCCUGGAUGGACUACAGAUUAUGAUUUGGGAAAUUCGUACAAUCCCUAAAUUUAUUGAAGAAAUUUAUUUCAUCCCAGCUCGAAAGCAUGACACUUCCAACUAUGCGAAUGCUGCUUACCAAUCAAGAAAUAAGGAAUAUAAAUAACAGAUCAGUAUUCGUGGAAAUGGGGGAGGUGAACUUGGUCAAGCAUCGGGGAGAUAAGGUAAAUCGUCCGGUCUGCCAGAUUUGCGCCAAAAGAGGGCAUGUGGCGUUGGCAUGCCACAAUCGUCACAAUGAGGAUGACUACCCAACACCACCGGAACACAGGACCCGCCAAUUACAAAAUCUGAAGAAGAAGGCGGUGAACGCGGUAUGGACGCCGGCAGUAGCAUCUCCAGCCCAAGUCAGUGCACUUUGGAACCCUGAUACGACAGCCACAGGGCAUGUAUCAGGUACUUUAAAUAUGUUGCAUCACCUUAAAUCGGCUAAAAAUCAUCCAGGUGUAGUGGUUGCGAACGGCGCGAUCGUAUCUGUAGCUGCCACCGGUGAUUCAAAAUUUCUAAAACAAGGGAAGGAGAUCUCGGUGAAAGACAUUUCUAUUGUACUAUCAAUUACAAGAAAUUUACUCUCUGUCCACUGUUUAUGUAAUGACAAUGAUAUUGGGUGUUGGUUUGAUCGAUCUUCUGUGGCUAUGGUUGAUUUGCAGACUAAGAAGGUCCUGGUACGAGAGGGAGUCUCCGGAGGGAUGUACGAAUUAAACCUUGGGGCAGCAGCAAAGAAGCUUGAAGCAAAUACAGUGGAUAACGUUCCAAUAACCCUCUGGCACUAUCGCCUUUUUCACAUCCCGGAGAAACUAACUAGAUCAGUAGUAAAUAAAUUUCAAUUGGGUGUAUCGUCAUUGAUAAAUAAAAUUCCUCCUUGUGACUCAUGUGUAAUGGGAAAACACCAUUGUCUCCCCUCCCCCUCACGUCUAGAGAACUCUGCCAAACAGGUGCUAGAUAUCGUGUAUGCUGACCUAUGGGGGGCAGCCUCAGAAGCCUCGUGAUGAGACAUGCCUGAUUACGUCAGUCACUCCCAGCAACGCCCUUCAAUAAGGACUAAGGUUCCGUCGCUUUAUGCCAGACCCCCGGAGAGCUCCACGGUUGCAGGAAAGUGUCUACGUCAAGUACUCAAGUCAACACUGGGAAUCGACGAUUGGGACUACCAAGUCGCCGAUUUCAGAGGUGAGUCGACGAUUCCGGACCAGGGUAUGUAGUGAGUUCUGGUAGACUCCCGACCUGGCUCCUAAGAACUCUCCGACUCCACCCUGAAUCGACGACUCCCAUACCUGAGUCGCCGAUUCCCAGGCGUUACUUGACUUUGCCCGCGUCAUUAUGACACCAUCAAUGGGGCACCAUAAUGACGUGGGCCCCAGGGAGAUUAAAUGAGAAACGCCCCAAGGACCCUAUAAAAGGGUCCCUUGGGGGGUCCUCAUUCUCAAGUCAUUUCCACUUGACACACUCCACACCAGAGCAAACUAAGGAGCCCGAGUCGCCGACUCCCACAUCUGAGUCGUCGAUUCCCCUCCUCUUCUACAGGUAUUUAACGUAGAGCGCGCGUCGUGGACUCCAAAGCCUCUGGCCCUCCUCGCAACCCCGCGAGCCUUCUGGUAGCAGAUUACGUGCUUCAUCACCUCGAUUGAGGGACACUAUUAUUUUUUAAAUUUUGUCGAUGGUUAUUCCCGAUAUAACUGGUUAUUUCCGUUAGUGUGCAAAUCUGAUGCUCUGAAAGUAUUCAAAUUGUUUAAAAUAUUUGUUGAAAAACAAAUAGGGAGAACACUGGAAGCCCUUCAAACUGACAACGGAGGUGAAUUUCGGAUAUUCAAACCAUUUCUUCAGGAGUGCGGUAUUGCACAUCGUCUGUCCUGCCCAUAUACACAUACACAGAUGGACAUGGUCGAGAGGCGUCAUCGUCAUAUAGUCAAUAUCUGAUUAGCAUUCUUGCAUGACGGCCAGAUUCCACUCCGUUUUUGGGAGUUUACCUUUGCAAUAACCGCAUUUUUAUACAAUAGAACACCAACGCCGCUACUCAAUGGGGAUUCACCAUUCCAGAUACUAUUUCAAGUAUCUACGUCAUACAAUGGACUCUGAGUAUUUGGGUGCCGAGUAUACCCGAAUCAAAGACCCGUGAGAAGAAACAAGUUAUCUUACAGAUCUGACCCACACAUAUUUCUGGGUUACCCGACUAAUCAUCGAGGGUAUCUAUGUUAUAAUCUAGCUACUGGGAAAUUUAUGAUUUCACGUGAUUGUAUAUUUCAUGAAAUAGAUUUUAGUCUAAACUCAAUUUUAAUAGAAACAACUGAUAACAGGCCCACAAGUAACCAAGGGUUUGGCCCUCUAAGAAUUGUUAACCCAAGCAAUAUCCAGCCUCAACAAUUGUUGACUUCAGAAAUUGAUGGAACAACCUCCGAGUCAGUGAGCGAACCAGCUCCACGUGAAGAUGAAAUAGGUCAGCCAGAUACUAUCUCACGGCUACAUAAUCAACAACAACAAGGAAUCAUUACAAGGGGACAACGAGGGAUUCACAAACCAAAUCCAAAAUACGUUUGUAUGAUCUCAGCUCCGUUAUCAGUUCCGACAGGUGCAUCAGACGGCACCCUAGAGCGUCGGAAAGCAAGAUUAGUUGCAACGGACUUCGCCAACGUGAUGGUGUCGAUUAUGAUCAGACAUUUUCCCCGGUAGUAAAACAAGUAACAAUUCGACUAAUUCUAUCUCUAGCUGUGACAAACAAAUAGUAAGUCUCCCAACUAGACGUAUCAAACGCGUUUCUGCAUGGUACGCUAGAGGAAGAAGUAUUCAUGCGGCAAGCCCCGGGCUUCUCAAAUAAAGAAUUCCCGAAUCACGUUUGCAAACUUAAGCGAUCCUUAUACGGAUUAAAACAAUCACCACGAGCAUGGUUCUUUCGACUCAGGACUGCAUUACUUCAGCUUGGCUUCUCCGAAAGUACAUGUGACCAUUCUCUAUUCAUGUUUCGACAAGGAAAUAUACAAACAUGGCUGAUCGUAUAUGUGGAUGACAUAAUUUCACAAGCUCCUCAACAAAAUUUAUAGAUGAUACGAUUAAGUCCCUUCAAAAACAAUUUCCGGUAAAGAAUUUUGGAUGACUGCAUCAAUUUCUGGGAAUUCUGUGUGAUUGGGAGGAAGACGGCUCUCUCUAUUUAUGCCAACAUCAGUAUGCAAGGACUAUUCGAGAGAAAUGCGGCCUAGACACCUUAAAACCAGCUCACACACCCAUGGAUUGCAGGGUAGGGUUGUAUGAUGAAGCUACCCCAUUCGAGUCACCAACAUUAUUUCACCAAAUGAUAGGAAGCCUGUAGUACUUGACUAUUACACGCCCAGAUCUAUCCUUUUCCGUAAACAAUGUUGCACAAUUUAUGCAAACACCAACAACUAUUCACUGGGCGGCACUGAAAAGAAUCCUUAGCUACGUUGCGGGGACACCAAUAUUAUUUCGCCAAAUGGUAGGAAGCCUGCAGUACUUGACUAUUACACGCCCAGAUCUAUCCAUUUUCGUAAACAAGGUUGCACAAUUUAUGCAAAUACCAACAACUAUUCACUGGAUGACACUAAAAAGAAUCCUUCGCUACGUUGCGGGGACACUAUUCCAUGGAGUGCACAUCAGAGGUUCAGAAACAUCCAAACUAGUGGCAUUCUUAGAUGUCGAUUGGGCAAGAGACAAGCAUGAUAGUCGAAGCCAGGGGCGUAUGUGGUAUUUUUGGGGUCAAAUUUAAUCUCAUGGAGAUCGAGAAAGCAAAGCAUGGUAGCUCGCUCCACAACCGAAGCAGAGUAUCGAAGUGUCGCAGAUACGGCAACAGAAAUGGAUUGGAUCAGCGGGCUAUUAAAGGAUUUGGAUAUACAAGUAAUUACAAUGCCAGCAAAAAUUUAGUGUGACAAUUCCGGAGCAAUAGCCAUCUCCAAGAAUCCAGCACACCACAUGAAGUCCAAACACUUCGCGAUGAACUAUCACUUCGUUCGAGAACGAGUAUUCACCAAAGUGCUUGAAGUUCGGUUUAUCGGCUCAAAGGAUCAGAUAGCAGAUCUGCUCACCAAGCCACUUCCACGACCGGUAUUCGAAACACUACGUAUCAAGCUCACCAAAGAACUUUCGUUACGCUUGAGGGGGCGUAUUGGAGAAGAGGCCCGAUCCGAGAAAUAAACAAAGGGAUGUUAGUAAUGUUAGUUAGUAAUAUCUAGUUAUGAAUAUUAGUUAGUUAGUAAGAAGUAGUUAAUUACCAAUGUAAUCAAACACUAUAUAAGGGCACUCAAUAUUAAAAUAAAAUUAAUCAAGCAAUUAACCAAAUCAUCUGGGGCUAAUUCGUAAAAAGCACAAAGCUUUCCCAUCGAUGCGGCUAGGAUCAUUACCUGUGAUUGGGGCGACAUCGCGAAAAAAAUUCAUCGCUUCAUUCGGAAACAUAUCGCACACAAUCAAGGCGGAGUAGCACGAAAAGGUAAAUCGUACGGUAAGAAAAGGUGAGUUUCAAUUAUUUCAAUAUAUGUUAGUCUUGUUUAGUUUUUCUUUGUUGUAAGUAUUGUUUUAUCGCUUCGGCUAAAAUGAAACCAUCUUUUCAGAUGGAGAAAAAAAAUAGUUUUUUAUCUUUUUUAAAGGUAUCGUUCUAUUGCUACGGUUAGAACGAAUCCAUCGUUUCGAAUAAAUAAAUAAAAUUAGUUUUUACCUUUUCUGGAAGUAUCGUUCUAUCACUACGGAAGUAUCGUUUUUGGAUUUACAACGGAAUUUUUUAAAUUUAAAUUCCGUUACAAAUACCUAAAAAUAGUAAACCAAAUCUAACGGAUAUUUAUAAUGGAUUUGAGUAUUUGUAACGAAAUUUUGAUAAAAACCAAAGUUAACGGAAUUUUCGUUGCAAAUGACAAUUAACAAAAUUUCCGGUAAGUUUGAUCCUUCAAACUGCUUACUUUUUUUGCAGUAAAUGGAAAUUCCGUUACAAAUGAUUUAAAAAUCAAUUUUUUUUGCAUUUGUAUCGAAAUUUUUAACGAAAAUUCGGUUAUUUGAAAAACCAAAUGUGACGGAUUUGAACAUUUGUAACGAAAUUUUGGCGACCAAAAUUUCCGUUACAAAUAACAUAGUUAAUGAAUUUUCCUUUAACUUUGGUAGUCUAAAUUGUCUAUUUCUUUUAUAGUGAAUUAAUAUCUCAACCAAUUCAUUCAACACAUACGGACAAUGACAAUUUGAAAUCAAUUCAACACAUGUUUGUGAUUUUAAAAAUCAAAGCAUCAUAAAAUAAAGUUUAAGUUAUUUGAUUUCGACACACGUUUGGGUUUUGAUCGACGUUUAAAGUCAACAUAGAUAAUUUUAGAUCUUAAACUUAUGGGGUUAGUUUUUUUUGAUGUCGUAAAUAAGUUAGUUUUAAGUGUAUAAUAUAAUUGGGAUCGUUGGAUGUCAAUCGUGUGUUGUAGAUGUUUUUGGCACACAACAGUGUAAAUAAGGAUGACACACUUGAAUAUUUCCUUAUAUAUAUAAAUAUACACACACACAUAAAUUGGAUGUACAUACCAUAUAUACAUACACACACAUUAGGUAUAGCUAAUUAUGUUAGGCAACUUUUGGGGUUGACAUUUCCAUAAGAUUUUCCACGUGCGUAUUUGCAUGAAGAUUUAGCAAGACCACCAUGAUACGUGAGCUUGAUAUUUUUCAACGAAAUGCCUUUGCAUGGAUUCGCCGGACUGCAAUCAAAUUUCACAGCUACUGAAGAUUUAGAAGAACCUUGAAUGUUGUUGUAGCUUAUGUCGCUUAUCGUCACUCCAGAAUGCUGCGCACGUAUAAUUGACGAUUAAUUAAUGCUAUAAAUCUACAAAUUAAUUUCUUAAUUUAUAUGAAUUUUUAAUCAUCAAUAAUAUAUAUUGUACCUUGUUUGGGCAAUUUUUACUAUGAGGGCAAUAGUUUUGGUUGAUGAUAAUUGGAUUCUUCACAUUUUUCAUGAUAGAAUUUUCGAAAACGACUCCUCUGACAUAUGCGGUGGUCGGUCUCCCCCAUGCUUUGAUCCUCAACCCAUUAUCACUUCCGGUGAACACCGUGUCCUUCACCGUUAUGUUCUGCACACCUUUCUCAUUGUAUGAUUUCCCUAUACUUCCAAUACUGAUGCCAUGUCCAGGACCGCAAGAGAUGCGUUCUGCCCACACGUUUCUCGUUCCACCGCUCAUUGAGAUACAAUCAUCGCCCGUCUUGAUAUUUGCAUCUAGGACGGUGACAUCAGAUGAUUUUUGUAUGUUGAUUCCAUCAGUGUUUGGGCUUUCAUCUGGUGCGAUAAUCGUGACUUUUCGCAACAUCACCCUUUGAGUUGAAUGGAUCACAAUGUGGAAUUGCUUGCUGUUCACAGAAGUGAGAUCUUCGAUCUUGAUGUUCUUCGAAUGGUCGAACAACAUAGACUGCAAGAUAUAUAUAUAGAAUUAAUUGAAUAUAUACAUAAUAUCUCUAGGGUUAAUUUGUGUGUUACUUACUCUCCAACCAUGGGGACAGUUUUUUCCAGAUUCCUUGCAUUUCCAGAGUGCUUGUCCCCGUCCGUCUACAGUGCCGCCCUGAAUAGCCAAUCCAUCGAUAUUUUUGAAAACAAUCCACUCAUUUCCAGAACCUUUGUAAUCAGAAGGAGCCAAUAACGUCCCCUUCAUCUUUAUUAGCACUCUACUCUUGCACGGUCCUUUGAACUGGACGUGACCGACCAAAAACUUUCCACUGGGAACAUAUAUCGUAGCUUCAUUAGAGGAGCUACAGGCAGAGGACCAAGCUUUGAGGAAUGCCUUUGUAGAGUCAGUAUGGCCAUUGGACUUGGCCCCAAAACUCAUGAUGUUGUACUCAGCUUUGGAUAAUGGAAGGUAGAAGACGACAAGUAUGGAGAAGAGGAGGAAGGAGAGGAAUGAUUUGGCCAUUGAAGAUCUAGAAAAAGAGUUGGUAAUUGGUAUGAUUGGUUGAAUGAAGUAUAUGUGUUGGGGUUAUUUAUAGGUAAUAAUGUUUUGAAAUAUUGUAUCAACGUAGGAGUGUAAAUCAUGGGUUCAUGAAAUAAUGCAUGCAUGCAUGCAAUAAGGAAAGACGUACGUACGUACAAGCAAAGCCAAGAUCUUUGAGAGAUGGUGAAUUAAAACAUGUGUUGUAUGAUCUGUCCAUUAAUUUUGUCAACCAAAUCCAUGUUUAAAGGGUUUGACUUUUCAAUUCAAGGUUUAAUCAAUGAAGCCUAUCCAUGCAUGCAUGCACGCACGCACGCACGCGGAAUUACGUACUGAUAUAACCGCGGCGGUGCAAUCUAAUUUACGGCCGUAAAACCUGCCGAUAUUUACGGGAACCAAGAAAUCAAAUCAAGGUUAGUAGGCGUGUGGCGGUGGUUGUUGGUGAUGACACGUAUGUUAAUUUAAAAAUAUAGUAAAUGUAAAAUAUUAAUAGAUCAAAUUGAUAUCUUCAUCUAUUAAUUUGCAAGGCGGAAGCCACCUGAUGGAGGUGGAGACGCCAAGCCGUGAAGCCAUCGAGGUAGAUUUUAGCUUCUCAACGUGCCGAAAUUGAAAAUUAUAAUCUUUUUUAUUCACGUUAUUAUUAAAUUCUAAUUAACAACUGAACAAGUAUCACUAACUAAUUAAUUGAUAAUCAACAGUAAAUACCGCACGCACGUUUCCAGAACAGUGAUGAUCAUACGACGUUAUGGAAACUAGGUUUAUAUAUAAUAUUAAAAUAAUUCAAGAGUUUAUAAGUAAUAAUUUGUGAAAACAAAAGACUUAAAGAAAGUUUACACAUGGUAUCCAUAUACUAAACCUGUAUAUCGGUCGAAUUCGGAUACUAUUAUUCAGAUUAUAUCCGGACAGAAAAAUCCGAAUCCGAAUAAAUUUUCUAAUUCGAAUGUGACUUCUUCUCUCUAGUCGAUUUCUCCAGACGCAUCCAGCAGGCGACGCGAUUCAUGAGCAGACGUGAUUUUCUCUCCGGACAAAAUUUUUAAAGACCCUCUUCAACUGAUACCAUCUGAACUGUUGGCACCGAGACCCGUCUAGACGGACCACGGGCCGAAUUAACAGACAUCAGACCCAUCGCUCGAGAAACGGGCCUGGGCCGACGAAGGCCUUUGGAGGACUUUUAUAAAUACCUCCCCUGGUCCAACAGGGGAGGGGAUUGAGUAUUAUUGAGAGAAACACUAGCUAGAGUGUUGUGUAUGCGAGCCCCCUAGAGCAAGCCCACACACCAUCAAGAGUCUAUAUCUAUGAAUGAUGUUAUUUCUCAAUAAAUGAAUUAUCAAAAGUACCAUGUACUUAUAUACUACAAUUCAAAACUAAUCUAUUCAGUUAACACACCGAACUCAACUACUAACUGUUUUAAACUACUACUAAUAGCAACUAAUUCUUCUUUAACUUUAUCCUUCUCAUAACUAUUAUUCGGAUUAUGUCCGGAUAAUCUAAAUCCGACUGAAUAAAAUCCGGAUAGAAAAAUCCAAAUCCGAAUAAAUUUUUAUAAAAAUCUGUAAUAAAUGAUAAUCAACAGUAAAUAUGGAAUAUAUAUAUAAUGGAUCCAUUUCCAGAAUGGUACGUCCGACUGUACGUCCGAUGCGUCCGAUUGGCAUUGAACGACACCGGAUGCACGUACCGCACAGUUAUGACCAUGGGCGUUUUGGAAACUAGGUGUAUAUAUAUAUAAUAUUAAAAUAAUUCAAGGACUUAUAAGUAAUAAUUUGUGAAAACAAAAGACUUAAAAAAAGUUUACACAUGGUAUCUAUAUACUAUAAGCCUGUAUAUUGGUCGGAUUUGGAUAAUCCGAAUCCGACCGAAUAAAAUCCGGGUAGGAAAAUCUGAAUCCGAAUAAAUUUUCUAAUUCGAAUCAGGCGCGACUUUUUUUUCUCUAAUCGAUUUCUCAAGACGCAUCCAGCAGACGACGCGAUUCAGCAGACGCGAUUUUCUCUCCAGACUCAAUUUUUAAAGACCCUUUUCAAUUGAUACCAUCUGAAUUGUUGGUACUGAGGCCCGUCUAGAUGGACCACGGGCCGAACAGACCUCAGGCCAUCGCCCGAGCAACGGGCCUGGACCGACGAAGGCCCAAGGAGGCCUUUGGAGGACUUUUAUAAAUACCUCUCCUAAUCCAACAGGGGAGGGGGUUGAGUAUUAUUGAGAGAAACACUAGAGUGUUGUGUGUGUGAGUCUCCUAGCGCGAGCCCAUACACCAUCAAGAGUCUAUAUCUAUGAAUGAUGUUAUUUCUCAACAAAUGAAUUAUCAAAAGUAUCAAGUACUUAUAUACGUACUACAAUUCAAAAUUAAUAUUAUCAAUUAACACACCUAACUCAACUACUAACUGUUUUAAACUACGUACUAUUAAUAGCAACUAUUUUUUCUUUAACAUUAUCCUCCUCAUAAAUAUUAUUCGGAUUAUGUCCGGAUAAUCUGAAUCCGACCGAAUAAAAUCUGGAUAGAAAAAUUUGAAUCCGAAUAAAUUUUCGAAUAUCCGAAUAUUCCGAAUCCGGAUAACUUUUUUUAUAAAAAAUUUAAAAUAAAAUUAUAAAAAUAUAAAAUCAUCAUUAAUAAAAUUAAUUAAUAAUCAAUUAAUCAGCCUAAAAUCCGGAUAUCCGGAUAAUCCGGAAGUCAAUUUAUAUUUGUUCGGGUAUCCGAAUCCAAAAAUUUUAAACGAAUUUGGAUUUUAUCGGUGGAUUUUUCGGAUAUCCGAAUCCGUUCAGAUAAAAUUCGGAUAUCAAUUUAGUUAUCUUAAUAUGUAUCCGAAAUCCAAAAAUCUGAAUCCGAAUAGUAAUAUUCGAAUUCGAAUGCUGAUACGAAUACGGAUUCUAGUAUACCAUUUACAGUUAGGGUGUCAACUAAAGCACGUCUCGGGCUCGCGAGCCCAACGAUCCAAGCUCGAGCCUAAAGCUUAUCGAGCCAAGCUCCCAGAAGGAGGUUUUUCUGGAGUUGAAAGGGGUCGGCGCACUCCCAGGGGUACGGCCAAUGAAGGCGGAAUCCGUAGCGUACCAAGAAAAGAGGAAGUACUACAAGUACCACCAGGACUCAUGACACACCACGACGAUCGUUUCCGUUCCAUUGGGAUGAGAUCGACGUAAAAUGGAUAGCAACGUCUCAAAUGAUUUAUCGGACCACUGAUUGAUACACUUACAUUGAAAUAAUUCCAAAAUAAAAGAUAGAUUAGUAAAUUCGGUACAACUGGACCAUAACUCUUGUUCAGCGUCUUUCAACCGAUUAACAAAAGUCGAAUCAUAAUUGAAAUCUAAAAGAUUUUCAUCAUUAUGAUCUGCAAUAAUAUUUUCGUUUAGAUCAGAAAGAUCUUCAUUUCCAUCUGAAAUAUUUUCAAUCUCAUCAAGUCUAUCCAUCGCCAUGCAAACCAAAUUACGCAUUUCAUUUGGUCUAUCUACAACUAUAUUUUCCAUGUUUGGUUCUGAAUCGUAAGUUCGCUCACUAUGUUUCGUCCAUAUAACAUAAUGUGUCAACCAAUCAUUCAUGAAGAUGUGUCGUCGUAAAUCGACAAUUGGAAUCACAUUUCUAUUAGUACAAUCUCGACAUGGACAUGGUAAACAUUCAACAGAAAUAUCAGGUACCCGGAUUUUAAACAUUCAACUGAAAUACAUACAAUUAUAAAUGAUUAAUAAACAAUUAUUUCAAAACUAACUAACAAUCACACUUAAUAAUUAUUUUAAUUUAAUUAUUAAUUAAUUAAAUAAUGAUUUUUAUUUUUUAGAUAAUUGAUUAUUGAAAUUUCCAAUGUUAUCUUACUUAAUUUUUAAUUUUAAAUUAAUUAUUUAAUUAAUUAAAAAUUAAUACUUAAUUACUAAACAAUUAUUUAAAAAUUAACUAACAAUCACACUUAUACAAAAUCUGAUUGUUACUUUUUUUUAAUAAAUAAAUAAAUAAUUAUUUAUUUAUUUAUUUAAUAAAAGAUUUUUAAUUUUUAGAUAAUUGUUUCAAACAUUGGAUUUUAAAUCAGUUUUUUAAUAUAAAAACUGAUUAUUGGAAUUUCCAAUAUUAUCUUAAUUAAUUAAUUUCCAAUAUUGUAAUGGGAGGACCAAGUUAACUUAUGGGGAGAUCGACUUCCCCAGGUCGACUUUUUCAGAAGUCGACUUGGGGAAGUCGACCUGGGCAAAGUCGACCUGGAGCCAGAUCUGAACUGUUAGACGGUUACAACCCUAAUGACCAGAUUACCCCCAUAAAAAACCCUAUAAAAAGAAGGUCAUUUCCACUCAUUUGGACAGGUUGUAUAGGAGAGAGAAAUUCAAGAGCAAAGUGAGCCUGAGCACACUGAGAGAGCGAGUUGAUUUCCGCGGAGUUCCCGGCCUAAACGCUUGUUCGAAGCGUCGUUCGGCACUGAUUGAGUUCCACCUUUAUCAUAUAUAUUAUAGACAUUAUUAUACCAUUUAUAAUUCCUUAAAUGAGCUCAAAAGUGCUCGUCUCCCAGCCGUCCGAUCUGGAUGAAGAAUUGCUGAUGAAUGUGGACCGUUCGUCUCUGUAAUGAUGAAAAUUUAUACAAAUGCUGAUUGAAAUGGUUUUUAGGUAUACUUUUUAGAUAAAUUUUUAGUAAUAGCCAAAACCAUACUCUUACAUCAAACUUUUUUCUCGUUUUUUCCACCACAAUCGUCUCCUCACCACACUCGUUUUCCCCACUCGAAGCCCUUCGGUCGACACACCCGUGUCCUCUUCCUCUCACACAUUCGUGUUCGCCGGCGUGCUAUCCCCACCGGGUUACUCUCAGACAUUCGUAUUCAUCCUCACAACGCCUCCUCUCCCCACACACCCGUCUCCUCACCUCCGCUCGCGUUAUCACCGCCGGUCGUGUUCUCACCGUCACUCGAGUUGUCACUGCCGUUCGCGCUCGCGUUCAUCUUUGUAAUGUAUAUUUUUAUCGCACCGCUGUGAUGUAUUUUUCUCCCGCACCGUCCACUUCGAAACGUGUCACCCCUACACUUCCUCCUUUCUUAGACGAUUAGUCUGAGUUUGAUUUUGAGUGUAGAUUUGUUUGAGUGAUGAUUUGUUUUGUUCUGCUUUAGUUAAAUUUAUAGUUUUUUGUUUUUUCUUCUUGAAUUUAGUUUAUGUUUUUGUCAUCUGUACAUUAUUCUCACAGUUUUUCCCCUCUUAUAUGUACAUUUGUACACAAUAUUUGUUGUUCAUGGUUACAUGAUUUUGUAUUUCCUCUCCCAUUUUUGUGAAAUUUUUGUAUUUCACAUCCGCUUGAAUUUUUUUUAAAGAUCUUCUGUUUGUAAAAUUAAAUGAGUGAGAUAGUUGUUCCUUAAGAUAUUCAUGUUGUCUCCUUUAGUACUUUCAAUUUCUUCCUUAUAAUGUUAGUAGUGCAGUACCUUAAUUUUUCUCUUGACAUCUCCUUUGUUAAUUUUAUUUCAUAGAUCAUAAACCUCUAAAAUUGAAAUAAAUAUUUUAUAUCUACACUAACAAAUUUAUAAUGAUUACAGAAAAUAUGGUCCUUGCUAAUAGAGAUAGAGGUCAUGCUACUGCAGGCAGAGGUCUUGCUAUUAUAGGCAGUGGUCGUGGUGGUAGAACCAGAGCACGAGGUCGUGGCUCCAGUACAUUCCCGUCUGAGCCUUUGACGAUUGAGCCAUUAACGUUUGAUUGCUCAGAGUACAUUGGAUGGUAGUCUGCUCCAGUUCUUCGACGUCUGAGAACCAGUUAUACCUCUACCGGUCUUGACGGUAUUAUUUAAAAAAUUUAUUUAUCAUUCCCACUAUUAGCAUCCCACUGAAUUUUUAAUUAUCAGUUAGGGUAAGAGGAUGUUCAAUUGACAAUGUACAUCAAGGAAUAUUAUUCUUCGGUGCUGCGGAAGAUGUUGGAAUUAAGGCAUCCAAUAACUUCUUCAUAUAUUCUAUGAACUUGUCCAAAUUGUCUUUUCCCAAAUUUGCGAAUUGAAGGAGACGAUCAACCAAAACCAAAAUUGUCUUUUUCCAAAUUUCCGAAUUGUCUUUCCCAAGGCUUGUAGUUCUCCAAAACCAAAAUGCCUUUGACUCUGGUUGCUCGCGAUAUUAUUUUUUGGAUUCUGAAACCAUCUUUUCGUUACAAGCAAGGGGAUUUCGGUUGAACCGUCAAUGAAAUAUAUAAAAUAUAUAAUGUGUCGACAUAGGAUCCGUUUGGAAUUGAACAUGUAGCAACUAUACUUCGAUAGGCGUUCCUCUUUAUAAUAAUAAAUAGUUGAGGUUACCUUCUGAUUGUAGACAUUAACGACAAGGAAGAUAUUUGAUUGCUCCACAGAAGAAAAAAAUUAAAAAACCGUUAGGAAGAAAUAUGAAAAGAAGAACAUAGGAAAAGGUUAGGUAGGUUGAACUAACCAUACUAUCAUGUAUUCGUGCAUGGUCUUAUGAAAAAUCCCAAGCUCAUCUUCACUUGUUCUUGAUAUAAUCGAAAGGCUUCAGAAAGUGUCUUUCAAUUGGAAGAUUAGUGAUGAGAUGCGGUGGUCCGAAAGUGUCUACAUGAUCCCUUUGAAGUUCUUUGUCUCUCAUAGACAUCAAUACAAUCACCAAAGACCCAAUGAAUUCAUAUAAAGUGAAAGAUGGUUUAACUCUCAUUUUCACGAGAUGAUUCAUGAACUCACUCCUCUGUGUGCUUGACAUACCGGCAAAAAAAUAGUCUGUCAUAUACAGAGGGCACCACUAAUGUCUUAUCUUAAAGAUGUCUUCCAACUAUUUAUUAUGGCACAAAUUAUGGCGUGAAAUCCAGCCAUUCCACUUCGCAUCAAAUUCGUCAGUCGAUUCAGAAUUAUUUAGAAAAUCGUGAAAACCUGCCAUUGCAUUUUUAUCUCUAUACACAUUUCCAAUUUUAUUGGCAAAUUUGUGCGUGAUAUGUCAUUUACAAAAAUGUUGGAAUGUAUUUGGAAACACAAUAGGUAGGGAAAGCUCCAUUGCUCUGUCCUGAUCAAUAAUAAUAGUAACUAGGGCAACAGACAUGCAAUCUAGGAAUUGUUGGAAUAACCAAAUAAAUUAUUCUUUACCUCAUUAGACAAGAAUCCAGCACCGAAAAGAAUAGAGUUUAGAUUGGGAUUCACUCCACAGAACAUCCCAUAUAUCAACUUAUAUUUGUUCGUGUUAUAUGUUGUGUCAAAAGUAACGGCAUCUCCAAAUAGUUUGUAAUCUUCAACGCAUUGUGAAUCGGUACAAAAAAGAUGUUUCAAUUUACCUGACAAUGAAAUAUUAUGAAAAUAAAUUUCAAAAUAUUAUGAGAUAGAGAAAGAAAUGAAAAUAAUGAAGUAUGUAUAGCUUCGUCAUCAUUUUCGAACGAAUAGAAGAAUGAGGGAUUUAUAGACUGAAGGUUUUGAAAUUUCUCUAUAACAAGACCCAUGUCUUUAUCACAUGCGUUGGAGGUGGAGGCGCCAAGCCGUGAAACCAUCGAGGUAGAUUUUAGCUUCUCAACGUGCCGAAAUUGAAAAUUAUAAUCUUUUUUAUUCACGUUAUUAUUAAAUUCUAAUUAACAACUGAACAAGUAUCACUAACUAAUUAAUUGAUAAUCAACAGUAAAUACCGCACGCACGUUUCCAGAACAGUGAUGAUCAUACGACGUUAUGGAAACUAGGUGUAUAUAUAAUAUUAAAAUAAUCCAAGAGUUUAUAAGUAAUAAUUUGUGAAAACAAAAGACUUAAAGAAAGUUUACACAUGGUAUCCAUAUACUAAACCUGUAUAUCGGUCGAAUUCGGAUACUAUUAUUCAGAUUAUAUCCGGACAGAAAAAUCUGAAUCCGAAUAAAUUUUCUAAUUCGAAUGUGACUUCUUCUCUCUAGUCGAUUUCUCCAGACGCAUCCAGCAGGCGACGCGAUUCAGCAGACGUGAUUUUCUCUCCGGACAAAAUUUUUAAAGACCCUCUUCAACUGAUACCAUCUGAACUGUUGGCACCGAGGCCCGUCUAGACGGACCACGGGCCGAAUUAACAGACAUCAGACCCAUCGCUCGAGAAACGGGCCUGGGCCGACGAAGGCCUUUGGAGGACUUUUAUAAAUACCUCCCCUGGUCCAACAGGGGAGGGGAUUGAGUAUUAUUGAGAGAAACACUAGCUAGAGUGUUGUGUAUGCGAGCCCCCUAGAGCAAGCCCACACACCAUCAAGAGUCUAUAUCUAUGAAUGAUGCUAUUUCUCAAUAAAUGAAUUAUCAAAAGUACCAUGUACUUAUAUACUACAAUUCAAAACUAAUCUAUUCAGUUAACACACCGAACUCAACUACUAACUGUUUUAAACUACUACUAAUAGCAACUAAUUCUUCUUUAACUUUAUCCUUCUCAUAACUAUUAUUCGGAUUAUGUCCGGAUAAUCUAAAUCCGACUGAAUAAAAUCCGGAUAGAAAAAUCCAAAUCUGAAUAAAUUUUUAUAAAAAUCUGUAAUAAAUGAUAAUCAACAGUAAAUAUGGAAUAUAUAUAUAAUGGAUCCAUUUCCAAAAUGGUACGUCCGACUGUACGUCCGAUGCGUCUGAUUGGCAUUGGACGACACCGGAUGCACGUACCGCACAGUUAUGACCAUGGGACGUUUUGGAAACUAGGUGUAUAUAUAAUAUUAAAAUAAUUCAAGGACUUAUAAGUAAUAAUUUGUGAAAACAAAAGACUUAAAAAAAGUUUACACAUGGUAUCUAUAUACCAUAAGCCUGUAUAUUGGUCGGAUUUGGAUAAUCCGAAUCCGACCGAAUAAAAUCCGGAUAGGAAAAUCCGAAUCCGAAUAAAUUUUCUAAUUCGAAUCAGGCGCGACUUUUUUUUCUCUAAUCGAUUUCUCAAGACGCAUCCAGCAGACGACGCGAUUCAGCAGACGACGCGAUUCAGCAGACGCGAUUUUCUCUCCGGACUCAAUUUUUAAAGACCCUUUUCAAUUGAUACCAUCUGAAUUGUUGGUACUGAGGCCCGUCUAGACGGACCACGGGCCGAACAGACCUCAGGCCAUCGCCCGAGCAACGGGCCUGGACCGAUGAAGGCCCAAGGAGGCCCUUUGGAGGACUUUUAUAAAUACCUCUCCUAGUCCAACAGGGGAGGGGGUUGAGUAUUAUUGAGAGAAACAUAGAGUGUUGUGUGUGUGAGCCCCCUAGCACGAGCCCAUACACCAUCAAGAGUCUAUAUCUAUGAAUGAUGUUAUUUCUCAAUAAAUGAAUUAUCAAAGGUAUCAUGUACUUAUAUACUUACUACAAUUCAAAAUUAAUAUAUUCAAUUAACACACCUAACUCAACUACUAACUGUUUUAAACUACGUACUAUUAAUAGCAACUAUUUUUUCUUUAACAUUAUCCUUCUCAUAACUAUUAUUCGGAUUAUGUCCGGAUAAUCUGAAUCCGACCGAAUAAAAUCCGGAUAGAAAAAUUUGAAUCCGAAUAAAUUUUCGAAUAUCCGAAUAUUCCGAAUCCGGAUAACUUUUUAUAAAAAAUUUAAAAUAAAAUUAUAAAAAUAUAAAAUCAUCAUUAAUAAAAUUAAUUAAUAAUCAAUUAAUCAGCCUAAAAUCCGGAUAUCCGGAUAAUCCGGAAGUCAAUUUAUAUUUGUUCGGGUAUCCGAAUCCAAAAAUUUUAAGCGAAUUUGGAUUUUAUCGGUGGAUUUUUCGAAUAUCCGAAUCCGUUCAGAUAAAAUCCGGAUAUCAAUUUAGUUAUCUUAAUAUGUAUCCGAAAUCCAAAAAUCUGAAUCCGAAUAGUAAUAUUCGAAUUCGAAUGCUGAUACGAAUACGGAUUCUAGUAUACCAUUUACAGUUAGGGUGUCAACUAAAGCAUGUCUCGGGCUCGCAAGCCCAACGAUCCAAACUCCAGCCUAAAGCUUAUCGAGCCAAGCUCCCAGAAGGAGGUUUUUCUGGAGUUGAAAGGGGUCGGCGCACUCCCAGGGGUACGGCCAAUGAAGGUGGAAUCCGUAGCGUACCAAGAAAAGAGGAAGUGCAGAAGCCUGGCGAGAGCCAUCGAGCAGAUAAAAACUCCCAUGAUAACAUCUCGCCCGGAACCAGCGUCGAGACCGCCCGUCAUACCAACCGACCACAGAACCUCGAAGGUGGGGAGAGGACCUCCUAGGCCCAGGACCCCGCAGAGGCCCAUCCUUACGUCACAUACACGACAAGGGAGGCUCCGAGAAGAAAAGGAAUCCCACAGAAGAGAUCUCUUUUAUAGAUGCAGACCUGGUGGGUAUAACAAUACCACAACACGACCUGUUGGUCAUCAUGUUGAUGCUCAAGAGAAAUACAGGUGGCCAAGUCAGGUUACGUGGGGUACUCAUGGACACGGGAGCAUUAGUAGACAUUCUAUACCAGAAUACAUUCAUACAACUAGACUGGGCGAACAAGACCUGAGCCCAUGUCACGUCUCGGUAUGGGGGUUCGGACAAACAGAGGUCCCGAUAGCAGGAAAAGUCACAGUUCCUGUAAUCUUGGGAAAGGGAGGCUAAGCUACGAAAGUGCAUGUGAAGUUCACGUUCGUACGAAUUAAUUCAGGAUACAAUACCAUGUUGGGAAAGGUCAGCUUGCACGCGUUCCAAGCGGUUAUGUUAUCUUGGCACCAAUGCCUGAAGUUCCCGGCAGAAAACGGAGUGUGCACAAUAAAGGGUUUGCAAAGAGCGGCCCGAGAGUGUUAUACGAAUCAACCACAGAGGUGCGCGGUUCAUAUGCCCGAUCCGUUACCCGACGUAGCUAUCCAACGUAGUCAUGGCCAAGAAGGCUGACUCAACAUGGAGGAUGUGCGUGGACUUCACAAACUUGAACAAGUCAUGCCCGAAGGACAUCUACUCCCUCUCAUUGGUGGAUCACAUAGUGGAUAAGAGCUUAAUAUUGUCCCUGUUGAGUUUCAUGGACGCACACUCUAGCUAUAACCAAAUACCCAUGGCUAAGGAGGAUGAGGAGAAAACGUCGUUCAUAACAGAGCAGGAAACCUUCUGGGGAGCGGAUCGAUGCGACCCCACUACAAAAAACCAGCGUAGUUCUGACGGCAAAUGUUGGCGGCUUGGCCGCCGGUAUAAGGUGUCCUGGUGGCCAAGCCGACGGUAUGCCAUCGUCAGAAGUAAUGUCGCCAGCUUGGUAAUAUCCUGGCAGCCAGGCCGCUGACAAUAAAUUGUGGAUUUCGAUUUAAACGGAAAUGAGUCUGUCAGUUUGACCGCUGGCAGAUAUUUUUUUGAAAUUAUCUCCCGACGGCCUGGCCGCUAGUAUUGUAAAUUUGGAAGAAAAAAAACCUGGCGGCCAAGCCGCUGGUAAUUAUUUCGCGGCAGAAAAAAAAUUCCCCGGGAAAAUAGUGCUGGUGGCCUAGCCCUCAGGAUUUAAAAAAAAAAUUAUAAUUUAUUUUGACAAUUUUCAACUUUUAAUUUUUUUUUAAAUUAUUAUUUUUUUAAAUAAUUAAAUUUAAUAAAAAUAUAUUUCAUAUAAUUGAAAUUGUAUGAAAUGAAGAAUUGAAAAUGAAGUUGAUAACUUGAUAUUCGAUAAUUAAAGUACGACAAAAUUAAAUUGGAAGUUAUUAUUAGAAGUCGGUAAUUACUAUUCUUUUUUUGGUUCUUUUUUUUUAUAGACAUGACCGCCUUUCGUAAAUGCGAUCUUGAGAAGAUAAUCGGUCUUCUUCCGCGUGGUUGUGUUGUAGUCUGCUCCUCUGGUGGCAUCGUUUGUUGAAGAGACGGAGUUUGCUGCAGUAGUACUUGCGGUGCUCUUGAAGUCGACGCUCCAGAAGAAUAAAUGUUGAACCCGUCCGUCAUUUGAUCUGCGGGUUGCGUCGUAGUCUCUAUGAAGAAUGUCGGAAAUGUCGGUAACCGAAUGUUUGGAUUCUGAGCUAGCAAGGCGUUGUUGUAUUGUUGAAAAAAUGUCAUUUGAGGCACCAUAUUUAUUUCAUUGAAACGAGCCAUCUCUUCUUUCUGACAAGCUAUCACCUUCUGAACUGCCUCGUUGACCUUAUUAUCAACCUCAGUUUAGGUAAUAGAAACUUUUCCUUUAUCGUUCGAAAAGGUGCCCACAUUCAUACGAUGUGUUGUCUUCUUGCUCAAUGAAAAACCAAUUGUUCCUAAUAUUCUAGUUUUUUUCGAGCUUCUAGCGAUAUGUUUGCUUACAGCAAACUGGAUCAGAGCCUAAAUAAAUAAAAAAGAUGAAAAUAAUAUAAAUUUAUUUAAUUAAUUAUAUUGAAAAAAAUAUGAAAUACCUUGUCCGAUAUCUUUUUUUGUUCAGCCAUUUUUUUGCUUCUUCAGUUUCCAUCCAUUGAAGUGCUUUAUCUUUAAAAAAACAAAUAAACGUAGUCAAAAAAAUAGUAAUUAACGGUAAUUAAUUAAAAAGAUGAUGUACCACUCGUUGGACUUUUGGAUAAGCUAUCUUUACAUUUUGUUUCCAAAUUUCACGUUCAGUUAAUCCCUUUUGUUUCUGCAAUAUUAAAAUUAGAAAAAAAAUUAUAGAAGAAAUUGAAAUUAUAUAUGAAAUUAAAUAAUUUAUUUACAGCUUUGUAAUUUCAAUGUGAAAGACUUUUCGAACCUAAACUGUGUGAAGUUUGUUUGUCCGAUUGCUUUUGUUAAUUUGAGAAAUUUCUUACAAUCACGAAAAAGAUAAAAUAAAGUAAUUAAGUUAAAUUUUUCUAAUUUUAUUGCAUUAAAAAAAUAUAUAUUUAAUACGUACUAUUCCCCUCGGUGAUCUUUUCUGGUUCAGUUUGUUUAGAAAUUGAUCCUUGAUGACGUAGUCGGGUAAAGUUUUCAUAACCUCUUCGACUUAUAAUUCUGUAGUAUCAUAUUUAUCAAUUAAAGCGUUACGAGCGCUUCUCCAUAAUUUGUUUAACCUUUCGUUGAUAUGUCGAUAAGCUUCGUUUGUACCGCUAAAAUCAAAUUCUUUCUGUUCGAUGAAUAAUUAUAAAAUUAACUAUAUAAUUUAUAAUAAUAAUUAACUAUGAAUUAAUGAACCUGUAUCGUUUCCAUCGCUUCAUCUAUGAUUGCCUGGUCUAGUUCAGUCCAUGGUACGUCCAAUGGUAGUAACUUAAAAUCGUUCGCGACCAUUGCUAUUUUCUUGUUUAAUUUUUGUGCUACGCUAUCGAAGACAAUUGCAUCGUUUUUUAAUUUUACUACAAAUCGUUGUCCUUGUGAUGGAUGAUAUUCUUGAUGAUCUUUGUUUCUUUCUUUUGAUUUUUUCUUUGUUUUACCUUGGUUUGUACACCCAGCCGUGUUCAUGUCUACAUCAUGAUGAUCAUAAUACUGAUCAUCAGAGUGAUCAGAGUCAUCACUCUCAGGAGUCACGACGAUCAUGAAAACCGAGAAGAUGAAUGCGAUAAGUAACCAAUACAUCUAAAUAAAAUAAAGACAAUCUAAUUAUUUGAAAGAUAAUAUUCAAAUUAAUAAUAUUCAAAUUCAUUAUACAUUGUCUACAUCAAAUAUUUGUCUAUGAGGUUUAUUUAAUACAAAACUCCUAUUAGGUUCAAUAGGAUCUAUUGAAUAGAAACAUUGUUUAGCUUUUUCGGCAAAAAUAAACUGUUCUUCCCCGUAUUUUGGCAUUGACGUUUUCACACUAACAAGACCUUUGUUUUAGGUCGUCGAUAUGAAGAUUUCGAAAUAUCUCAGUAUUAUCUAGAUUGAAAAUGAUAUACCGAUGAACUUGACCAUGUUCAAGUUUACUGAGCGAAGUGUGAGUUGAUGCACCAUAGUAACCAUCGAUAUAUCUUUCCGUUUUAUUUGAUUUAGUUUCAACGUUAUGUAAAAAACGUGAACAGAAUGUCAUACAUUCGUCAGCCAGAUAUUUUUCUGCAAUCGACCCUUUAGGACUACUCCGGGUCCGAACAUACGUAUUUCUUCAAAGUUAAUAGAUAUCUUUCAAUUGGAUACAUCCAUCGAUAAUGUAUUGGACCAGCCACUUUCGCUUCACUUGCGAGAUGUACUACUAGAUGUAUCAUUAUUGUAAAAAAAUCCGAAAGAAAUAUUUUUUCUAAUUUGCACAAUGUAAUAACGAUGUUUUUUUCCAAUCUUUCCAUAUGGUCAAUUACAAUCGAUUUUGAACAAAUCGCGUUGAAAUACUUGCAUAUGUCAACUAAAACAGAUGUUACCGUUGGAUGUAUUGAUGACGUAACGCAAUUGGAAGUAAUUGGUGCAUUAUCAUAUGACAAUCAUACAUGCUAUGAGAAACUGGCAUCAUACUAAAUGGAUUAAAUCCAUCGCUUGCAAGUCCCAAUCUGAUAUUACGUGGUUCAGAAGCAAAAUUGGGAUAUCGAUCGUCAAAUUGUGUCCAUUGCAAUGAAUCUGUCGGAUGACGAAGAAUUCCAUCUUUUUUCCGAUCAUUUUUAUGCCAAGUCUUUCCUUUAGAAAUAUCUUUACACAAAAACAAUCUUUUAAGUCGUGGUACGUAUCAACGGAAAAUGUCUCAAAUAUUUGUUGGGGAUCCGUUUUCUUUUUUCAUCAUCAUCUUCAUUCAACCACCUUGAAACACCAUAUGUAGGACAACUUUUGCUAUCUUUAUAUUUUUUUCGAUAAAUGAUACAAUCGUUCCGACAUGCAUCGAUUUUCUCAUACCGAUAAAUGAUACAAUCACGAACAACUGACUUAGCUUGAUACAUAUUCUUCGGGAUCGUUUCCGUUCCAUUGGGAUAACAACGUCUCAAAUGAUUUAUCGAACCACUCAUUGAUACACUUACAUUGAAAUAAUUCUAAAAUAAAAGAUAGAUUAGUAAAUUCGGUACAACCGGACCAUAACUCUUGUUCACCGUCUUUCAACCGAUUAACAAAAGUCGAAUCAUAAUUGAAAUCUGAAAGAUCUUCAUCAUUAUGAUCUGCAAAAAUAUUUUCGUUUAGAUCGGAAAGAUCUUCAUUUCCAUCUGAAAUAUUUUCAAUCUCAUCAGGUCUAUCCAUCGCCAUGCAUAUCAAAUUACGCAUUUUAUUUGGUCUAUCUACAACUAUAUUUUCCAUGUUUGGUUCUGAAUCGUAAGUUCGCUUACCAUGUUUCGUCCAUAUAACAUAAUGUGCCAACCAAUCAUUCAUGAAGAUGUGUCGUCGUAAAUCGACAAUUGGAAUCACAUUUCUAUUAGUACAAUCUCGACAUGGACAUGGUAAACAUUCAACAGAAAUAUCAGGUACCCGGAUUUCAAACAUUCAACUGAAAUACAUACAAUUAUAAAUGAUUAAUAAACAAUUAUUUCAAAACUAACUAUCACACUUAAUAAUUAUUUUAAUUUAAUUAUUAAUUAAAUUAAUAAAUGAUUUUUAUUUUUUAGAUAAUUGUUUCAAACAUUGGAUUUUAAAUCAGUUUUUUAAUAUAAAAAUUGAUUAUUGGAAUUUCCAAUAUUAUCUUACUUAAUUUUUAAUUUUUAAUUUUUAAUUAAUUAAUUAUUUAAUUAAUUAAAUAUUAAUACUUAAUUACUAAACAAUUAUUUAAAAACUUAUACAAAAUCUGAUUGUUACUUUUUUUAAUAAAUAAAUAAUAAUUUAUUUAUUUAAUAAAAGAUUUUUAAUUUUUAGAUAAUUGUUUUAAACAUUGGAUUUUAAAUCAGUUUUUUUAAUAUAAAAACUGUUUUUUGGAAUUUUCAAUAUUAUCUUAAUUAAUUAAUUUCCAAUAUUGUAAUGGGAGGACCAAGUUAACUUAUGGGGAGAUCGACUUCCCCAGGUCGACUUUUUCAGAAGUCGACUUGGGGAAGUCGACCUGGGCAAAGUCGACCUGGAGCCAGAUCUGAACGGUUAGACGGUUACAACCCUAAUGACCAGAUUACCCCCAUAAAAUCCCUAUAAAAAGAGGGUCAUUUCCACUCAUUUGGGCAGGUUGUAUACAAGAGAGAAAUUCAAGAGCAAAGUGAGCCUGAGCACACUGAGAGAGCGAGUUGGUUUCCGCGGAGUUCCCGGCCUAAACGCUUGUUCGAAGCGUCGUUCGGCACUGAUUGAGUUCCACCUUUAUCAUAUAUAUUAUAGACAUUAUUAUACCAUUUAUAAUUCCUUAAAUGAGCUCAAAAGUGCUCGUCUCCCUGCCGUCCGAUCUGGAUGAAGAAUUGCUGAUGAAUGUGGACCGUUCGUCUCUGUAAUGAUGAAAAUUUAUACAAAUGCUGAUUGAAAUGGUUUUUAGUUAUACUUUUUGAGAUAAAUUUUUAGCAAUAGCGAAAACCAUACUCUUACAAUAAACUUUUUUCUCAUUUUUUCCACCACAAUCGUUUUUCCUUACAACGCUCACGUCUCCUCACCACACUCGUUUUCCCCACACGAAGCCCUUCAGUCGACACACCCGUGUCCUCUUCCUCUAACACAUUCGUGUUCGUCGACGUGCUAUCCCCACCGGGUCACUCUCAGACAUUCGUAUUCAUCCUCACAACGUCUCCUCUCCCCACACACCCGUCUCCUCACCUCCGCUCGCGUUGUCACCGCCGGUCGUGUUCUCACCGUCACUCGAGUUGUCACUGACGUUCGCAGUCACGUUCAUCUCUGUAAUGUAUAUUUUCAUCGCACCGCUGUAAUGUAUUUUUCUCCCUCACCGUCCACUUCGAAACGUGUCACCCCUACACUUCCUCCUUUCGUAGACGAUUAGUUUGAGUUUAAUUUUGAGUGUAGAUUUGUUUGAGUGAUGAUUUGUUUUGUUCUGCUUGAGUUAAAUUAAUAGUUUUUUAUUUUUUCUUCUUGAAUCUAGUUUAUGUUUUUGUCAUCUGUACAUUAUUCUCACAGUUUUUCCCCUCUUCUUAUAUGUACAUUUGUACACAAUAUUUGUUAUUCAUGGUUACAUGAUUUUGUAUUUCCUCUCCCAUUUUUGUGAAAUUUUUGUUUUUCGACAUCCGCUUGAAUUUUUUUUAAAGAUCUUCUGUUUGUAAAAUUAAAUGAGUGAGGUAGUUGUUCCUUAAGAUAUUCAUGUUGUCUCCUUUAGUACUUUCAAUUUCUUCCCUAUAAUGUUAGUAGUGCAGUACCUUAAUUUUUCUCUUGACAUCUCCUUUGUUAAUUUUAUUUCAAAGAUCAUAAACCUCUAAAAUUGAAAUAAAUAUUUUAUAUCUACACUAACAAAUUUAUAAUGAUUACAGAAAAUAUGGUCCAUGCUAAUAGAGGUAGAGGUUAUGCUACUGCAGGCAGAGGUCUUGCUAUUAUAGGCAGUGGUCGUGGUGGUAGAACCAGAGCACGAGGUCGUGGCUCCAGUACAUUCCCAAAUUUUUUUUUAUCAUUCCCACUAUUAGCAUCCCACUGAAUUUUUAAUUAUCAGUUAGGGUAAGAGGAUGUUCAAUUAACAAUGUACAUCAAGGAAUAUUAUUCUUCGGUGCUGCGGAAGAUGUUGGAAUUAAGGCAUCCAAUAACUUCUUCAUAGAUUCUACAGACUUGUCCAAAUUGUCUUUUCCCAAAUUUACAAAUUGUCUUUCCCAAGGUUUGUAGUUCUCCAAAACAAAAAUGCCUUUGACUCUGGUUGCUCGCGAUAUUAUUUUUUGGAUUCUGGAACCAUCUUUUCGUUACAAGCAGGGGGAUUUCGGUUGAACCGUCAAUGAAAUAUAUAAAAUAUAUAAUGUGUCGACAUGGGAUCCGUUUGGAAUUGAACAUGUAGCAACUAUACUUCGAUAGGCGCUCCUCUUUAUAAUAAUAAAUAGUUGAGGUUACCUUCUGAUUGUAGAUAUUAACGAUAGGGAAGAUAUUUGAUUGCUCCACAGAAAAAAAUUAGAAAAUCGUUAGGAAGAAAUAUGAAAAGAAGAACGUACGAAAAGGUUGGGUAGGUUGAACUAACCAUACUAUCGUGCAUUCGUGCAUGGUCUUAUGAAAAAUCCCAAGCUCAUCUUCACUUGUUCUUGAUAUAAUCGAAAGGCUUCAGAAAGUGUCUUUCAAUUGGAAGAUUAGUGAUGAGAUGCGGUGGUCCGAAAGUGUCUACAUGAUCCCUUUGAAGUUCUUUGUCUCUCAUAGACAUCAAUAUAAUCACCAAAGACCCAAUGAAUUCAUACAAAGUGAAAGAUGGUUUAACUCUCAUUUUCACGAGAUGAUUCAUGAACUCACUCUUCUGUGUGCUUGACAUACCGGCAAAAAAAUAGUCUGUCAUAUACAGAGGGCACCUCUAAUGUCUUAUCUUAAAGAUGUCUUCCAACUAUUUAUUAUGGCACAAAUUAUGGCGUGAAAUCCAGCCAUUCCACUUCGCAUCAAAUUCGUCAGUCGAUUCAGAAUUAUUUAGAAAAUCGUGAAAACCUGCCAUUGUAUUUUUAUCUCUAUACACAUUUCCAAUUUUAUUGGCAAAUUUGUGCGUGAUAUGUCAUUUACAAAAAUGUUGGAAUGUAUUUGGAAACACAAUAGGUAGGGAAAGCUCCAUUGCUCUGUCCUGAUCAAUAAUAAUAGUAACUAGGGCAACAGACAUGCAAUCUAAGAAUUGUUGGAAUAACCAAAUAAAUUAUUCUUUACCUCAUCAGACAAGAAUCCAGCACCGAAAAGAAUAGAGUUUAGAUUGUGAUUCACUCCACAGAACAUCUCAUAUAUCAACUUAUACUUGUUUGUGUUAUAUGUUGUGUCAAAAGUAACGGCAUCUCCAAAAAGUUUGUAAUCUUCAACGCAUUGUGAAUCGGUACAAAAGAGAUGUUUCAAUUUACCUGAUAGAAUAGCAGCCGUAACAGUGAAAUAUUAUGAGAUAGAGAAAGAAAUGAAAAUAAUGAAGUAUGUAUAGCUUCGUCAUCUUUUUCGAACGAAUAGAAGAAUGAGGGAUUUAUAGACUGAAGGUUUUGAAAUUUCUCUAUAACAAGACCCAUGUCUUUAUCACAUGCGUUGAUGCGUGCGAGGUGCGUCGCUCUGAAAGUUAUAGAAAUCGGAUAUAGUGAAUGAAAGAUUUGAAAAUCCACCUGAAUUCAUAGCCACAUAUGAAUAUUGUUGAAAUGGAUGGAAGUGUAAGGAAUUGAGAGAAUCUUUUAACCCCCGGGAUGCAGAAGACAUGUGUCGAUUAACACGGAGCAAACGGCGUUUCCUAGGAGUUACUAGGGGUGCGUAUGAUCUUCGACGAAAAUAUAAACUCUCCAAUUCGCGGUUUCUGUAUCAAUCUUGAAGGUGAUUUGAUCCUUGCAAGACUCCCGCAAAUUGUGCGAUUUGCGGGUCAUCUUGUGACAUUAAACAAGAUCAGUGUCAGUCUUCUUGGAUGACUCUGCCUGUUUCGAACAAACAAAUUUCUUCGUCUGAAGAACAGAAUCAGAAAUUUUCGACGACCCCUGACGAACGUCAAAACUAAGAGACCAAGCGUAAGAGUAAUAAAAUUGACGACCUGAUUCCAAAUCUAAAAAAAAUUGACCAAAUAAGCCCAAAUACAGGAAUUUUCAGGUAAAUUCAGCCUUAGGUAAGCCCAAAUAAGCUCACUUCAUUUCAACCGUCUGAUCUUUGUAUUUUUAAUCUCGUCCGUCCAUCACUUUUAUUAGUGUUUUAUUCUUGUUUUGCACAAAUCUUUAAAAAAAAUGUUACUAACCUAUUUUUAAGAUCCGGAUUGAUAUCCGGAAGUCAUUAAGGGUGAACCGUGUCCCUGGAUGGACUACAGAUUAUGAUUUGGGAAAUUUGUACAAUCCCCAAAUUUAUAAUAGAAAUUACAGUUCAGACCUUAAGUAAUUUUAAAAUUCCAAAUAAAAUGUAAUAGUAUAAAGAGGAUUUACGGUUACAAAAACUUUAUCAAUUUUAUGAAUGAAACACUAAAGUUCCAUUUUUCCAUCUCUCAAAUCACCUCCGGGUAAAUCAGUCGAGUAAUCCGACCAUCCCAGCUCACCACCCGAUCUUCGAUGCCUUCAUCUCGAUCUCUCCAGAUCCGAUUUAUCGUCCUGUUCUGCCGAAUUGAGCCCUGCCCCCAAAUCAGCUUCACAGCAGUGACUUGACCAAGCUAAGACUCAAUAUCAGGAGUAUAUCUCCGUUGAGCGCUGUUCGGACACCCGUGAUUUAUCUCGCGGAUCUGAGGCAACACCAAUUUACAGGUGAACUCCUUUCAUUUGUAACGAUCUGACUUAGCUCGUAUCAUUUGGUGCUUUCUUAAGUUGAACUCUAAAUUUUUUUCAGAUGGCUAAUAACAUAGACCUAUCAUCCAAUCCGAAUUUCCUACGUCUGCAAGCAUUACAAAUGAAUCAGAUCAAGGAUAUGGGCGAACUGAUAAAUUUAGUGAACUAUAAUUUCCUACAAUUGGGGAAACAAUUCUCUGAUUUAUGUACAAAGAUCUCAAGAAUUAAAGAGGGGUCUAUACCUGAAAAACCUCCGGACCAAGUAAAACAUCCACUAAAUUACUACCAAUCAGUGGUAGAUCUGGACAAAUCUAGCUAUGCACUAUCAGUUUUGGAAGAUCCAAGCUACAUACCAGCUAAGCAUAUUAAGGUCAAUAUGCCAAGGUUCGAUGACACUGAAGCAAAGCACUGACUUUAUUCUGUAACAAGAUAUUUUAUAUUUAAUAAAGUACUCGAAGACCAAAAAUUCUAGAAAUAACUAAAGUGGUCCAAGAAUACUGUGAUCUCUUUGAAGACCCAUGUGGGCUACCUCCUCACAGUGAAGAUAAUCAUUUAAAUCACUUGGAUCCAAGUUCAAAAUCAGUGAAUGUAAGACCAUGAAGGUAUCCAAAAUUUCAGAAAUCUGAAAUUGAAAAGCUAAUUUCUGAAAUGCUAAAACAAGGGAUAAUAAAACCAAGUUCUAUCCAUACUCAUCCCCUGUUUUGUUAGUAAAAAAGAAAGAUGGUGGGUAUCGUUUAUGUGUGGAUUAUAGAGCUUUGAAUGCUCUAACAAUCAAGGAUAAUUCCCUAUCCCUACUGUUGAUGAAUUAUUAGGUGAACUAAAGGGAUCGACAAUUUAUUCUAAUCUAGAUUUAAGAUCUGAAUUUCACAAAAUCAGAAUAAAUCCCAACCACACUGAAAGAAUAUAAUUUGAUAUUCACCAAGGGCACAUUGAAUUCUUUGUAAUACCCUUUGGAUUAACCAAUGCUCCUGCAACAUUCCAGUCUGUUAUGAACAAGGUAUUUUCUAAAUAUUUAAGAAAGUUCCUAAUUAUAUUCUUUAUGAUAUUCUGAUCUAUAGUGCUACAAUACAAGAGCACAUUGAACAUCUAAAGGCAGUAUUUAAUCUGUUGAGAACAAACAAGUUGAUAGCCAAGCUUUCUAAGUUCUCCUUUGGACCUUCUUGGGGCAUAUUAUUGCUAUAGAUAGAGUUAACCCUGAUCCCGAGAAGAUCAAGGCAAUGGUGGAAUGGCCUGAGGGUUUUUGGGUCUAACUGGAUACUACAGAAGGUUCAUAAAAGGGUAUGCCUCAAUUGCAGCCCCUAUGACAGACUUAUUGAAAAAAGAUAAUUUUAAUUGGGAUGAAAAAGCAGCAAUCAUCUUUGAGAAAUUGAAAACAACUAUGGUGUCAGCUCCUGUCUUAAUUUUCCUUGAUUUUCAGCUAGAAUUCACAGUUGAGACAGAUGAAUGCAAGUCAGGGGUAGGUGUUGUACGUCCUAAGCCAGAAAUCACAUCCUAUAAGCUUCUUUAUAGCUGCAAACUGUCUGGAAGAAUUAUGGCAGCUUCCAUAUAUAUAAAAGAGAUGUUUGCAAUUACUCAGGCAGUGAGUAAAUGGAGACAUUACUUGCUUGGUUCACAUUGCAUAAUUACGACAGACCAUAAAAGCCUUAAAAAUUUGCUAACCCAAGCUAUUCAAACCCCAGAGCAACAAAUCUUUCUAUACAAAUUACUUGGAUUUGAUUUCUCAAUUGUCUACAAGCCAGGAAAAGAAAAUAUAACAGCUGAUGCUUUAUCAAGAAAUUUUGAAGAAGAAGUAUUAUUUACUUUUAGUUCAUUGGGGGUUCCAGGUUCCCUACUAGCUUUAUCAUAGCCAAUAUACACUCUAAGGGAGGAGAUAAAAAUAGAAAAUGAGAAUAACCCAAAAACAAAAGAAUUGAUCGAAAAAUAUAGUAUAGCUGAAGAAGAUUCUAUGGGCUAUAUAGUUAGAAAUGGCAAUUUAUAUUUCAAGGACAAACUAUAUCUGAAUGAAGACUCCAAUCUCAUAAAAAAAAUAUUGUUUGAAUUGCAUGACUCACAGUUGGGUGGCCACUCUGGAAUCCAUAGAAUUUGGAAGAGAAUAGCAAAAUAUUUCUUCUGGCCAAAUAUGGGAAGCUGUAUAAAAAAGUAUGUUAAAUCUUGCUUGGUGUGCCAACAAAUUAAACCUACCAAAUCUAAAAUGGAAGGAUUAUUAAUGCCUCUCCCAAUCCCUUCACAUAUAUGGCAGGAUGUCAGCAUGGACUUCAUUACAGAUCUUCCUAAAGUAAAAGGGAAAUCAGUCAUCAUGGUUGUGGUGGAUAGACUCUCUAAGUAUGCCCAUUUUAGUCCACUCAUUCCUAACUUCAAUGCUUCUAAAUUGGCAGAAUUAUUUGUCCAAGAUAUAGCAAAACUACAUGGUAUUCCAAGUUCAAUUGUUUUAGAUAGGAACAGAGUGUUCACAUCAAGGUUUUGGAAAGAACUAAACAAACUUAGUGGCACUAAGCUUAAUUUUCUUCAGCAUAUCAUCCCCAAUCAGAUGGAAAGACCAAGGUUGUGAAUAGAAUAUUGGAUAUGUACCUGAGAUCCUAUUGUCAUGAAAAUCAUAAAUUAUGGCUGAAUUUGCUACCAUGGACGGAGUUAUGGUACAAUUCAAGCUUCCACUCAUCAUUGGGCUUAACACCAUUUAAAGUUGGUGAUACAGUAUCCCGAACACGGUCACAACCUACCAGCAACUAGAAGUCCGAGUAGCCUAAGAUGAGUUAAGGUAUCUAUUCUAGGGUUGGGGAGGUCCCAGGUCGAAUCCUAGAAAGAUCGACUUUCCUGAGGAUCGACUUCCCUGGGAUCGACUUUUGGAUAAAGUCGAUCACCAGGAAAGUCGACCCUCAGAAAGUCGAUCUCUGGAAGUUGAUCCUGGGACCCAAUUUGAUCAGUUGGGCAGUUAGGCGGUUACUGCCCAAAUGACCAUAUUACCCCCAUAAGAACCCCUACAAAUAGAGGGCACCCCCCACUCAUUAAAGGCAAGUCAUUUGGAGAAGAAGGAUUCCUAGCGAAGCAGAGCUCUGCACACUUGAGUUCCGGUCCGGUUUCCCGCAGAGUUCCCCGCUUGGCGCUUGCUUGCGCGUCUUGGAGUACUGGUCGGGUUUCACCCCCAUCAGUUGGCGCCGUCUGUGACUCAAAGAUACUCACGACAAAAGCUCCUCGACUUUUUCGAAAAAAGUGAUCGACUUUUUUCCAAGUCGCCAGCUAGGGAGUCUUGCGAGGAAAUCAGCCAGCAAGGGAUCAACUUUUCAGAAGAUCGACUUUUUCUUCCAAGGAAAAAAAAAAGUCGAUCCCUCAAGGAGCUAGGCUUUCAGACAUCGACUUCCAAGGAAUCCUCCAAGUGCACUAGGGAUCGACUUUUUGAAGAUCGACUUUUUUUCCAAGUAAAAGUCGAACACUCUCUCCAAGAAAAGUCGAACACUCCAGAAUGGUGGUAACUCGAAGCACUUCCCAAGGAGGAGGAGCAAAUUCUCAGGAGGCGCCAGAGCAACAGCCUGGCAACUCAAAAACUAAAAGGCCAGUGGGUCGACCACCCAAGGCCAAUAAAAACAAAAGGACCCCCACGGGACUUGAGGCUGAACCCGAAGGCGAACCCGAGCAAACUCCCCAAGCUUCAGCAGGAGGGGAAAAUCUGAACAUCACAGUUCAGGCGAUAGCAGAGGCCAUCCGACUCCUUGCUGAAAAGGAGAAACCUUCGGAAGAACAACCUCAAAAAGGGGGACCCACAAGCAGCAAGGAACCAAGGGCUGCUGCAUCAGAAUCCACUCAUGGGUUCGUAAAAAUGCCCAUAGAAGAGCUGGAAAAAAUGAAGGAAACCAUAGCAAAAAUGAGCGAGAAAAUAAAGGAUAUUGAAAAAUCUAAAGCAUCAAUAUACCAUUCAAAAGCUCAAACCUCAAAGCAGGCCAAUGUGCAACAGGAGGUGUCAAGUCAUAGAGUAGCACACUCCAGCGCACCACUACCUCGCAAACCAGAGGAGCAACCCAAACCUCUUUUCAAAAAACCCGUACAGGAGGAAAGCACGGGUGACACAGAAGGAGGAGGCGAGGUUCCGAACUGGCUGGUAGGCAUGGAUGCCCUGCACAAAUCACUGAUGAUAAAACAAGCACCUCUGAAAUUCAGGCUACCCAGGCUGCAGAUUUAUGAUGGGAAGAUGGACCCAGCAGACCACAUAAAUAUGUUUGUGGGAGCAAUGCAAUGGGCCACAUCAAGGGAUGACAUCCUAUGUAGAGCAUUCCCAGGAACACUGAAAGGGCCUACAUAUAGGUGGUUCGUUGAACUUCAGCCAGGGAGCAUAACAAGUUUCGAGGACUUGAAAAAGAAAUUCGUCGCCCAACACUGUGGAAACACAAGAGUAAGAAAGGGCACAGAAUCACUGUUUGCAAUCAAACAGAAUGGAGAUACGCUUCGGAAUUAUACGACUAAAUUCACGGAAGCCAUGCAGAAAAUCUCCGAUCUGAACACAACAAUCGCAAUAUGCGCAUACUCAAAAGGGCUAGACAUGAACACGCCAUUAGCAAUAAAGCUAAACGUCAUUAAUGUAAAAUGCAUGGAAGACCUGCUAACAAAGGCCCAGAAAUACAUAAAUUCUGAAGAGUAUGAGAAAGAAAAAGGAAAAGAGAGAGGUGGCAUAAGCAAUAAUGAAGCACCAAAGAAGAAAUUUCAGAAGUUUGAGAAAGGAGAAUCAUCCUGGAGACCAAAACACGAUGGAAAGGUCUACCAGACAUCUGAGGAGUUUGGAAAAUCAAGGUAUCCAAAGUACAAAGACUUAGGAUUUACGGUUUUCACUACUCCAAAAGAGGAAAUCUACAAUAAAGAAAAGGGAAGAAUAAGGUUUCCUCAACCAGAAGAGUUAAACCCUGCAACAAAAGAGGCUCGAACAAGAAGGAACAGGUAUUGCAAGUUCCACAAGGAUUACGGGCACAAUACAGAAAACUGCUGGGAGCUGAGUACCUUCCUAGACACGCAAGUGAAGGAAGGGAAGCUAAGGCAAUAUAUAAAUAAAAUAGAAAGGGGACGACAAGGCUGCAAGGACCCAAAGAACAAGGGUAAGCGCCAACGCUCAAGGAGUCCCGAUUCAGACACUGACCACAAAAGAAGGGUAAUUAAUUUAAUCUUCGGUGGAGGAUCGGUAGGAGAAAGCAGAAGUUACUCGCGCAAAGUAAUGCAGACUACAACGGUACCAAAAUCUAAGAAAAUAUUGUACCCAAGGGAGGAAAUAAGCUUCUCUGAGGAAGAUCUAGACAACGUGGUCAGCCCACAUGAGGAUCCACUAGUGAUACAAGUGGAUAUAGGGGAUGACUUAAGUCUGAAUAAAGUAAUGGUGGACAAUGGCAGCUCGGUAGAUAUAUUAUACCUAGCUGCGUUCGAAAAAAUGGGCUACAAAGUGGAUCAGCUAACCCCGGCCAAGGAAGCCAUCUAUGGGUUUACAAACACGAAGGCCCCAGUAGUAGGAGCCAUCGAUCUACAGAUAUCCCUGGGAAAAAGAAACGGGAGAGUAUCACACACAGCACACUUCGUUGUGGUCAAUAUAGACUCUCCGUUCAAUGGGAUCUUGGGCAGACCAAGCAUUCAUGGUUUCAAAGCGAUACCAUCAUCUUACCAUCAAUGCUUCAGGUACCCAGGAAAAGAUGGCAAAAUGGCAACAGUUUUUGGAGCACAGAAAGACUCCAGAAAUUCGUACAGGAAGGCAACUAAAAUAGCUAAACCUAUAACCCUGUACAUCCAAGAAAGAGAGGAGGAAGAAGACACAUCCUCAUCUAAUCAAGUUGAGGAGGUCAAACUCUCAAAAGGAGGAGUCCUGAUAGGGACAUCUUUAUCCUCCGAGUUAAAAAAGUCACUGCUGCAACUAUUAGAAAUCCAUGUGCACACGUUCGUAUGGGAAGGGGAGGCACCCUCACAGGUACAACGUACUAUAACGUGCCAUGAGCUCAACAUAGACAGUAGCUUUACUCCUAUACGACAGAAGCGAAGAAUACUCGCAGCUGAAAGAAAGGAGGCAGCAUAGGCUGAAAUUGAAAAAUUAAUCAAAGCUGGGCACAUCCGGGAAGUCAAAUAUCCAAAGUGGUUAGCAAACCAAGUUAUGGUUAAAAAAUCUAAUGGAAAGUGGAGGAUAUGUGUAGACUUCACAGAUCUCAACAAAGCAUGUCCAAAAGACAGCUACCCACUCCCAUCCAUCGACAGAUUAGUAGAUGCAGCAUCAGGAAAUGAGUUACUAUCUAUGAUGGAUGCACAUUCAGGGUACAAUCAGAUCUUAAUGAAAGAGGAUGAUGAAGAGGCUACAUCAUUCAUCACAGAAUGGGGGACAUAUUGCUACAAAGUCAUGCCUUUCGGCCUACGAAAUGUAGGAGCAACCUUCCAAAGGCUGAUGGACAAGGUUUUCAAAAAGCAGGAAGGAAGAAAUGUCCUGGCAUAUGUAGAUGACAUUCUGGUGAAAUCCAAAAAAGCAGAUGAACACCCAAAUGAUCUGAAAGAAACUCUGGAAACUCUGCAGAAUUAUGGGAUGAGGUUAAACCCUGCCAAAUGCAGUUUCGGAGUACAAGAAGGAAAAUUUCUUGGAUUCUAUGUAGGGCAGAAAGGGAUAAAACCAAAUCCAGAUAAAAUAGCAGCGAUACUAGAAACAACACCACCUCGAACAAUAAAGGAGGUACAAAAGCUGAACGGAAAAAUCAAUGCCUUAAGUCGGUUCAUUUCCAAAACAGCAGACAAAUGCAAACCCUAUUUCCAACUGCUAAAAACUAGUCAAAAAGGGGCAAUAACAUGGACUACAGAGUGUGACGAGGCAUUUCAACAGCUCAAAGCACAUUUGGCUUCUCUACCACACCUAACUUCGCCAAAGAUAGGGGAGGAACUGUACGUCUACGUAGCAGCUUCAGAAGAGGCUAUCAGUGCAGUUCUAAUAUGUCAAAGGGACAGUGAACAGAUCCUGAUAUAUUAUCACUCAAGAAGGCUACAAGGGGCAGAAACAAGAUAUCCUCCGGUGGAAAAAAUAGUCCUAGCAGUAGUACAUGCAGCACGCAGAUUCAGAGCAUACUUUCUGGCUCAUACAAUUAAAGUCUUAACAGAACAUCCACUCCGCAGAAUCCUCCACAGGCCAGAUACUUCCGGAAGAUUAACGAAGUGGGCACUGGAGUUAAGCGAGUUCGAUGUAGAUUUUGUUCCUGCUACAGCCAUUAAGGGGCAAGCAGUUGCAGACUUUAUUGUAGACAUGACGCAGGAAAGCAAAGAAAAACCUUGGAUAAUAGAGGUUGAUGGCUCAAGCUGCAGUACAGGUGCAGGAGUGGGAAUAAAGAUAAUCACUCCAGACCAAAGAAUAUAUGAACAUUCUAUCAGAUUACAGUUUUCAGCUACGAAUAAUAUAGCAGAAUACGAAGCUGUAAUCCAAGGAAUGAAAAUUCUCAGAAGGUUAGGGGCCUGUUCAGUAAUUAUUAGAACAGAUUCUCAACUAGUGGCUCGGCAAUUCACAGGAGAGUUCACUGUUAAAGAACCUCUAAUUGUACAGUACGCAGCCACACUGGAGAAAAUCAAAGAACAAUUCACUAAGGUUGAAGUAGAGCAGAUUCCAAGGAGUCAAAAUAACUCAGCUGAUGCCCUGGCAAAGCUAGCUUCUGCUUUCGAGGGGGGGCAAAGAGAGAUACUAGUUGACUCAGCAUCUACACCUUCUUGUAACUUAGUCACAUCCAGGCAGAAGACUGGAGGAAGUCCUUGAUAGAAUACUUCGAGGGACAGAAACUUUCUGAAAAUAAGAAUGAAAGAUGCAAGUUGCAAACACGCGUUUCGAGAUUCUGCCUGAUCGGUGACAUUCUGUAUAAGAAAUCCUACGACGGACCUCUAAUGAAAUGUGUCUCAACAGAAGAAGGACAAUUCAUUGUAGAGGAGAUUCAUCAAGGAGUAUGCGGAAUACACCAAGGGGGAAGAUCUCUGGCCCAAAGAAUAAUAAGGCAGGGAUACUUCUGGCCCACACUGAAAAAAGAUGCAGUCCUAUUUGCAAGAAAAUGCAAGGCCUGUCAAAUACACAAAAACAUACAGAGAAAUCCCGCAACUCAUCUAACAGGGGUAGAAAGCCCCAUCCCCUUUGCAAUGUGGGGAUUAGAUAUUGUGGGACCAUUUCCAGUAUCGACAGGUCAGGCUAAAUUUAUAUUUGUGGCUGUCGACUACUUUACUAAAUGGGUCGAGGCACUAGCUGUACCCAAGAUAACUCAAGGAGCAGCAACGAAGUUUGUCUUCAAGUGCAUAAUGUGCAGAUUCGGUGUUCCAAUGCAUAUAGUGACAGAUAACGGUACACAGUUUACCGGUGGGGAGUUUACGAGAUUGUGCGAGAACAUGGGCACUAGAAUCCAUUUUUCAUCGGUAUACAGACCACAGGGUAAUGGGCAAGUAGAAGUCACAAACAGAGCCAUCGUUCAAGGACUGAAGAAAAAAGUCGAACAAGCCAAAGGUUCGUGGGCAGAUCUACUACCAGAGAUCCUGUGGGCGUAUAGAACCACUGAAAAGACACCCACCGGAGAAACCCCGUUCUCACUAGCAUAUGGAAUGGAAGCACUAAUCCCGACAGAGCUAAGCAUUCCAACAGUCAGAGUAUUAUCCUAUGACAUGGAAGAAAACAUGAGAUCAUGUGCGAUAACUCUGGACUUAGUGGAUGAGCUUAGGGAUAAUGCACAGGCAAAGAAUGCAGCUUACAAACAAAGUAUCGCUAGAUAUCACGACAAGAAUGUCAAGGGUAAAGCGAUAAGAAAAGGAAGCCUAGUAUGGAGAAGAGCGAGUGUCGGCAGAAAAGACUGCUCUAAAGGCAAACUAGGCGCAAAUUGGGAAGGACCAUAUGUGGUGGAGGAAGAACUCCGACCAGGCACGUACAAGUUAAAGCGGGAAGAUGAAACAGGCAUUCCCAAUACUUGGCACGCAGAUAACCUACAGUUGUACUUUUAAACAAUCAAGUAGGAUUAUACUACUCUUGUAAUAGUUUGAACUACUUAACUAAUAUGUUGUUUGGUUAACUAUUAUUAGUAAUCAGAACACUCAGAAAACAUUCCAUAUAUUAAUUGAACAUGAAUUGCAAAGGAAUGUAAAUUACAAGGAUAAGAUAGAGGAUUAAUCUAUUUAGGAGGGGGGGGUGUAUCUUUAGAACCCUCUGCAUCGUUGUUAUCUUGAUCUUCUACGGAGAAAUUGUUGUCAACGGUAGCAGUCGUGUCAUCCCCCAGAGCCUCCUCUUCUUCAUUCUCUUCAUCCUCUUCUUCCGCAAGCGCCCGAUUUCGAACUUCGGUAGCUUCUUUGGGGUACUUGCGGGCCCAGUUGUGGACAUCCUCAGCUUCGAAACCAGGGCAGACAUGAGGACCCAGAUCGACCAAGUCAUUGUAAUCUCGCACAUUGGCAAGAUAAUCAACCUUGAGCUUCUCCAGAUGGUCGACCAUACGUUGAAGCUCCUCAGUCAUAUGUCGAGCUUCCUCAGUCAGACGUUGGACCUCCUCAGUCUUUGCCCGGUCCGCUUCUUCCAGUCGCGUUAUUGAUUUCUUAUGAUCAUCCAGCGACUCCAAAAGCUUCUUGUUCUCAUCAUAACUUUCAUCCAGUCGUCAAGUAAAUAUGGCAUUCUGUGCCCGACAAGAUUGAAGGUUCGCCUCAGUGUUCUCAUGCUGGCGGGUGAUGUCGGCAAUCAUCGACUCUUUGAUUAAAACCCGGGCACGUUGACCAGCUAAUUCCAACUCUGCAGCCCCCAACUCCCCGUUGACUUUGGAGAGUUCCUGCUCCUUAUCUCUCAAGAGAUUCUUCUGAGCAGCCCAGUCCUCAGCCAACUUCUUGUUGGUGGCAGACAAAGUAGAGGCGUCUGAAGCUUUUUGCGCAACCUCGCCUUCCAGAUCUUUGCAUCGACGCUUCACUCUCUUCAACUCGUCUUCCAUAGACUGAUAGUCACGGAGACGAGACAGGGAAAAGAGGCGGCCUUGGAACAAAUAGGCGAGCUGCAAAAAGAAAGAAUGAGUAAGAACAUACUCAUGAAAAUAGUAAAAUAGAAGUACUUACGUUACUCAGAUUCUGUCCUAUUUCUUCGAUAGUCCGGUCCAUCAGAUACCCAGAUAUGGUCCGCAGUGUGGUUCGGGCGGCAUCCGAGUCAGCGACCAGAGGAAACUUGGUCCCGUAGUUCCGGGGGUGCGAACCUUGGUACCCCGGCAGCUGUGUCUCCCGGGUGGAGGAAUAAUUGUAUCAGCCCCGGGAGGACUCCCCAGCAUAAUAUGUCCUGCGAGGAGGAGUUCGUCGCCUGGGGGAGUGUCUCCUCGACUUCCUCGGAGGAGAUGAGUUGGUCCUGGGGGGAGGAGUUCGUUUUUUGCUUCUUUUUUCCAACCCCUCAGGCUGGGUCUCCUUCCCAGCAGUUCUUUCUCGCUCCUCUUCUAGAGUACGGAAGAAGGAGGAGAGCCUGGAAGCAGCAGGAGACUGCACAGGAGUAGUUUCUGUAGAUACCACCGGAGGUACCUCCCCUUCCUCAGUUCGUUGGACUUCGUCAGGAGGAGUAGGGGAAUGCGCCAUAGUGUAGGCGUUCUCCAGAGCACGUUGCCUCAGAUGAUCGGCGUCAGAAGGCUUAGAGGCGGCUACAUAAACCUUUGUGCCCGUUUCGUUUUGCCCAACGCGUUCAGGGACACCUCCGGGGUUAUGCAUAUAAAAAUCUGCAAGGAAUAAAAACAGAGUUAGAAAAUGCAUACAUGUAGAAAACAAAAAGAAAAAACAGGCAAAGGAAGACCUUGUCGGUUAAAAGUAUCAUCAAUCGCGUGACCGACAGGCACAGCGAUAGGAUGCAAAAAGGCCAGCCUUUGCACGUAAGCUCCCUCAUCCUCAGUCAGAUCAGGACGAAGAGUAGGCCUACGACCACUAGUGGAUGCAGGGAGAAGUCUGCUACCAGGGCAUAACCUGCAAUCCACAAAAAUGAACUCACUCUUGUUCCGCCUGGUCGGAGGAUCUUUCAAGAGAGCUGAGUGAGUAACAGAGGAGGCACGGCUGGCACAUGCAAUGAAAGGGCUGCCCUUCUUCGGAUUUUGAAAAGUGAAGAAGUGGAAGAACAGCCGAGCGGUGGAGACUAUGCCAGCAUCCCUAAGGAUAUUUAUGAAUCCCCUAACAUAAAAAAAGAAGGCAGCACCCAUCUGAGAUAUACACAACCCAGAAUACAAGAGGAUUUCACUAACUAGGGAAGGGAUCGGAAGGAUCGGAAAGUUAGUGAAAUAGAUCCGAUGGAGUGCCAACAUGAAAUAAGGGGGCACGUCGCCAGUGUUCUCAGAAGGGUACGCCCAGUACACUCUCUCUCUAAGCUCUAACCCCCUCAAAAUUCUUUGGGCGGCAUCCAGGGAAAGGGUGUUAGAGCAGCUACCCGCAUUAGAGGAAAGGGGGUAGCCCGGAAUAUCAGUCAGAGAGACUGCACAGAAAGAACCAUAUCCAGUCCCGUACUCGCCCCGGUCGAGGAUAGGGACAACGUGGAAACCGUUGCGAAUAAGAACGGACCACUGACGCCAAGAACCAUCCAUCUCCCGAUAGAAGGAUGGGGCACUCUUCUCCUCAAGAGGAGAAGGAAAGGGGUACUUCUCCUUCGUCUCAGGGGGGUAACCCAAAGGAGAGCCCUCUAGAAUAUGGAUGUUCUGACUACAGACUUCGGGAGGAAGUUGAGCAGAACCGUCUGUAGUCACAGAUAAAUCCUCCGUAGUAGGAGCCUCCUCAGGAAUGGUAGGCAAAAUAACGGUAGGAGGAGGAGAGAAGGAUAGGAUUGACAUUCCGCAGAAAAUUGAGUUCGACAUUCCCAAAAAAGGGGGAUAGACGUCGACAUUACCCGAGCUUCCCGAGCUANNNNNNNNNNNNNNNNNNNNNNNNNNNNNNNNNNNNNNNNNNNNNNNNNNNNNNNNNNNNNNNNNNNNNNNNNNNNNNNNNNNNNNNNNNNNNNNNNNNNAAUAGUAAGUUACGAAAUAGAUAAUAAGUAACUUACUAGGUACGGGCUUGCACGUACGACGGGAAAGAGCUUUUCGCUUACUUCCAACAGGUAAGGAGGAAGGCGAAGCAACUCUAGACUCCGUUACGACAGGAGCAGUCCGAACAGACUCUGGUUCAGCAGGAGCAGCCUGAACCUCGAUGGGAACAGACUCUAUCACGGCAGUAUCAGCCUGAGAGGUCUGAGGGCUGGCAACAAUAGCCCGAUCCUCAUCAAGAGGAAGAUCUUGCUGCGAGUUCUUGUCAGAAGACAUUAUGAACCUGCACGAAGAACAUAGCAGUCAGCCCAAGUUAUGGCAAAAGUCGAUCCCAAGAAAAGUCGAUCCGGACUUCAGGGAAUUGAACUAGCAAUAUAAGGGAAGUCGACCUCAGAAGUCGAUCCCAGGGAAGUCGACCUCAGAAGUCGAUCGCAGAAAAGUCGACCUUCGGGAGACAAGGGUCUCAGGAAGUCGACCCCAGUAAACUCGGACCAGGGGAAGCACUUCGGGAGCGCAAAGACCAAACCCGUGGAAGUCGAUCCCAGUAAAAAUGGAUCCAACUUUGAAAAGUCGAUGACAAGGCGUCAAACCUCACAAAGUCGGACCACAGUCCAAUGGGGAACAACUUCGAAAGGGACCGACUUUCAGAAAAGUCGGACCCCAAGGAAGUCGAACCCGGUGUAACCUCAGAAGAGCCCGACAACAAAAGUCGGACCCCAGAAAGCUGCACCUCCAAGGCUCAAGUCGAAGCCUUACGCAGGCUGGAAGUUGAAGCGGAAAGACGGACGUCGAAGCGAGAUGUCGAAACGAAGAGACCGGAAGUCGAUGCGCAGAAAGUCGAUCAGUCGGAGCGAAGGAAACAAGUGGGAAGAAAGUGAACCCCCCUCCGCUAUUUAUAGGGGAAAGUCGAAGACGAACCGUCGCGCGCACUGUUCAUCCGGGUCGACCCGUUGGGCCAGAAAGCCCACGGGCCCGGCAGGCACACGACGGCCCAGUCCGCGAAAAAUCCCAAAAUCCAACUAGAUGGCAACGACAUUCCAGGAAAAUUCAUCGACAUUUCAGAAAAAUCAUCGACAUUCCGCAGAAAAUUGAGUUCGACAUUCCCAAAAAAGGGGGAUAGACGUCGACAUUUGGCAAGGAAUUCGAUGCCUUCAAAAGAGAAGGACAGCAUCGACAUUCCGUAGAAAAUUGAGUUCGACAUUCCCAAAAAAGGGGGAUAGACGUCGACAUUUGGCAAGGAAUCCGAUGCCUUCAAAAGAGAAGGAUAGGAUUGACAUUCCGCAGAAAAUUGAGUUCGACAUUCCCAAAAAAGGGGGAUAGACGUCGACAUUUGGCAAGGAAUUCGAUGCCUUCAAAAGAGAAGGACAGGAUCGACAUUCCGCAGAAAAUUGAGUUCGACAUUCCCAAAAAAGGGGGAUAGACGUCGACAUUUGGCAAGGAAUUCGAUCCCUUCAAAAGAGAAGGGCAGGAUCGACAUUCCCCAGAAAAGUGAGUUCGACAUUCCCAGAAAGGGGAUAGGCGUCGACAUUUACCAAGGAAUUCGAAACCUUCAAAAGAAGGUCAGGAUCGACAUUCCACACUACUCUGAUCAACAUCCUCAGGAAAAGAUGAGAUCGACUUUUUCGGCAACAUCGACAUUUCCAGGGAGAAAUGAGAUCGACUUGUUGUCAAAAAUCCGACAUCUUCAGAAAAGGAUCGGCAGUCAUCGACAUCCUCAGAAAAAGAUGAGAUCGACUUUUUUGAGCAACAUCGACAUUUUCAGGGAGAAAUGAAAUCGACUUGUUGUCAAAAAUCCGACAUCUUCAGAAAAGGAUCGGCAGACACAUCGACAUCCUCAGAAAAAGAUGAGAUCGACUUUUUGAACAACGUCGACAUUUCCAGGGAGAAAUGAGAUCGACUCGUUGUCAAAAAUCCGACAUCUUCAGAAAAGGACAAAAGAAUAUGGUAUUGACAGAAAGAAAGCAUCGGUUACACUAACGUACUUCAAAGUAAAGGUGUAAGUCGAAUAAAGGAAAAGGUAAAAGUAUAUUUAUUCAAAAUUAUAAAAAAUGAUGAAUGAGAAAUAUUACAGGUUCCUAAUUAAAAUUGAUACGGCGACGUAAGCGGCGAGGGACCUGAUCCAGCGGGGAAGCACCGCGGCGGGGACGCCUUCGACGUCGGCCACGAGGAGGGACAACAGAAGAAGAGGCGGGUGGAAGAUCGCCACCAGACCAUUCUUCAAAAAUUGAUUCCCUAGCAGCAACAGCAACACUCUGCCGCUCAACAAUAAGCUGGCGCAGUAAAGGAAGAUCCAAGGUCGACGACCGAGGAUCCAAAAUAUUCAAAAUUCGAUCCAGCUCCUCAAUCUCUCCCUGAAUAAAAUCAGCAAAGAGACUCACAAGAAGAGCCAUGGAUGGAUGAAGGAAAAAGAGAACCUAGGGGUCCUAUUUAUAGACCCUAGGACAGCACAAAAGACAAAAAUGGCAAAUUCGACUUUUUAACACAAGGGAUCGACUUUUGACCAAAAGCAUCAGGAAUCGACUUUUUGACAAAAGUCGACCAAACUCAACAAGGGAUCGACAUUUCGCAAAAGUCGACCAAACUCGAUAAGGGAUCGACAUUUAGCAAAAGUCGAGCAAAAUCAACAAGGGAUCGACUUUUUCUUCCCACAUAAAAGGGGUGCAGAAAAAAGAUCCCAGACAAGUUGGAGUUGCGGAGGCACACCAAGACAGGAGGGUGUAACACGAAAUGCUCCUGAAGAACUGAGCCAUAUAAAGAUAUUUGAACUCCUACUAUUACUGGACGCAGUAACAAAGUAGGACGCCAAAUUAACUCUACCUACGGAAGAACGUGGAUGGAGAAAGUCUUAAUGGUAACAGAGUCAGGAUGCGUAUCCCAUCCAAGGAAAAAAGUGAACCUCACCUACGGAAACGUAGUGUUAGACGAGGGAUGCACUCAAAAAGUGAACCCCACCUACGGAAGAACGUAGGUUAGACGGGGAAUACAUCGGCUAAAGAGAGAACCUCACCUACGGAAACGUAGUGUUAGACGAGGGAUGUACUCAAAAAGUAAACCCCACCUACGGAAGAACGUAGGUUAGACGGGGAACACAUCGGCUAAAGAGAGAACCUCACCUACGGAAACGUAGUGUUAGACGAGGGAUGACUCAAAAAGUGAACCCCACCUACGGAAGAACGUAGGUUAGACGGGGAACACAUCGGCUAAAGGGAGAACCUCUCCUACGGAAACGUAGUGUUAGAUGAGGGAUGUCUUCAAAAAGUGAACCCUACCUACGGUAGAACGUAGGUUAGACGGGGAACACANNNNNNNNNNNNNNNNNNNNNNNNNNNNNNNNNNNNNNNNNNNNNNNNNNNNNNNNNNNNNNNNNNNNNNNNNNNNNNNNNNNNNNNNNNNNNNNNNNNNNNNNNNNNNNNNNNNNNNNNNNNNNNNNNNNNNNNNNNNNNNNNNNNNNNNNNNNNNNNNNNNNNNNNNNNNNNNNNNNNNNNNNNNNNNNNNNNNNNNNNNNNNNNNNNNNNNNNNNNNNNNNNNNNNNNNNNNNNNNNNNNNNNNNNNNNNNNNNNNNNNNNNNNNNNNNNNNNNNNNNNNNNNNNNNNNNNNNNNNNNNNNNNNNNNNNNNCCUCACCUACGGAUGAGCGUAGGUAGACGAGGAAUCGCACUUAGCCUCAGUCGCAAAAAGGCGAGCAAAAGGAGGGGGCAAGUAUUCAAAAAACAAUCCUCACCUACGGAUGAACGUAGGUAGACGAGGAAUCGCACUUAGCCUCAGUCGCAAAAAAGGCGAGCAAAAGGAGGGGGCAAGUAUUCAAAAAACAAUCCUCACCUACGGAUGAACGUAGGUAGACGAGGAAUCACACCCAGCCUCAGUCGCAAAAAGGCGAGCAAAAGGAGGGGGCAAGCAUUCAAACAACAAUCCUCACUUACGGACGAGCGUAGGUAAACGAGGAGUAACACUUAGCCUCGGUCGCAGAAAAGCGAGCAAAAGGAGGGGGCAAGUAUUCAAGUAAUAAUCCUCAUCCACGGAUGAACGUGGGUAGACGAGGAAGCACACUCAACCCCUAUCGCAGAAGGGCGGACAAAAGGAGGGGGUCGGGUACUCUCAAAACCCGCCACAGGGAAGAGAACCCAAGUGCUCAAGGACAGCUCAGGCAAGGCGUCAAGGUGGGCAAGCAGGGUUCCGCGAGAGAAUCAGGCCGGACAGGUGUAGGAGUAGGCUUCGGCUAGGACAAACCGGACAAUAGUUGGCAAAAGCGCGUGACAACCUCCGUGGAAGCAUAGAUACAACCUCGCAGGAGUGGAGGGGGGGGGAAUACUGGUGAGAGAGGAUCUUACAUCCAGGGACAUCACCAGAAAUCCACAUCCCAGCACGCAAAGAGGGGGGGAAUACUGAUAGUACAGGGUCCGACACGCAGACCAUAGUACUAAAAGACGUAUCCCAAAGUAUCUAAUACGCAGAGGAGGAGGGAGUACUGGUGAUACAGUAUCCCGAACACGGUCACAACCUACCAGCAACUAGAAGUCCGGGUAGCCUAAGAUGAGUUAAGGUAUCUAUUCUAGGGUUGGGGAGGUCCCAGGUCGAAUCCUAGAAAGAUCGACUUUCCUGAGGAUCGACUUCCCUGGGAUCGACUUUUGGAUAAAGUCGAUCACCAGGAAAGUCGACCCCCAGAAAGUCGAUCUCUGGAAGUCGAUCCUGGGACCCAAUUUGAUCAGUUGGGCAGUUAGGCGGUUACUGCCCAAAUGACCAUAUUACCCCCAUAAGAACCCCUAUAAAUAGAGGGCACCCCCACUCAUUAAAGGCAAGUCAUUUGGAGAAGAAGGAUUCCUAGCGAAGCAGAGCUCUGCACACUUGAGUUCCGGUCCGGUUUCCCACGGAGUUCCCCGCUUGGCGCUUGCUUGCGCGUCUUGGAGUACUGGUCGGGUUUCACCCCCAUCAAAAGUAUUAUAUGGGAAGGAGGCAAAUGAAAUACCAUAUUAUAAUCAUAGAGAAUCAUCAGUACAAGCUGUGGACACUAUACUACAACUUAGAGAGGAAACUCUACAAAAAAUAAAGAAAAAUCUAGCAAUGGCUCAAACAAAAAUGAAAAAUCAUCCUGAUAGGAAGAGAUCAGAUGUUAAGUAUCAGGAAGGAGAAUGGGUUUUAGUUAAGUUGAAACCCUACAGACAGGGAUCUAUGGCUCAAAGAUUCAUAAUAAAUUCUGCAAGAAGUAUUUUGGACCCUAUGAAAUCAGUAAAAAAAUCAAUGAUUCAGCAUACCGAUUGAAGCUUCUGGAAGGCAGCAAGAUACAUCCAACCUUUCAUGUAUCCCGUCUGUAGAAAUAUUGUGGAGAAAUUUCAGAAAAUUCAAACAGUGAAAAACCAUUAAUAUCAGUGGAUAAUAACCCUAUUAUUUAUCCCAUUUCUAUAUUAGGCAAAAGAAAAAUUCACAAGGGAGGCAGAGAACGGAAACAGGUGCUUAUCUUGUGGAAUGGGGCCAUCCCUGAAGAUUCAACAUGGGAAUUUGAAAAAACCGUAAAGAAUCUAUACCCUUCUAUCAGAGGACAAUGUCAAUUCUGGACUUAGCUCGUUUCAUUUGUAGCGAUCCGACUUAGCUCGUAUCUUAUGUUCUACAAACGGAUGUAACAUAUAGAUCGAAUUGUGACAUCAAGAAUCUUUAAUACAUCAUUUUGAGUUUUUCUUCUUACAACAACAACAAAUAAUGAAAUCUGAAUAAAAAAAGGGUGCAUGCGUGACACCUACAAGCUGACAUAAUUGAUCUUGGCACCAUCAGGAUAUCCAUAAAGUUUUAUUUCAGGGCCCAACGAACCAUCACCUGACAUAGAAUGAAUCGAUAUUUCCGUUUAAAAUGACCUGAGAUUAAUCAUCAAUUUGCCCAAUCAAAACUCAACAAAGCUAGAGAAUCAAGCAUCCGUCAAAGAAGUAAGGCACGAUAAUAACACGAGUGCUAAGAGUAAGAAACAGAUCACCACUUACAUUCGACUCGGACCGUUACAACUCGCAUCGAUCCUCACACUCGCAAGUUUUUCAUCCGGUCUUGCGAUUUCCUCCAAUGGAGGCAGAGACCUCUGCUUCAAGAACAAUAUCUUAUCCCUCUGAGGAAAAAACAACAGUACCGGGAACGGAGGUGCAUUGUAAAUCUCCCUGAUCUCCUUCGGCGAUAGUCGAUAUAUUCCAUCCCACUCCCUGACUCGUCAUCUACAAAAAAAAACCAUCGCCGUUUCAAAACACGAUAAUCCACUGAAAAAGAAGAAGAUAACAAAAUAUCUGAGAUUACUCUGGAAAACAGACGAUUGAAGUGGAACACCUUUGCGAGAAGCGUCAGAACUAGCCUCUGUAAAAGCCGAUGGCAUCCUUAUUGACUGAUGAAUAUAUCGUCGGUAGUGGCGGUUGUUCUAGAAGUGUGAUAAAUUAGCCACCAGCAACCAUCUGCAUCUCCGCCACACACCCACGCGGUGGCGGCUUCACCUCCAUUGCCGACUUUCUUCUUAAAUUAGCACCGAAACCAACCGACUGCGAUGCAGGGCAGCCAGUAGAAGCAACAACGGAAACACCAGCUUCUUCGUUGUUGGUACAUCGGAGACAUCAAAACACACCGCCUACAAAUAAGUCUCCGUUUUCACAAGUGAACAGCGAUCGACGAGCUCGAGUACAGAUGACGACAAACUGGUGAGCGCGACCAACUGGUGAUCGCGAAUGAAAAAAUCCAAAACGAGUUGGAGAACGGAGAGCACGAGUGGGGGGAGAAGAAAACUGAUGGGGGUGAAACCCGACCAGUACUCCAAGACGCGCAAGCAAGCGCCAAGCGGGGAACUCCGCGGGAAACCAGACCAGAACUCAAGUGCGCAUAGCUCUGCUUCGCUAGGAUUCCUUUCGCUCCAAACAACCUGCCUUUAAUGAGUGGGGAUGCCUCCUAUUUAUAGGGGUUCUUAUAGGGGUAAUCUGGUCAUUUGGGCAGUAACCGCCUAACUGCCUAACUGAUCAGAUCGAGGCUCAAGAUCGAUUUUCCAGAGAUCGAGGCUCAAGACCGGGUUUGGGAUAAUGUAUCACCAAUACUCCCCCCUCCUCUGCGUAUUAGAUAUCUUGGGAUACGUCUUUUAGUACUAUGGUCUGUGUGUUGGACCUUGUACUAUCAAAAACUUAAAAUCAAAUUUUGUGAGGAAAAAGAUAAUUUAGAUAUCUUUUGAUAGAGAUGAGCGGUUACAAAAAUCGAGAGAAAUAUUAAAAAUAGGGAUGGCAGUGACAGUUUAUAAACAUAGGGGGUGACAGUUUUAAUUUUAGUUUGAUAACGUUUUUGGUCAUAAAAAUACACUUUUUAUCUCCCUAUGACAUAUUAGUUAUAAAAUCAUCAUUAAGAUGGAAAUUAUAAAUGCUAAUUGUAUCUUAAUAAUGUGAUGUUUUAUUGAGUUUUAAAAACAGGCUAAAAGGUUAAGAAGUUAAAGCCCAGAGCACAAUGGACCGGCCCAGAAGAAAAUUAAUCAAUUAAAUGUAGAGGGACUUGGUUGUAAUAAAAUAAUGUUCAGGGAUGUAAUAGAAUUAGUUGUUAGUGGAUAUUAUAAAUAAUGGGUGUAAACUUCAAUUCAAUUAAUGAAAAUACUGUUUGUGAUAUUUUUACAAUUUAAAGAUCAGUUUUUUUUGUUGCUUCUUCUUCCCUAAAUCCUUCCUCCCGCCGGCCUGCAUUCUGAUCGUCUGCGCCCUUUCGUCGCCGGCAUUGGGUCAUCGUGAUUUUAUAUGGAAUCAUCGGUCGCUCCUAGGGAAUCCGCUGCUGUUAUUUUGCUGUUGUUGCCAUUCCAUCCGUUCCAGUAAAGUGUAUUCAAGAACAUGGACUUGGAGAAAGAAACAAACAUUGAUAUGGAGAUAACCACUGAAGUUUCAGCACCAACUGGUAAACAAAAAAAGCCUUUUGAUCUGCAAACCGCCUUCACAACCAGGUCAUCAGUUUACUUUCUCCAUUCUAGUGACAAUCCAUCAAAUAAGAUUGUCAAUGAUUUGUUAAAAGGGCAAUCUAAUUACCCUACUUGGUCCAAAGAUAUGAAUCUUUGGCUUGUAACUAGAAGAAAACAGAAGUUUAUAAAUGGAAAGGUAAUUAGACCCAAGGAUGAAAAUUCAGAUGAAUUUGAGGCUUUGGAAACUCUUAAUGGGGUAGUCUUUUCAUGGAUAAUUAAUGCAUGUGAGAAGAACAUAGCUGCCUCAAUUAGGUCAGCUGAAAGUGCAGCUGAGGCUUGGGAUAUACUGAAAAUAAGGUAUAGCCAAGCCCAAGCCCCUCUAAGGUUCUUAAUUGGUCAAGAACUAGCCAAUUUAUAUCAAGGGGAGUUAUCAAUUUCUGAUUACUACAUCAAGUUAAAAGCCAUAUGGGAUAGCCUACAAGAUAUAAGUAAAAAGAAAAGAUGCACUUGUGGGGUGUGCACUUGUGGGGCAAUUCAGAUAUGGGAAGAGGAGAAUGAACAAGAUAGGGUAGUAAAAUUUCUUCUUGGCUUAAACGAAGAAUUCUUGAAUGUAAGAGGCCAGAUACUAACUGGGAAAGAGAUUUCCAAUAUGGACUCAGCUUAUUCAACAGUUAUAACUAAGGAAAAACAAAGAGGGGUUACCCACACAAAAUACAAUUCUGAUAUAGGGCAGAUAGAUACUGCCAUGGCUGUUAAAAGGUCUUCUGGUUUUAGAAGUGAGCCUUUUAAUUCAGAUAAAUACAAAAUUAGCAAGAAAGGCAUGAAAUUAAAUUUAAAAUUCAGAUGUGAUCACACCAAGGAUACAUGCUAUCAUAUCAAUGGAUAUCUUGAUUCAAGCAAAGGAUUCAACACUAAGAAAGCAAAAACAGAACAUGCAAGCUCAGCAACUACCCAUUCAAUCACUGAUGAGGAGUACAAGAUCAUGCAAAAUCUGUUCAUGAAAAAUACAGGUAUUUUUUUUAAAAAUAAAUUAGCUUGCAAUGUUUACUCUUCAUACAAUUAUGAAUGGAUUUGUGAUAGUGGUGCUUCACAGCACAUGAGUGGAAAUAAAACACUCUUUAGCAAUUUAAGAGACUCAAAAAAGAUUAAAAGAGUCUCAAUACCUGAUGGAAGUUGUUUUUUGAUAAAACAAAUUGGAGAAGUCAUACUUUCUCCAACAAUAACCCUAAAAAAUGUAUAUUAUAUUCCUGAUUUCAAAUUUACUUUAAUUUCAUUGUAUAAGAUCAUAAAAGAUAUGGGUAUAUCAAUACUUUUGAAUGAAUCACAAUGUUUUUUUCAGAAUCCUCACAACAAGGAUCUGAUUAGACUGGGUAAUAUAAACAAUGGAGUUUAUAUUUUUGAUAGAGAGACUAUAGGUGGAGUCACUCAGGACAUAAAGCUAUGGCAUGCUAGGAUGGGACACAUGUCAUAUAAUAAAUUGAAAUUGUUAGCUGAAAACUCUUGUAAUAGCAUUAGUUUUAACAAAAAUUAUGAAAUAAAUAAAAAUCUUCUUUCACUAUGUGAUGUAUGCCCACUUGCUAAACAACAAAAGUUAAAAUACCCUAAAAGCAUAUCUCAAAGUGAAAACUUAUUUGAUUGAAUACAUGUUGAUAUAUGGGGAAAAUUCCCAAUAUCAACAUAUGAUCAAAAAUCUUAUUUUUUAACUAUAGUAGAAGAUAAAAGCAGAACAACUUGGGUUUUUUUAAUGAAAGAUAAAACUCAAGUACUAGAAAUAAUUAAUUUUUUCAUUAAAAUGGUUAAAACCCAAUUUGGUAGUAAUAUCAAAGUUCUAAGAAGUGAUAAUGGUUUAGAAUUCAAUUCAUCUAAACUUAAAACAUUAUUAAAAGAAAAUGGUAUGAUACACCAAUUUUCUUGCCCAUAUUCUCCUCAACAAAAUAGCAAAGUUGAGAGAAAACACAAAGAUCUUCUAAACAUUGUUAGAGCAAUCAAAUUGCAUGCUGCCCUCCCAAUUAAAUAUUGGGGAUUUUGUGUUUUAGGGGCUGCCCAUAUAAUAAAUAGAACUUGUUCUAAAUCAUUAGAUAACAAAACACCCUUCGAAAUUUUAAACAAUAAAAAACCUAAUAUCACACUAACAAAGACUAUUGGAUGUCUUUGCUAUUAUGAUAAUACUAAAAGAGAACACAAAUUCUCUGAAAGAGCAAAAAGAGGAGUUUUUUUAGGAUACCCACAAGGUACAAAAGGGUAUAUGAUUUUAGAUAUUGAGCUUCAAAAGCUCAUUAUAAGUAGAAAUGUUGUCUUCAAGGAAAUGGUUUUUCCUUUUAGAUCAAUUGAAGAAAAAGAUCUGAAAAAUAAACAAAAAAAAAGCACUUUUGAUGAUUUCAUCUCAAGUAUAUAUAAAAAUAAUCAUACCCUCAAUCAAGAUGAUUUAUCUCAAAAGAAAAUAGAAAAUGUAGAACUGAAAAAUAAUUCAGUAUCAAACAAUGAAUCUGUUUUCAUUUUAGAUGAUGAAAUCAUAAUAGAUAGGAAUAGAGAACUAUCUAAUGAUGAGACAUUGGCAAAUAAAAAUGCAAUACAAAACACUCAAAUGUCAAAUAAGACAAAUUCAGAUUCUAUAAUACUAGAAUCACCCAUAAACAGUGAAAACAAUCAAAACAUGUUUCUAGACACUAAUAUGUCUAUAUCAUCAGAGUUAAAUAAAACUCUGGAAUCUAAUAUGUCUAUCUCACCAGAGUCAGAGCAUGUUCUGAACACUAAAUCAUUAGAUAAAAAUGAAAUCUCCCCUGGACCACUAAAUCCAGAAAAUGAAAACUCAUUUUCAGACAGGAAUAACACUUCCCCUGGGUCAAUAAAUUCAGGAGAGAAUGAAGAGCUAUUCCCAGAUAAAAACAACAUCUCCCCUGGGUCAAUAAGCUCAGGAGAAAAUGAAAAUUCAUCCUCAAACAGGAGUAAAACUGUUUCAAACUCAUAUUCAGAUAAGAAUUUGCAAAAAAAUAAUAUAAAUGUAUCAAAUGACAUAAUGACUGAAAAAGCAUCUCAAAAUGAGAUGCAAUCAGAUAAAGUAAACUCUAAUGAAAUAGCAAAUAAUACAGAAUGUAGAAGAUCAAAUAGAAUUCAAUCUUCCUUUAAAAAUAAAGAUUUUUACUAUAUGGAUGAUAGUGACUAUGAUAGUGCUAAUUUUAGCACUAAUCAUCCAUUAAACAAAUAUAUAUCAUAUAAAAAGAUAAAUAAAAAGAAAAAAGAAUACUUAAGGAAAAUAUCUAUGAGUAAUGAACUUCAUAGUUAUAUAGAAGCUUCAAAAAACCCAAAUUGGGUAGAAGCCAUGGAAAAAGAGAUGCAAGCUCUUUUAUUAAACAAAACAUGGGACUUAGUAUCUCUCCCACCAACAAGGAAAUCCAUUGGAUCAAAAUGGAUUUUCAAAAUAAAAUAUAACAAAAAUGGAGAGAUAGAUAGAUAUAAAGCUAGACUAGUAGCUCAAGGAUUCUCUCAAAUAGAGGGAUUUGAUUAUUAUCAAACUUUUGCUCCAGUGGCAAAAAUCACCACUGUCAAGAUACUAAUCACCAUUGCCACUACAAAAAAGUGGAAUUUACAUCAAAUUGAUGUAAAUAAUGCCUUUUUGUAUGGGGAAUUAAAUGAGGAUGUAUACAUGAGACCACCACCUGGUUUUCUAAACAAAGAAGAUCAAAGGGUGUGUAAACUUAAAAAAUCCCUAUAUGGACUUAAGCAAGCCUCUAGGCAAUGGUUUGCUAAACUCAAAGAGAUACUUCUAAAAAUGAACUUCAAACAAGCAUUUUCAGACUACUCUUUAUUCAUAAAAGAAAACAAAGAAGUGUGAUAUACAUGGUGAUUUAUGUGGAUGAUAUCAUUAUUACAGGAAAUAAUGAAAAAGAAAUAAAUAUACUAAAAAAUAAUCUAAAAACACACUUCAAUCUAAAAGACUUAGGAAAAUUACAUUACUUCCUAGGAAUAGAAGUAUCAUACUCAGAAAAUGGAAUUUUCUUAUCUCAAAGAAAAUAUACAUUAGACAUUGUAAAUGACAAUGGGCUUUUAGGAAGCAAACCUUCUAAAAUACUCAUUGAAAAGCAAGAUUGAAGAGAAGAUAAAACAAAGCAAUUAAAAGAUCCCUUCAAAUAUAGAAGGCUAAUUGGCAAAUUAAUAUACUUAAACACAACAAGGCCUGACAUCACUUUUGCUGUUAGAACCUUAAGUCAAUUCAUGGAAAAACCCACUGAAUUACAUAUGGAUGCUGUAUUUAAACUAUUAUGGUAUCUAAAAAAAUCCCCAAGGCAAGGGAUUAUGAUAAGAAAUAAUAAACCCCUCAUACUAAGAGGGUAUUGUGAUGCUGAUUGGGGUUCAUGUACCCUAACCAGAAGGUCAGUAACUGGUUUUUGUGUGCUCCUAAGAGACUCAUUGGCCUCAUGGAAAUCAAAGAAACAAGAGCUAGUGUCACAAUCAUCAGUAGAAGCUGAGUAUAGAGCAACGGCAAAGCUCACAAGUGAAAUAAGUUGGAUAAACCAAUUAUUGAAUGAACUAAGAGUUUACAAUGAUAAACCAGCUCAAAUUUUUUGUGAUAACAUAUCUGCUAUUCACAUAGCAGAAAAUCCAGUUUUUCAUGAGAGAACAAAACAUAUAGAGAGAGAUUGUCACUUGACAAGAGAAAAAAUAGACAAAGGACUAAUCACUCUAAAGCCAAUUGGAACUAAAGUCCAAUUGGCAAAUAUUUUCAUCAAAGGAGUGGGGGAAAUAGAAAUGAAUGAUACUUUGUUCAAACUAGGUAUAAUUAGCAUAUAUGCCUAGUUUGAGGGGGGAGUAUUAGUUAUAAAAUCAUCAUUAAGAUGGAAAUUAUAAAUGCUAAUUGUAUCUUAAUAAUGUGAUGUUUUAUUGAGUUUUAAAAACAGGCUAAAAGGUUAAGAAGUUAAAGCCCAGAGCACAAUGGACCGGUCCAGAAGAAAAUUAAUCAAUUAAAUGUAGAGGGACUUGGUUGUAAUAAAAUAAUGUUCAGGGAUGUAAUAGAAUUAGUUGUUAGUGGAUAUUAUAAAUAAUGGGUGUAAACUUCAAUUCAAUUAAUGAAAAUACUGUUUGUGAUAUUUUUACAAUUUAAAGAUCAAUUUUUUCCGUUGCUUCUUCUUCCCCAAAUCCUUCCUCCUGCCGGCUUGCAAUCUGAUCGUCUGCGCCCUUCCGUCGCCGGCAUUGGGGCAUCGUGAUUUUAUAUGACACACAUGUAUAUAAAAUUGAUGAUUACACUAAUAAACUGAGAAAAUUAAAUUCAUCUAUCUCCCUAUUUUUUUCAAAAAUGGAUGACUCUGAUGGCUGAGCGUAUUUGAGUGUACGUCGUACAGCUGAUUCUUUCUCUAAAACAAUAAUUAUUGUUAAAUGAAUUUGGUUUAAUGAUUUAUUUUCUAAUGUUAGUAAUGAUGAUAUUAUGUAUCGGUACAAAAAUAUAUCACCUCGUCGAUAACAAUUAGAUUGGAUAUUUUUGAAUUUGGUUAAAUAAUUUUAAAAAAUUCUUAGAUUCGCCACUAAUCACCCGCGACUGGUUCCUCAUCUUCUCCCGGAAAUAACAAAGGAAUUAUAGUCAUUGGAGCUUUUGUGAUUAUUAUUGCAGCUAUUAAAAAGAAGGCAGUAAAUUCAAGCUUUAUUAAUUUGUUUUUGAUUAUUGCCCUUAAAGAAGUAAAUUACCGACUGUCUAAUUCAAAAAACAAACAAAGCCUAAUAUGUUUUCAAUCAAAAAGAUAAACGUACACAGGAUCAUAUUGCAAAUAGAAUAAACUUAUAGACUUGCCGGAAACUUUGAGAUAAAGAGAAGACUACCACAAGGGUGUUAUUGCAAAGUUUCAAUAACCACAUAUAACAUAAGAUGGUUACUUUAGAGUUGAGUUGUAAUCAUUUAUAAUCUUUGUAUGAAUACAAUUCUCGUUUAAUAAAUCUGUUACUAAUUACAUUGCUUUAGUUAAUUACACAAUUAGUUAGGUAGAUAGGGCAAAAUCAGAGACAUGACAAUGAUUAAGUUUUAAGAUAUUAUUAUUACACGUGGCAAGUUUUAAGAUAAGGUAAAAUCUUGGGACAUGGCAAUAUCACAUUGAUUAAGUUUUAAGAUAUUAUUAUUACACGUGGCAAGUUUUAAGAUAAGGUAAAAUCUUGGGACAUGACAAUAUGACAUUGAUUAUGUUUAAAGAUAUUAUAAUUACACGUGGCAUGUUUUAAGAUAGAACAAAAUCUAGAAAUAUGUAUAAGAAAUCCAAAGCAGAGAUGAAAGAAGUUGAGUUGGCAAUUGAAUGGAUGAGAUCGAAGCAUUAUAUAUUCCACCUCAAAUAAUUCAAUAAGCACCCACUCAUUCAAACAAAGAAAAGAACACAUAUUUACACAACAAAAAUUGCAUCAAUGGCUUCCUCCAUGGCUGCUCUUUCCUCCCCUUCCCUCGCAGGAAAGGCCGUGAAGCUCACCCAGGAGCCUAAUGCCAUCUUUGGUGUUGGAAGAAUCACCAUGAGGAAAAAUACAGUCAAUAAGUCAGUUUCGUCUGGAAGCCCAUGGUAUGGCUCUGACCGUGUCAAAUAUUUGGGUCCAUUCUCUGGUGAGUCACCAUCGUACCUUACUGGUGAGUUCCCCGGUGACUACGGCUGGGACACUGCUGGACUCUCGGCGGAUCCCGAGACCUUCUCCAAGAACCGUGAGCUUGAGGUCAUCCAUGCUAGAUGGGCUAUGCUCGGUACUCUCGGAUGCAUCUUCCCCGAAUUGCUUGCACGAAACGGAGUGAAGUUCGGCGAGGCAGUUUGGUUCAAGGCCGGUUCGCAGAUCUUCAGUGAUGGUGGUUUGGACUACCUCGGUAAUUCCAGCUUGGUCCAUGCUCAGAGCAUCCUUGCAAUCUGGGCCACCCAGGUUGUCCUCAUGGGAGCAAUUGAGGGAUACCGUGUUGCCGGUGGACCUCUUGGAGAGAUCGAGGACCCACUUUACCCAGGAGGAAGCUUCGAUCCACUUAACCUUGCUGAAGAUCCAGAAGCCUUCGCCGAAUUGAAGGUGAAGGAGUUGAAGAACGGAAGACUAGCCAUGUUCUCCAUGUUCGGAUUCUAUGUUCAGGCCAUCGUUACCGGAAAGGGUCCAUUGGAGAACCUUGCAGACCAUCUCGUCGAUCCCGUUAGCAACAAUGCGUGGAAUUACGCAACAAACUUCGUUCCCGGAAAUUAAUUAUUUGAAAUGUUCAUUUGUUAAUCGUUUUCUCCUGAUAGUUAAUUAUUUGAAAUGUGCAUUUAAGGAUGGCUUAAAAGUUAUAACAGCGAAAUUUUAAAGUUUAAACCUGAAAUUUUAAAAAUACUAUUAUAAAAAAUAUUAUAAUUGCAUCGCAGACUAGGGGUGAGAACGGGGCGGGUC
rnacentral:lncRNA from 1 species